rnacentral:lncRNA from 1 species
UAGAAUUAAAAUUUUUUUUAUUUAUAUUUGAUAUUUCUUAAUUUUGUUUUUCUUACAUGUUUCCCUCAUUAUUCUGAUAUGUAAUUCGAAACAAAUAAGCAGCAGAAACCAAGAAUGGAUAAAAAGGAAAAGAAGAGAGUGAAGGUGCAGAACCUGGGGCAAUAUAUCCAUACGUCCCAACAAUUACAGUUCGAUUAGAUGAAUCAGGAUCAAGAAAUCUUGCAGUCCCAAAAUCAGCAAUAAAAGCUUCCAAUUCAGAGUCCAACAAAAUGUUAUUGCUUGAGAUGUCUCGAUGAACAAUUGGAGGGUUGCAAUCAUGAUGCAUGUAAGAUAGAGCAUGUGCGACACCUUUGACAAUGUUCACUCUUUUGGUCCAAUCCAAUUCCACAGCUUCCUCAUCAAUGCUCAAGGCAUAAAACAAGCUUCCCUUUUCCAUAUAUUCAUAAAUCAAGAACAUGCAACGAUUGUGGAGACAAAAUCCGUGGAGCUUGACGAUGUUCUUGUGUCGUAUUUCUGUUAAAAACUUGAUCUCAUUUCGGAAACUUGUGUCGUAAGCCGGUUGCUCAGCUUCCAAUCGGUGGAGUUUUUUUAAAGCAACAACUUUGCCACUUGGUAAGACUGCUCUGUAAACACUGCCAUAACCACCCGUUCCAAUGCAAUAUUUGAUAUCAAAAUCCUCUGUUGCUUUGAUGAUGUCUUCGAAUGCAAUCUUUCCAUCAAAGUUCCAAAUAGAGAAUAAAUCUCCAUUUUUGGUUGGACUUGGAUCAGAUUUUAAAGCUUUAGCUCUAUAUCGUCGGAAUAGGAUGAAUAUCACCAAGGCAAAAGUCGAGACAGAAAAUAACAAAGUUGGAACCAGAAUAGUAGUGACAGGAAGAUUGUGCUUGACUUUGCUAUUUCUUUCUCGAUUUACAGUUGGGGAUGAACCGCAAGGAAGGAAGCCUUGAAUGGAACCACAUAAAUCCUUAUUAUGGUUGAGAGAGACCAAACUUUUUAACUGUCCCAGAGAGGAAGGGAUGUCACCUGAAAGCCUAUUGAAGGAUAGAUCCAAUGCCACCAAAUUCAGUAGACUCCCAAUUCCUGGUGGAAUGGAUCCAUUAAGUUGGUUGCUUUGAAGGAACAACGAGGCAAGAUUGGUUAAGCAUCUGACAGAAAAUGGGAUUGGACCAACAAGUCUAUUGGAGGAUAGAUCCAAUGCAAAUAAAUUCGUUAGUCUCCCAAUUUCUUGAGGAAUGGAUCCAUUAAGUUUGUUGCUUUGAAGGAACAACGAGGCAAGACUGGUUAAGCUGCUGACAGAAGAUGGGAUUGGACCAACAAGACUAUUGGAGGAUAGAUCCAAUGCAGAUAAAUUCGUUAGUCUCCCUAUUUCUUGAGGAAUGGAUCCAUUAAGUUUGUUGCUUUGAAGGAACAACGAGUCAAGACUGGUUAAGUUGCUGACAGAAGAUGGGAUUGGACCAACAAGACUAUUGGAGGAUAGAUCCAAUGCAAAUAAAUUCGUUAGUCUCCCAAUUUCUUGAGGAAUGGAUCCAUUAAGUUUGUUGCUUUGAAGGAACAAUGAGGCAAGACUGGUUAAGUUGCUGACAGAAGAUGGGAUUGGACCAACAAGACUAUUGGAGGAUAGAUCGAAUUCAGACAAAUUCCUUAGUCUCCCAAUUUCUUGUGGAAUGGAUCCAUUAAGUUUGUUGCUUUGAAGGAACAACGAGGAAAGAUUGGUUAAGUCGCUGACAGAAGAUGGGAUUGGACCAACAAGACUAUUGGAGGAUAGAUCGAAUUCAGACAAAUUCCUUAGUCUCCCAAUUUCUUGUGGAAUGGAUCCAUUAAGUUUGUUGCUUUGAAGGAACAACGAGGCAAGAUUGGUUAAGCUGCUGAUAGAAGAUGGGAUUGGACCAACAAGCCUAUUGUAGGAUAGAUCCAAUGCAACCAAAUUCCCUAGUCUCCCAAUUUCUUGCGGAAUGGAUCCAUUAAGUUUGUUGCUUUCAAGGAACAACGAGACAAGAUUGGUUAAGUUGCUGAUAGAAGAUGGGAUUGGACCAACAAGCCUAUUGUUGGAUAGAUCCAAUGCAACUAAAUUCCUUAGUCUCCCAAUUUCUUGCGGAAUGAAUCCAUUAAUUUUGUUGCUUUCAAGGAACAACGAGGCAAGAUUGGUUAAGUUGCUGAUAGAAGAUGGGAUUGGACCAACAAGCCCGUUGUUUGAGAGAUGAAGAUCAACCAUAUUCUCUAGCUUUCCAAUAUUUGGUGGAAUGGAGUGAAUAUCAUUAAUAGAAACAUCAAGCCCUGCCAAUUGAGUGAGGUUUCCAAUUGAAGAAGGUAACUUACCUGUAAGGCUGUUCAGUGACAAAUUUAGAGAAACAAGAUUCUCCAUCUUCUGAAUUGCCAAGGGAAUGGAAUGAAUAUAGUUAUCAUAAACGUCAAGCACUGCCAAUUGAGUGAGGUUUCCAAUUGAAGAAGGUAACUCACCUGUAAGGCUAUUCAAAGAUAGGUUGAGGUACCUGAGCUUUGAAAGUGCUCCUAUUUGAGGUGUUAUGCUCCCAUUCAGACCAUGGCCACUAAGAUCAAUCUCGACGACACUUCCAGCUUUGCAUCGGAUACCAGGCCACUUACAAUGGUCUCCAACUCUAUUUCUAUAAUUACUCCACCACCCUGUUUCCCUCAAUGCUUUUGCCUCUGCUGCCAGCCAUUGAGAAUCAUCGUUUGUUGCUCUUGUAAUUCCACUAGUGAUUACAAUUACAGAGAGUAAAAAGAAGGAAGGGAUAGAAGUGAAACAGUAGGAUUUCAUAGCUAUGAAGUUGAGGGCUGAAGCUGCAAUCCAUUUCUCAAACCUUAGCUUAUUUAAAUACAUAUAAAGCUGAUUUAAUUUUAUUGGAUAUAUAUUAAUUUCAAAGUCUUUAGUAACAAAUAUUGGAAAAAAAAGUAAAUUAAAAUUUUUUUUGAAACUAACUAAAAAAAUUAAUUAAACCUUUUAAAAUUUAAAAAUUAUUUUAAAAAAUCAUAAAUACCUUGAGUGAGAGAAAAUUCUAGCAGAAAAUAUAGAAAGUUUUAAAAUACAGUCUUUGAAGAUUGAAGUACAACCCCUCUGCCUGUUGUAGUUUAGAUUUUUCUCAUGAUUAUACACAAAAUCCCGAACGUGUUCAGAGUAGAAACUGUAAAUGAAGACAUUAUUGGUUUUUGCGUGGGUCAUGGGCUUUCUGAUGGCAAGCCUUAAUGGAAGACCUUGACUUCCAAAUUAAUCAACUUGUUUUAAUUGUUUUUUAUAUCACACCAAUGUUAAAAAGCCACAUUUGGUAUAAUAAUACUAUAUAAAAAUUAUAAAAAAUUUAAAUUUAUUUUAAAAAAUAGAAAAAUUCUAUAUAACAAUACUAAAAAAAAUAUAAAAACUUCAAUAUGUUGUUGUUGAAGAAUUAAUAUGUAUGAGAAAUAAUUAUCAUUCAAAUAAAAAAUAGGUCAAAUAUAUAUAUAUAUAUCAUUACAUGUUUCCUCAAUGUUUCUCAAAGCCAAAUUAGUAAUAUCUUCCAAGUCGAUUUCAUGCUGUGAAAUCAACUCUGAUGUCAAUUUUUUAGCAAAAAAUAAAAUUAUACCACAAAAUUUUCUUUUUUAGACUCAACUCAAAAUUUCAAAUCAUUUAUUUUUUUUUCGAAACCCAAAUUGUAAAAACAAAUUAUAUUCUUAAUUUUUUUUCUUUUCUUAUAACAAAAAAAAAGCCAUGUUAAGAAAAGAAGAGGUAAAAAAUAGAGAACCAAUACUUUUGCGGGUAAACUAUUAAAAUAGUCACUUUUGUUUACUUCAGGUUACAUUUUAGUCACUUAUGUUUGAAAUGUUACAUUUUAGUCACUUACGUUAUCGUAUUAUAACAUUUUAGUCACUGAGCCGUUAAUUGUUGUUAACAGUAUAACUGUAAGCUGACGUGGCAUGUUAAAUCAUCAUUUUAAAUGAAAAUUUUAGGUUAAAUUAUACAAUUGAUCCCUAUUUUUUUUCAUUUUGAGCACUUUAAUUUUUUCUUUUAUGUUUUUUAACUUUCUUUUUUUCUUCUUAUUUUCCAUUCUCUUUUGUUUCUCCCUCUAUUUUCGUCCUUUUUCCAUUUUUUUAACAUAAUUUUUUUAUGUUUUUCAUUUGUUAAAACUAGUCCCUAUACUUUUAUUUUUUUUGAACAAUUUAAUUUUUUUUCCUUUUUAUUUUUAUUCACAAUUGUCUAUAAUAAGCACAAAAAAAAGAUUAAAAAAUCUUUAUUCUGGGUUUUCAUUGAAGAUCAAUACAAAAUCUUUUAACUUUCCUUUUUUUUUUUCUUUAUUUUCCAUUCUCUUCUGUUUCUCCCUCUGUUUUCCUCCCUUCUCUGUCUCUUUUAACAUAGUUUUUCUAUAUUUUCCGUUUGUUAAAACUAGUCACUAUACUUUUAUUUUGGUAUUGGGUAUUUUUUGUACGUUCUGUUUAAUCUUCCUUUUGAUUAGUUUUUAAUAUUUUUUCAACUUAGGGUAACAAUUUUGUAUUGAUCUUCAAUAAAAACUCAGAAUAAAGAUUUUUUUAAAUAUUUUUUUGCUUAUUGUAAACAAUUGUGAAUUGGGGUUUUUGAUAUUUUACACUUAUUGUUGAUGCUAUACAAAGGAUCCAAAAAUGGAUUAUUAUGGUGAUUUUAUAGAAUUGCUUGGACCUGAUUUUUCAAUGAAAAUUCUCAUGAUACUGGUUAACCCUUCUGAUCCCAUUAGAGUUAACUUGAUUUCUAGUUUUUGGCACCAAUUUGGUAAACAAAUUAAUGUCUUUGGUAGAAUUUAGCUAGUUAUAUAUUGAAGAAGAAUCGGUGUUGAUUAAUUCAAUAAAAUCGAUUUUAUUUAUCUUGCAAUGAUCAAAAAUGGUCUUUGGGUUUACGCACAGAGUAUGUAAUCAAAGAUGAGUAUGUAAUCAAAGAUAAUUUUCUUUAACAAAUAAAGAAAUAAAAAAAUUAAUUUGUUCAAAAAAAAUAAAAGUAUAGGGACUAGUUUAACAAAUAGAAAAUAUAAAAAAACUACAUUAAAAGAAAUGGAGAAAGGAGGAAAACAAAAGGAGAAGUAGAAAAGAAUGGAAAAUAAAGGAAAAAAAAGUUAAAAGAACAUAAAAGAAAAGAAUUAAAUUGCUCAAAAUGAAAAAAUAUAGGGACCAAUUUUAUAAUUUAACCUAAAAUUUUCGUUUGAAAUGAUGAUUUAAUGUGCCACAUCAGCUUACUGUUACAUUGUUAACGGAAAUUAAUGGCUUAGUGACUAAAAUGUUACAAUACAAUAACGUAAGUGACUAAAACGUAACAUUUCAAACAUAAGUGACUAAAAUGUAACCUAAGGCAAACAAAAGUGACUAUUUUGAUAGUUUACCCUACUUUUGCUUAGUGUUUUUAUUUUUUCAAUGUUAUUUUAAAUAAUGAGUGUACAAGCCCAUAUAUGCCCGGGUCCAAAUCCAGUAAACUAAACCUAAGCCCAAACUAAACCUAGCCCCAAAAAAUAAAAACAAAAACAAAAAACCCUAAGCAGAAAAAACCACCAGUCGCCGUAGGCCGCAACAGUAGCCGCCAUUCGCACGAGUUGCGCCUCCACCCGCGCCACGCCUUGCCUGCCACACCUCCAGCAGUACCUGCAGCAACAAACACAAAACAUAAUAGCAAAAAUCGGGCAACAAUAUGUCAACAAAAACAGAAUAGAUUUCUUUUGAUUCUGUAUUUUUUUUCCUUUUCCAUUUUGGCUAUUUAAAGCCGUGAAAAAUCUGUAACAAAGGUGGAAAAAUAUAUGCAAAGAAAUAGAGAGAAAAUACAGAGAUCAAACUUGUUUUUGCAUAGGUGAUUUCUUUUUCGUUUUGCUUUGCAGUGUCCAUCGUUUUUUACAUACAUAUUGUUUUAUUCUCUUUUAUUUUCGUUUUAUUUCAUUUAAAAUAAUAAAGAAAAGAAAGGGAUCUUACCUCUUUUGUCAAAGUCGCCGGAUGGUUGCCAUCUCCGUAGCGAUCGGAGCAUUGGCACGAACGGCGGCGCAAAAUGGGUUAAAAGAACCCUAGCAGAGCCACAUUUUUUUAAAAAGAACAAAAUGAUUUUUUUUUUUCCUUUUGUUCAAUUUCGUUUAAUUUUUGUAGCACACGAAACGACACCGUUUGGUGCCUUGACCCGCGCGGUGACCCGACCCGGAUGGAGAGGAUCCGCGCAUUUUGGCUUGAAUGAGGAAAUUGCGUAUUUAGGCCCUCCUUUUUGUGACGCACUUCAAUCAAACCAGUUUCCUUUUUUUGUAAAUUGAGCCGCAUAUUUCAUUUUUGUUUCAAUUUGACCCAUUGCUGCGCAGCGUUUUGGGAAGGCGGGAAUAAUUUCUCUUUUGGUCCUCCACUGUUGUGUGCGCAUUCAAUGUGGUCCUGUCUUUUAGUUUGCUUCGAAUCUGCCCCAUUUUCUUCGUUCUUCAUUCAAUUUAGUCCUUUUUUUUGCUAUUUUUAUUUUUCAUGUUAUUAUUAUAAUUAUAUUAUACAAUUGUUUUUAUUUGUGUGUUACUAUUAUUAUUAUUGUUCAUUCACAUGCAUGGUUUUAUAUAAUAUAUAUAUGCAUUCUUUUGUAUAGUACCCGUCUACCUAUAUAUUAUAUAUAUGUUUUAUUUUUUUAUUUUUUUAACUUCUAUGUAUAUACAUAGACUUUUAUAUGUUAGUUUUUACUUGUGUCAAUAUGUUAAGUACUUUUUUAUAUAUAUUAUUCUUCAUAAAUUUUUUUUUACAAACAUAUAGGUAUACAUACACAUAUUUUUAUGCAUGCAUAUUUUUAGAAAUUAUUAUAAGUUUAUUUUAUACAUUUCUUUACCCUCCUUUUUAUAUGUACACUUAUAUUUAUGUGACAAAUAUACGAAUACACUUAUUUUCAAACUUAUUUGUAUAUUAUGCUUGUAUAUAUAUUUUGUAAAUACACAUACAUAUAUAAUUUAAAUUAAAGUAUUUGUUUUAUGUUAUACAUUAACUUUUUAACAUACCUUUUAGAAAAUAUAUAUUUUGGCUGCGUCAAAGCAUUAAAAUCAUCAUAUUUCGUAAAUUUUUAAAAUAUUUGGCAUUCAUGAUUCUCGAGAAAGAUCGUGUCCUAACUUACUGGAUUGCGAUUAUUUUUCGACGAAUUUAGCAAGCCAAGUAUUCAUUUUGCAAUAAGUUCACAAAUUUCAAAUAAAGGCUUAUUCCCGGGAAUUCAAAAAUGUCGGGUCCUAACUUACUGGUCAUGACAUUUUGUUAUCUCGAAAUAAGAAUUUCUAAAACAAAAGGCAAUAUUCGGUAUUUUGAAGACUUAAAAAUAUUGUGCCCUAACUCACUGGGUGUGGUGUUUUAUUUCUUUGAAAUAAGAAUGUUUUAUUAUUUUGAUUCAUUCACGAGAUAAAAAGUUUUCUUUUAAAAUCUUUUCAAAUUUUCGACACCAAGACAUUAAAUAAUCAAAUUCGGUAUCGAUUUUGGGCGUUGCGAGGGUGCUAACCCUUCCUCGUGCGUAACUGACUCCCGAACUUGUUUUCUCAAAUUUCAUAGACCAAAAUUGUUUUUAAGGUGAGCCGAUCACACCUCAAUCAAGGGUCAGUGGCGACUCCAAUUUUUUUGUUUUUUAAAGUCGACAACUAAAUUUUUGUUUUCAAAAAAAAUGGUUUCGACAAUGAGUAUUGGAUAUUUCUAGACAAAUAAUACAAAGAUAAAUUUUGGAGGGUUUAAAAAAAUUUCCCCCAUUUUCUCUCACUUUAUUUAUUUUUUAUUUUGAUUUACUUUUAUAUAAUUUUUAAUUUUUAGAUUUUUCUAAGUUUUUGAAAAGAAAUUCAAAUUUUUAUUAUUUUAAAUAUAAUCAAGAUUAAAUUGAUAGAAAGUGUGAAAUUUGAAGGCUAAAUUGUUGUUUUACCAACUAAAAAAGUCACUUUAUAAUUGGGUGAAAAAAACAAUUUUGAAAACGUUAGUAAUAAAAUUAUAAUUUCUUUUUAGUUAAGUGACUAGAACAAAUUUUUUUUCAUAGUUUAAUGACUAAUAGUAUAAUUUUCUAAAAAAAAUUAACUUGGACCACAACAAUAUCACUUCCAAUCAUGCACUCACAAAAUUAAUAUCGAUUUUGAAUUUAAUCAAAAAUAAAUAAAUUUGAUUCAAUCCCACCUUAAUUUGGUGUUCACAUUUGCAAAUUAAAAAAAAAAAAACCAAAAUAUGAGAAUAAAAUAAAAUCGGACUUGUCCCCUUAUAGUUUAAAAUUAUGUUCUAACCCCAAAAAUCUAGAUGAUAUUUAAUUUAGCCCCUAAUUUAAACCCAAAAUUUUAAUUGUAAUUCUAAAAUCAAAUUAAGAUUUAAUUAUAAAAUAAAAAAAUGAUUGAAAGAAAAGACUAAAUCAUUUAGAACUUAUUUUUAGUCAAUUAACUUUUUUGCAUGUUUGAUAAUCUAUAAAAAAGAAAAAACAAAUUAUAGAAUUAUUUCAAUAAUAAAGUAUGAAAAAUGACAAGUAUAUCACUUAAUGUAGAAUCUUUUAUCUUAUUUUAUUUCUUUUUCACUUUAUCUUUUAAAUAUUUUAUCUUUAAAAUUUCAAAAAUUUCAUUUAUCUCACAAAUUCUACAUGUUUUAUUUUACAGUCUAUAUUCGGAGUUCAUAAACACCCCUUUUUAAUAAUAUUAUCUCUAAGAUUCAAUCUGCACUCUCCUGCGAGUAUAAUGUGCUCAAACCAAGAAUAAUAUGCAUGCUUACACGGUGGAGAGUGUAAAAUGUUGAUCUACUUUGGAGAAAUUUUGAAUAUUGUUAAUGAUUUCUAUCUAGUUUCGAGGAACGCUGCUUGUGAAGACAAUAAUGGUUUCCGCGUGGGUCAUAGGCUUCUCAUGGCAACCCGUAACGACUGGGCUCAAACCAAAAUAUACAAGGAAGACCUUGACUUCCUAAAUACACGCUUAAUUUCACUUCCAUCUUCAUCUUAAUUCAAACACCAAUUUCUUGGCUAGUGUUCCAUCACCUUUUUCUAAUUUUAAUUUUUUCCUUUCAAUUUCAAAGCAACUUGUAAAAUAGUUUAUUUUUCUGAAAUACUCUCAAAAAAUAAACAAAUUAAGAAGCCGAUGAAGCGCCACUAUUCGAGUCAACACACUUUCCAAAAGAAACUAUUGGUGGCCGGUGAAGGGUCAUCGGUGAUAAAAAUCGUCAUCUGUCCAUCACAGCUUGUGAAAGCAACGAAGAUACCUAAAAAAACUUUACCUUAUUUAAAUACAUAAAAAAAUUGAUUUAAUUUUAUUGGGUAUAUAUUAAUUUCAAAGUCUUUAGUAACAAAUUAUUGGGAAAAAAAAGAGCCUAUUGGAAGUAAAUUAGAAAUAUUUGAAAGUAAUUGAUUAAACUGGUGAUACAUAACUAUAACAGCAAUUGGAGAUAUUUCAUUGAAAGACAUCGCAAUUGGAGAUUGCAUAUAGGAAAUUUCUUGAGACAUUAAUUUGUUGGCUGUAAUUAAUUAACUUGAGUUUGUGUGUAAGCAUGUAAAAGCAACCAUAGCCACAAAAGUGUAGCGUAAAAUUUUAAGCAGAAGAUGAUGACGAUAGUAGAAUUGACAAUAACUAACCUAUAAGUAUUUCAAAUUCAGAAUUAUCAUCAAAUAAGCAAAUUAUAAUUUAUAUAAUAAUAAAAAUAUAUACAUAAGAUUCUAUAAGUAUUUCUUGGCAGAAUCCGUGCGAAUAACCUUGUUGGGUGUUAUGGCAUAUAAUUGAGGGUUAAGAAGUAGUUAAUUACUGUUUAUUUUUGUUAAGUCUGUUGGGUUAAUUAUGCUGCAAAAGUGACACGUUUUGAGGGGGUCCUUUAAUGAAUUCGUUGCGUUUUGGGCAAAGGGUUUUGUUAGUGACACGGGGCAUUUUGAUGUUUGCCUUGUAACCCAAUGACAGCUGUGAUGACCGUUAUUUUCCUUUCUUAGCACCCUCGUGUGUGCUGGAAUGGUUAUGAAAAGUUUCAGUAUUAUUUUCUCAGCCUCUCUCCUCUUUUCUCUCUCUGUUACUCCUUCUUCUUCUUCCUUCUAUACUUCUCUGUUCUUCUUCUUCUUCUUCUUCAGCACGCAUCAAGGUAUCAGAGGCUCUCUUUCCUCAUGGCCAACGAUGGAGUCACCACCAGGCUUCAAAAAGAGAUGAGUCAACUGCAACAAGAGUUCACUCAGUUGAAAGCAGGUCUAGAUUCCAAGAUUGAUACCAAGUUUCAGUCCUUCCAUGACACCAUAAAAGGGGAGAUUCGAAUUGAGAUUUGCACUGGUCUUUAAACCUUGUUUGAGCAGUACAUGGGGCAGUCGACAGCGACUAGCGCUAUUGGAACUAGUAAGGCAUCUCUAGUAGAAGUGAGCUCGGGUAAGGGAAAGGGUAUUCUAGGAAGUGUUCCUCUUGAAUCUCCAAAGAAGGAGUAGUUAAUAAUAUCUCCCUUGCGAGAGUCAAGACAAACUGAAACGUUGGCACGAGUAGUUUUAGGGGAUGUAACCAGUAACUUGUACAGACUUGAGUGCCCACAUUUUGAUGGCACGGAUUUUCGUGGAUGGUGGUCGAAGCUUGAACAAUUUUUCUCAUCAGAGUGUGUCAGAGACGAGGCUAAGGUGAAAGUAGUCAUGCUCCAUCUUGAAGGCAAGGCCCUUGACUGGCACCAUUUCUUUGUCUAGAGACGUGGUGGAUUGCAGCAGCUUUCGUGGGAGGUUUAUGCUCGUGGACUAAGGGGCAGGUUUAGCUCGGACACACUUCUAGAUCCUAUGUCUGAACUCGUUUCUCUUAAGCAACAAGGGUCAGUGACUCAGUUUCAUGAUACAUUUGUUAGUUUGCUCAACCAAAUAGACUUAAGUGAAGAAAAUGCGAUUAGUGUGUUUGUUAGUAAUAUUAAUGUGCGUCGAAACCAUCAAAAAUAAUUCCUACAAAAUAACUCUAAAUAGUAGUAAACAGUGGUAGUAGGGUCGAGUCCACAUGGAUUGGAUGUUAUAAUCAAAUUCCGCGAUUAACUUGUGAUCAAAAUUUUGUCGUGUCGAAAGUCAUGGCAAAAGUCGUGCCCAUGACUCCAAACGGACCUGCUAAAAAAUAAACAAAUAAAUCAUUGGAGAUUAAAUUCGAAUUUUGUAAUCAAAGAUAAUAAGCCUUAGCCUUAGACUUGGUGGAUUUCAGAUUUUUGAAUCGAUCCUUGAAAAUUAAUUUUCUCCUCCAAUCAAUAAGCUGGUUAUAGUAGCUAAGAACGUCCUAACCACCAGUUUUUCCUCUCGUAGCUGGUCCCGGUACGACCUGCAAACCAACCUUUAUUGAUUAUCUAGCCGAGAUACACGUGUUCCCAGUUCAAGAUUCCGGCAGCCUUGCGCUCUGAAGAACCCAACUAGAAUUAACGGCCUCAACCGCGUGGGUUGUUUAAACACGAUCACUUCUUCCUUGAUUUGUUCUUGGAGAUCCAAACACAACACAACCAACUUGUUUCUCCAACUGUCAGCAAACACGACUCCAACCCAACGUGCACUUUUUAACUUGAAAUUGAGUUAACUUUAAGGGAUGAGUUGUCAAUCCCGAUACUUAGGAAAAAUGUGAAUACUGAUUGGAAUGAUUUUUUUUUAACAUGGAUACGUAUCUCACGAUUCUCGACCGAAAAGAACACCGGCCUAAAGCUAAGAUGGAAUUUAGUGAAGCAUGAAUUUAAUCAUGCUUGUAGGUUAUGGAAGGUGAUUGAAUUUGUAUGAAAGAUGGUGGAAAUUGGGGAAGAAAAGGGCUUGGCAAGCAAUUAAACAAAUUUUGAAAAAGAAAGAAAAAAAAAACAAGAAUUGGAAACAAAGCAACAUAAUGUUACGCACCAAUUCAAUUCCAAAUUGAAAUCAAAGUGUGAAAUUCAAGUGUGUCUCCUAAAGCCCCUAUUUAUAUACAUAGAAUUUACUAAUUUUGGCUUUAACCACUUUAACAUAAAAUUAAAAUUAAAAUUAAAAUUAAAUAAAAAAUAAAAUAAGAGAUUGUCCCAAAAAGACAAGCUAACCAGUAAACGAAUCUGAAUCACACCACCCUUUCGAGGACAAAUCACUAUCAAAUCUCAAAAGAAUCCCUUGGCCAAGAGAGCAAUUCAAGUACCAGAUGUUGACACCAUUUUUUUUGUGAAAACGGGGUUGACUUGGGUUUUAAAAAUAAAAACGAAUAUGGGAGUCGCCACCAAUCUUUUUUGAUGAGGUGUGAUAGGGCCACCUUGGAAAGUGGUUGUUUUUAAUAAACAAUUUAAUUUUAUUAAAACAACAAUUUUGGUCCACGAAAUUCAGAAAAACGGGUUCGGGAGUCAGUUACGUACGACGAAGGAUUAGCACCCUCGUAACGCCCAAAAUUGGUACCUAGUUGAUUAAUUAAUGUCUUAGUGUCGAAAAUUGAAAACUUGGAAGAAUUUUAAAAAUACGAACCUUGUAUUAAAAUGUUGAAAAUUUUCGGGAAAAAGACAUAUUUCACAUUGAUCGAGAAAGAGAAUCAUAUCCAGUAAGUUAGGACACAAUGUCUCGAAUUCCCGAUACGCGAAUGAAUGCUAAAAAUUUACUUAUUUAAAAGAUAUUUAGCUAUCUCGAGUUUUUUUUAAAAAGAGAUCAUGCCCAGUAAGUUUGGACACGAUCUUUUCCUAAUUCCCGAGAUCGUUUAAAACUUCGAAAAAAAUAUCAUGCCCAGUAAGUUAAGACACGAUCUCUUCUUAAUUCCCGAGAUUGUUUAAAUCUUGAAUUUGAAAAGAUUCGUGUAUUUAGAUUUAUUGUGAAAAUCAAAACCCAGUAAGUUAGGGUACGACCUUCUCGAAUCUAAACACGAGAUUUUAUUUAUUCAAAAAUCAUAAUUUAUGCAUUGAAUAAAAUCACGAAAUAGUGGAAAUGAAACAAAUGCGUAACAAAAUAAAAAUGAAUAUGAUGAUGUAAAAAUAAUACGAGAAAUCAUCAAAAAUGAAAUAAAUAAAUAUAAGAGACAAAUCAAUCAUACAAUUGCAAGUAAAUAAACGAAUAGAAUUAAAACAUUCUUUCAAAAUAAUAAUUAACAUGUAAAUAACAAUAAAAAUGAAUACGAUUAAAAAAUGUAAAGAGAUAUAUAUGUAUAUAGAUAUAAAUUAAAAAUAUGUAUGUAUAUGUGAAUUAUAAAAUAUAUAUAUAAUAUGUAAUUUAAAAUAUAAAGAAUAUAUAAGUAUGUACAUGAAGUAAAAUAUGUAUAUACAUAUGUAGGUAUAUAAAAAUUAUGAAAUAUGAAAAUAAUAAAAUACAUAAAAAAGUAGGUGUUUAUGUAUAUAUUUACAAAAGUUAAAAUAUGUACAUAUAUAUAUAUAUAUAUAUUACAAAAAGUAAUGCGUGUAUAUAUGCAUAUUUUUUGUAAGUCAUAAAAUAUGUAAAAGGAACAUAUGUAUGUAUAUAUAUAAUGAAAUUUGGAAUUAAAAGAUAAUAAUAAUAAUAAUAAUAAUAAUAAUAAUAAUAAUAAUAAUAAUAAUAAUAAUAAUAAUAAUAAUUAAUUUAGUAAUGGAAUAAUUAAAAUAACAAACAGAGGACUAAAAUGAAUCUAGACAAAAUUUUAGGGUCUAAAUCAUAAAAUGAAAAAGGACACGAAAAGGACUAAAUCAUGACGCGCACAACAGGAGGAGGAUCCAAAAGGAAAUAAACCAAGUACCCAAAACGCAGCGCUGCAAUGGACUAAAAUGAAACAAAAAUAAAAUUGUGCGGCUAAAUUAAAAUAAAAGAAAAGAAAGAAAAAAGAGCCAAAUUGCAACGCGUAGCAAAAAGCGGAGGGACUGCGCGCGCAAAUAUCCCCUCUUUAAGAAAACACGCGGAUCAUCCCCCACGGUCGGGUCACCACGCGGGUCAGGGCCAAAACGGCGUCGUUUUGGCUCCUGAACCCUAGUUGCAAAACGGCGCCAUUUUUAAAAAUUUAUUUAAACUAAUUUUUCAACAAACAUUCAUUUAGCAGUAGGAAAUAAAAAAAAAAAUACUUUUCACUCUGUUUCUAAAAAAGAUGAUAUCCCUCCCCCUUUAGAAUCCGGCUAUGACGCCAGUGAGCUUGCGCGGUGGCUCUGCCAUAGUCCCGUCGCGGCUUCGCCGUGCCAGAAAGUAGGAAAAACAAAAUCAAAUCUCCCCUCCUUAACCCGUUUCCCCUUUUGGCGUGGCCUAAACGAAACCCUAAAGGGUUUCUACAGCCUUGGCACAUGGAGGGAGCCACCGACGGUGGCGCGCCACAAAUAGAAAGGUACGUCCUCUCCUCUCGUUUUUCUUAGAUUUCAAAAAAAGUUCAAAAUUAAAAAAAUGAAAGAGUAAAAAUACAGAGAAAUAAGGGAAAAUCACCUUCAAUGUUUUUUUUUCCUUGCUUUUUACUUUCUGAAAAUGUUUGUAAAAGAAAGGGAAAAAACCGAACCCCUUGUGAUGAAUACAUUCGGCUUUUUAUAGCCUAAAUUAAAUGUUAUUUUUUCUAUUUUUCUUGCGUCUCUGUUGUUUGCGUGUCUUGCAGGUGACGACGCAAGUGGGGGACGGCUACGUGACCGCAGCGGUGACUGACGCGCGGCGGUGGCGGCUGGUAGGUCAAGGGUCAGAAGACCCUAGGUGUGGCGUACCUAGGGUUAGGGUUGCUGGCUUUUUUUUUUUUUUCUGAAAAUGGGUUAUUUGGGCUUUAGAUUUACUUGUUGGGCUGUAUUUGGGUUUUGGGUAAACUGAAUUGGGCUCGUUUGCGCUAGGUUUAGGUUGGGGAUUUUUUGGGCCCAGGCAAAAUUUGGGUUGUACACCAAAUAAAACGUAGAGUCGUGUCUCAAUGUUCCUGCCUUGGCUCAUGCAUAAAAUAAGAUAAGACAUGAACCGAGUAUAUCAAAUCAAGUCCGUUCACUACCAAAUUAAUCAAGUAACCCAUUAACUAUCUGUAUGGCUCAGGAUUAGACAAAACUAUCCUUGUAGCAUGCACUAAUUUAUGAUUUUGCUCUAUUGGCGAUCCUGCAGGCUUUACUCCCAAAAGAUCCGCCUCUGAAAUAAUAUCAAGUGUAUAUUUCCUUUGACAAAGAAAUAACCCCAAAGAGCUAAGAGCUACCUUUAUCACCAAAAAAUAUUUCAAAACACCAAGAUCCUUCAUGUGGAAGGAAGAACUGAGAUACCCCUUAAAAGUUUUCAAAGCAGCGGAAUCGUUCUUAGAAAUAAACAAAUCAUCAACAUCAACCAACACAUUAAUGCGAACAGAUCCCUUAGUGUAUGUAAAGAGAGAAUAAUCAGAAUAUGAUCGAAGAAAUCGAUACUCCUUUAGUGCAGUGACAAGAUUCACAAACCAAUACUGAGGAGCCUCUUUCAACCCAUACAAAGACUUGUGCAAACAACAAACCAUUCCAGCCUUAUCAGGAGAAAAACUUGGAGGAAGCUUCAUGUAAACUUCUUCACCAAGAUCACCAUGCAGGAAGGCAUUAUGGACAUCCAUCUGAUGUAACUCCUAACUUUUUGAAGCUGCAAUAGCUAAGAAAGCCCGAACAGUCACCAUUUUUGCCAUAGGUGCGAAAGUUUAAUUAUAGUCAAUACUUUCUACUUGGUGAUUACCAAAGAUAACAAGACGAGCUUUAAUUUUCUCAAUACUUCUACCGGAGUUAUAUUAUCCUCUAGAGCAAAAAUCUCUUUUUGCAUAGCAUCAUACCAUCCUGCAUCCUUCACAUCCUUUUUAAAAGAUUGUGGCUCGAUCCCUACAGUAAUAACUGCAAGAAAUUUUUAGUGUUUCAUAAUAAAUUUGUCUCAAUUAACAUAAUGCGCUAUAAGAAAUGGAGUACCUGAGGAAGGUUCUGAAACAAGUAAGGUGAGAGAUUAACUUUUCUUUAUGACGGUAUUAGUGAAAAAAUCUCGAAGCUUCACAGAGGGAAAGUUCUCCUUAUGCUCUCAUCCCAAUUCAGGCGCACCAUUACCUAAAGCCCCAUGUACCACCAUGACAUUGGAGAAAGAAGAAGAUACCACAGGUGUCAGAGAACUCGCAGGUUACGAACUCACAGGCUGUGAAGUAGCAAGCAUAAGAACUAUUGCAGGUUGUAACACCUCUGAUUCACUAAAAUAUGUAUAAAAAAUUAUGUUUGCAGUCCCAUAUGACAGGACAACAUUGUUAGGCUCAAUGGUUGAACUAUUCCCAUCCAAAUACGAAAAAUAUCCUCAAAAAAUUUCACAUCAUGGGACACAAAGAACUUCUUAGAAUUCAGAUAAUAUAAAUACCAACCCUUUUUUCCAAAACGGUACCUAAUAAAAACAUACUUUCGACUUUGACUAGAAAACUUAUCACCUUUAGAAUGUUGAUUAUGAGCAAAACAUAAGCAAUCAAACACACAAAAAUCAUCAAACAAAGGAGGGCUACCAAACAACAUUUCACAGGGUGUUUUAGUAUGAAGAAGAGGUGAAGGAGUUCGGUUAAUGAGAUGAGAAACAGCCAAUACACAUUGCCCCCAAAAAGAUAUAGGUAGAUUUCCUUGAAAACACAAAACGUGAGCUACAUUUAAAAUAUGCUGAUGUUUCCUAUCCACUUUCCCAUUUUGUUGAGGAAAAAUGUUUGAAAAAUAAUGUCAUUUGCAAGAAAAUAACCUUGGAGACAAUUAAAUUCCGUCCCAUUAUCACUUCUAACACAAUUUAUUUGUUGAGAAAAUUGGCGACCAACCGUAGCAAUUAAUUAUAUGAAAACUUUGAAAACCUCCUUUUUAUUAGCCAAUAGAAAGUUCAUCCCAUCUCUCACCCGCUCCAAUUAGCUCCAUUGAAUGCAGAUCCUAAAUAGCACAUAUCUUAGUAAAAAAAUUGGAAAAAGCAAUUCGUAUCAUCAGUCAACUGGGAAAUCGAAACUAAAUUGCAGUUUAAUUUAGGAAUGUAAAGAACGUGUUUUAAGUGAAUUUUUUUCGUCAAUUUAAUUAUUCCUUCUUAGGUAGCCACCAUUGUUUGGCCAUCUGGGAGUCCUAUGGAACAUGCUACAACAUCUCUCACAUUUUUCAAACAUAGAAGAUCACCCAUAACAUGAUUUGAACAUCCUUUAUCAAUAAUUCAAUUAUUCUUAGACUUACCAUUCAACUAAGUGGAAGUUGAUUGUUUAUUACCGAACACCGCCCGAACAGAUUGCCAUUGCUCAGUGGUAAAACCAGUAAGUGUUGCCUUCCCUGGUGGUGAUGGAGGAGGAAAAGACUUGCCGCCAACCAUUUAGAAUGAUGAAAGAAUAUUUUUUUAAAAAAAACUUGCUAAGAUGCCAUGACAAGAAUAGGGUAAUCUCUCUUGAAUUCUAUUGAUGGACCUCAAGGAUAUAUAUAUAUAUAUCUAUAUAGUAGUAGUUACGUAAGAAUCAAAUUGCUAAAAGAUAAUAUCCCAUAAUAAUAUCUUAUAAUAUCCCAUUAGGAAUCAAAUUACUAAGAGAUAAUAUCCCAUAAUAAUAUCCUAUAAUAUUCUAUUAAGAAUCAAAUUGCUAAAAAACAAUAUCGCAUAAUAAUAUCCUAACAAAAAAUUAUAUUUUAAUAAUAAUAAGUAAAGAAAUGGUAUAAGAUGAGCUAUUCUCAUCUUCUUCCUCAAGUUAAAAACAAAGAAUAAGAAACAUGGGUUCUUUUCCCCAUUGCCGAUUUCAAUUGUUAAGGUAAGGGAGAUUUCUUUCUUCUUCUUCUUCUUCUUUUUCCUUUAAUUCUUUCUGAAAUUCUAGCCUAAGUAAGUUGAUAGUUGACCCAUGCCAUAGAUAGUUAAUUGAUAAAGUCUCGGUUAAGUUUAUAAUGUUAAAAGUCAGAAUUUAGAGAGAAAAAAUGACACCAUUCAAAAUUUAUGGUAUUUAUUGAUAUUUGAGGUCCCUAAAAUAUAAUUAUAAAAUCGGAUUUAGAUUUGAUUUGUUCAAUAUUAAAAGUUUAAAAGAACAUACAUACUUGAAUUUAUUGAAUUUUUGUAAUCUGAUUAAUUUGCUGAAUUCAAUUUCCUACGUAUUCAAUAAUUUGGUAUUCUUCUGAAAAACUCUGUAAGGUUUCAGGAAUUAAUUAUUACAACUCACUAUUGGUUUUAGUGAUUCUGUAAUUUUUUAAGUAAUAUUAUAAUAAUUUUCUAAUUAUUAAUUGAUAGUUUGAAGUAAAAUUGCAAUUUUUCAGUGCUAUUUAUGUUGAUUUUAUGAUUUAUAUUCAAAGUUUGUAGUUGCUUUUAUCAAUAAUAUUUUUUUAAAGUUUAAAUUUGUAUCUUUCUUUUGGAGUGUAACAUAUUUUACUUAUACUUUACUAUUCCACUUAAUACUUGUUAGUAAUUGUAAUGUUUUUUUUAAUUAACGAAUUUAAUUUUUUUUUAAAAUUUUUUGCAAAGUUUUUAGUAACCGUUGUCAACAGUUUUAGUAAAUUAUUGAACUUAUAAAAUUAAUUUUGAAUGACCCAAUUUAACGUUGUAACAUUGUUAACCGAUUUAUAACAUUACGUUGUAAUGUUUUAGUGUUUGAAAAUAGUAGUUGUAACGUUGUAACGUUGGAGCCUGUGGUAUAGGUACAAGUCAGAUUUGUACCGAUACAAGUCCAUAAGUAUCGAGAUACUUUCUCUUAGGGUUUCACAAUUUUGUUAAUUGUCCUAGUCGUAUCGAUGCAAUUAAGUUAGGGUAUUGAUACUUCUUUUCAAAUUGGUAUAAAAUGAGUUUAAAACACUUGAAAUAUUUUGGUUUAGAAACAAAAACAUUUAAAUAAAUUAAAACACAUUUAAAACAUAUUUUUAGACACUUUUACAAGUCUUUGAAAUGCUUUGAAAAUGUUUGAUAAAAUUUUCAAUUAUAUUUUCAUUAAAUGACUUAGGAAAUAUAAAUAAAAAAUUAUCUUAAAUAUUGUUAUAUCAAAAGCAUAGGACAUCAAAACUAACAAUAAUAUAAAAGAAUGAAAAUUUGGAUUAGACCCAAAAGAAAAAAAUAUAAGCUAUACCAUUAAUCACUGAAAUUUGAGUCUAAAACCGGACUUAAAUCUUUCUCAAAAUGAAUUUGAGCUCUUUAAAAAACUUGCCCCAUCACUGAAAUGACCAAAAUUAGGCUUUAAAAAACUUUACUUGGACCAUAAUCAACCAUACCACUGUCAAUCAUCAACUCACCAAACUAAUUUCAAUUUUGAAUUUAAUCAAAAUAAAAUAAAAUUGAUUUAAUCCUAUCUCAAUUUCGUGUUCAAAUUUGCCUCUGCUGCCAGCCAUUCAGAAUGAUCAUUUGUUGCUCUUGUAAUUCCACAAAUGAUUACAAUUGUAGAAAGUAUAGAAGGUAAAGAUACAAGUGUAAUAGUAGGAUUUCAUAGCUAUGAAGUUGAGGACUCCAAUUCUCAAAAUUUAGCUUUUUUAAUUACAUAUAAAACUGAUUUAAUUUUAUUGGCUAUUUAUUAAUUUCAAAGUCUACUAACAAAUUAUUGGAAAAAAGCCUAUUCUUUUUAUAGGAAGGAGGAAAUUAAAAAAAAUUUGAAAUUAAUAAAAUUAAAGAGUAAAAAAAAGGCCUUAGUAACAAAUUAAAAAAAAAUCAAUUAAGCCCUUUUAAAUUUUAAAAAUUAUUAAAAAAAUAUUAAAUUUUUAAAAUUUUUUAAAAAAAUUUGUAGAAUUUUUAAAGUUAAUUAUAUGUAUAUUUUUAAAAAAUAACUAUAUCAACCCGAUAAAAGAGUUUAAUAGAUCGAUACAGUUAUUUUUUAAUAAAAAUUUAAUAGUUUUAAAAAUUUGUAACUUAUAUAUAGUUAAAUCAUGCUUUGGUGUUUUGUAUGAGCUACCAAGCUGAAGUUAAAUAUAUGGGUUUAAACAGGGUUCGAUAUUUUUCCAAUUUUGGAAUUAAAAUCAGUAAAUGUUACUUCUACAUUUAACUCGGAUCACACAUUUAUAAAUUGACAUUUGAAAUCAUAUGUCUUAAUUAUAUAUAAUUGUUGCCUUGAAAAAUACUUGUAGAACAACUAAAACCCAUUUCCACGAGAGCUAUCCACCAUUAUUGACUUGAAAGUUCGAAGUCUUUGCUAGUCUUUAUCAAGCAUUUGGCUACGUUUCUAUAUAAAUGGGUGCAGAGAAAGCAAUGCUAUAAAGAAGUGGCCCUCACUUUGACAAAACAUUUUCCCCUAUUUAAACCCAUAUAUUCAAUUGAUGCCUUGUAAAAUACUUGAGGAACAAAACAUAUAUAUACAACAACAAGCGGAAAAGGAAAUAGAAAAAACAAAAAAUCCCAAAAUCAAUCCACCACUAUUGACUUGAAAGUUCAAAGUCUUUGCUAGUCCAGGAAAAAAGCAAAAUAAAGAAGUGGCACUCACUUUACUUGACAAAACCUUUUCCUCCUUUACCUUGUUUUCAAAAGAAAAAAAAGAAAGUAAAAGUUUAAGAAUAGUCACUUAAUUAUUCAGUUUGUUCUAUUUUGAUCAUUUAAUUAUUAUUUUUUUCGUUUUGGUCACUCAAUUUUCCGAAAUUAAAUAUUUUAAUCACUCUUCAUUUGGUUGCCUAACGGAAGUCUAGUGUGAGUUUUGUUUUAUUUACUUCAUAACAAAUUUAGCCCUCCAAUAUUUACGCAUUCUAUCAGUUUAAUCCUAAAAUUAAAAAAAUCAACAAAUUUAGCCCUCAAUAUUUAGAAAAUUUUUUUAGUUUAUUCCUAAUUAUAAAAAUUAUAAAAAAUAAUUUUUAUUUAAAAUUAUAAUAGAACGUGGUCAAUGCAAUAUGCUACAUUGAAAGAAUUGAUAACACUAUAUAUAAUCUAAUAUAUGUCAUGCAUUACAAAAUUUAGUGGCUUUGGGAACGAUUAAAAUCGUCUCUAAAAAUUUAAGAAUCGUCCCUAAUAAAUUUUAAUAAAUUUAAAGACCACUUAAUUCGUCUCCAACAAUUGUCCUUGAAAAGUUUUGGAGACGAAGAAAAAUGGUCCUCAUAAUUAAGGAUGAAUUUCAUCCCUAAAGCUUUAGGGGAAAAUACCCUCCCAAAUUCAUAAAAACACACCAAAAUAAUUAGGAGGUUUGGGGAAGAAUAUCGUCCCAAAACUUCAUAAAAAAACCAAAACAUUUAAGGAUAUUUUUGUCUUUAAAUGAUUAUUCAUUAUAACACAUUUUAUCUCAAAAUUUUAAUGUUUUAUUAUAAAUUUCAAUUUCAUACUACGAAUUCUUAAGAAAAAACACAUUUAAAAUGAUAGAUAAAAUAGCUAAUAAACUAAAUAAAAUCGACAAUAUUAAAAGUAAAGGGUUGCUGAGUUUGAAGCCUAUUUUAACCUUACAAAACUUUUUUUUUUUUUUUUGCUGAGUUUGAUACUUAAGUAGCAAAUUGUUAUACCCAUUCAAAAAAAAAAAAGAAAAAAACAUACACACACACACUAACAUGACAUGUUAGAUAAGUGUCAUGUUGCAUGUGAAAUAAAUUUUAAAAAGCAAAUAUAUAUAUAUAUAUAUAUUAAAAUAUAUAAAAGUUUCAAAAAAUAUAAUAAGAUAUUUUUUUCAAAUUUAUUUCUAAACUUGCAUUCAAGUUUUUUAGGCAUCAAACAUAUGAAACCUGGCAUAGAGUUAAAUUAAAAGAAUGUCCAAAAACUUAUUGAAGUAUUCUAUUAGUUCGAACCAUCAUUUAAUCAUUCUAAAAAACUCAUUUCAACAACUCAAAUUUAUUGGAAAACCCUAAAAAGUUAUUUUUCCAAGCUGUUUGCUUUUUCUCUUGUGUUUUGUUUAGUGAUGGUACUAGUUGUCGAGUUGGUUACGGGCCCAUAUCUUUUCCCUCCUACCAACCUUCUCAUUCUUUUUACUCUUCAUUCAUUCCAUGCGUCUUCUCUCUUUUCAAUUUGCAGAUCUGUUUUGUGAGUAUCUUUGUUGUCUUUACAAGUUGCGAUGAACAAAUGAUAGUGUCUUUCGUCACUGAACCUCCAUGGCCACCAAUAGUUUCUUUUAAAAAGUGAGUUGACCGUAGGUACUCGAAUGGUAGCUCUUCGUUGACUUCUUAAUCUGUUUAUGUUUUUUAGAGUAUUUCAGAAAAAAAGAAAAACAAAUGAUUUCAUGAGUUGCUUUGAAUCCGUAUUGUCCUAAGUUUUAUUUUUAUUUUUUUCCAUUGUUUAAUAAGUCUUUAGUUUUGAAAGUUUUUGUCUUGUCUUGUACAAAUUUUUUAGUCUUGCUUAUACAUGUAGUCUUGCUUUUGCUCGAUUCUUUUAUCAAUUUUGUUUGCUACUUUGGACCAUCUCGAGUUGAUUUCAUUUAUGUGGUAGUUGCUUGCAAUCACUCUAGAUAUGUUGUGCUUGUGGCAAUGUUGAUUGCCAACAUGCCAUAAUGUUCUAUUGAUACUAAGGCUAAAGCCUUUGACUGUUGUUGGAGCUUGUCCUUCACAACCGAUAUUGUUUGCUAUUUUUUCUUUUUCCUAAUUACAUGAUCCCUAGAAUGAAUUAAUGAAUUUUUAAUUUAAAAAAUCUUAAUUUUUAUUUCAAAUUUUUUCCAAAAUUCUUUUUUUAGGGAUAAAACACAAGCAACAUAAUGUGAAACUAAAUUAAGAGAACCCAUACCUUAUUUUAAAAAUAAAAAAAAGAAAAGAAAAAAAAGGUUAAUCAAUUUGUUUUUGUUUUUAAAGAAAUUGAAAGGAAAAAAUCAAAAUUUGAAAAAAUUGAAGGAACGCUAACCAAGAGAUGGGAAACAUGAAAUUUUUGCUUGCAUUGAUUUUGAGUAACAAGAAGCUCAAAGGCCCAAUCCCUUCAUCACUAACUGCUUUAUGCAAAUUUGAGCUACUUGUGCUUGAUUCAAAUCCUUUUCAAGGUCCAAUUCCUUAUGAAAUUGGAAACUUGAGCUCAAAGGUUUGAUCCCUUCAUCACUAUCUAAUUCAUCCAAGUUGAGAUUUUUGUGCCUUGAUUCAAAUCUCCUGAAAGGUCUCUUACCACAAGAAAUGGGAACUUCAAAGCAUUAAGUUUUCUUAACCUCUCCAAUAGCAAACUGAUUGACCCUAUUCCGUCAAGCAUUUGGGACUGCUCAAGUUUACAAGAAAUAUAUUUGCAUCUUUUGAUCGAACCUGCUUAAAAGAGAGCUUGUUUGAGAUACGAUGAGUAAGCGAGGAUCGAAGAUUUUGAUCAAUUAUUUUUCUUGGAACAUUGAAGACAAUGUUCAAUUUAAGUGUGGGGUGAAUAGGUACCAUGAUAUAUUUUUAAUUUUAGAAUGUUUUCUUUUUAUUUUUCAAAAAAAUAUUUGCAUGAAAUUUCGGCUUCAUUAACUAGUUGGAAUAUAUUUCCCAUAUGCCUUUAAAGAUCAUGAACUUAUUUGGGGAACAUUUUUUAAAUGAAUAUAGUAUGCAGCUUCGAUUUUUGUCUUUAAAAUGUUUGUUAGAAUAAUAGAUUCUUUUAUUGUUUUUAAAGUUUUUUUUUUGAAUUUUGAUUAUAUUGCUUUGCAUUAUUAGUUUUAGAAUUUUCAAAAGAAUGGUUUUUAUUUGAGUGGGAAUUUUUAAGAGAUGACAAAAAAAAAUUUGGAUCAAUUGAGCUUUUAAACUUAAGUUGGAGAUUUUAAGUUAGGUUUGUUGAAUAUCUUAUGUAGUAUGUAUAUGAUUACUCUGUUAGCUAUUUUAUGAAUAUUUCAAUGAACAAGCUAGAUGGCUAACUAAGUAAUCGGGUUAGAUGUUUGGUAAUUAUCUGUCUUCUCAUUAAAAGGGUUGAUGUUUUUUAGUACAUUUUACUAAUAUAGCCAUGAGUAAAACCAAAAGUUGUUUAAAUGUGAUUAAUCGAGUAAUUAGGAGUAGGAGCUUGAGUUAUUAUCUACACUUUUGUUCAAAUAUAGCCAUCUAAAUUCAAUCAUAAAUAAAGAAAAAUAAUAUAUAUUAGUGGUAUUAUGCUCAAUGAAGGGGAGGAAAAAUAUUCAAUUUGUAUGCUUAGUUUAAAGAAGUUAAGAGACUUUAGAAGCAUGCUUGAACUUGGUUAUUUCUUUCAAUAUUUUUUAACCUUACUACUCUUCACACAUUAUUAGGAGGAAUAAUUGCACAAUCCAGAUGAAAGUCUUUUUUUUUUCUAAUUCUUACUAAUUUCAUAAAUUAUUGAUACUAUUUUUUAUUUAACAUAUAAGAUUUUGACUCUCUUUUUGGGAUAAGUAUUUAUAUUUCAUUCAAGAAGAAGAAAACCUGCUACAAAGAACGAAGAAUAACAAUAUUUUGUACAACAAACCAAAGAAUCAUAGGAUAACAAAAAAAUCAUUUCAGCAAAUUCAAAUUCAAACAAAGUUGUCUACUAUAAGGAUCUAAAGAAUUAAUAAGCUUUUUAGUAAGAUGACAUCGGACCAUUUCUUGAAUUGUUGCUAACAAAUGAUCCACAGAAGAUUCAAGCCUAUCAAAUAAUCUACCAUUUCUUUCACACCAGAUAGAAUGCACAUAAGCAUUCUAAGCCAACUUAAAAAGGUAUGACGUAAGAGACUUACCCUUAAGAUGAGUUACUGCCUAACACAGUUCUUGAUCCCACGUGCCAGCCAUUCUCCCAAUGCCACAAAAUUCCAAAAUUCACUGUCAAAGUCUACAAGAAUAUUCACAUUCAAAGAAGAUAUGAUUCCAUGAUUCAAUGCCAGAGGAACACAACAAGCAAUUCUUUUUUAGAAGUAACCCUAUAAAAGAAUAGUCUAUCCCGUGUUGGCAAUCUAUUCAGAAUAGCCAUCCAAUAAAUGAUUAAAUGUUUUGGCACAUGGAGAGGGAACCACAACAAUUUGUGCCAUGGGACCAUAACUGCUUUCUUCCUUAUAUCCUCCCAAAGUAUCCUAGAAGACAGAAUAGUCCCUAUGGGGAGACUCCUAAUAAAGGUUGUUGUAAGCUCCUUAAGACUUAAUUAAAUUUGGCUUAAGUAACCAAAAAGAAAUUCCUCUUAAAACAUAAUUAUGAACUCAAGCAACCGAAAGUGAUCCUUUUGAAGCAAGCAAGGAACGAACUAGCUCCAAUAUCUAAGCUUGAUUCCAUUCCUCGAGUCAUUUCAAUCCCAGACCACCUUCAGACCUAGGUAAGCAGAUAUCUCUCCAACUAACCCUUGCACUAGUAGCUUUGAUGUUGCUACCUUUCCAGAAAAACCUAGCACACAAUUAGUUAACCUGCUUCAACACAAACUGGGGCAAUAGAAAUUGCCUACUCCAAAAUGCCUGAAUAUCAAAUAAAAUAGCCUUGAUCAACUAAAGUCUGCUUCCAUGUAACGCCCCAAAAUUUUUAUAUUUGUUUCUAUGUAUUUAUGACAUAAAUAUUGGUUUGCUUCAGUGGUUAAGUGUUUUGAGAGUGUCUGAGAGGUCUUGAGUUCAAGCCUUAGCUUGGGCAAAUUUUUUGUUUUUAAAUGAAUAAACCCUUAUCUCUAAUCAGUAGGCUUAUAAAUAAAUGUUGGUGAAAUAUGAUAGAAUGGGCCUGUUGGUUUGGUGGCUAGGGGAGUGCUAAUAUGUUAGAGGUCUAGAGUUCGAGUCAUUGCAUGGGCAAAGGGGAUAAUUUUUGCUCUUUUUUUGGCAAGAGGUUGUUUUGACUGGGUUUCUGAGUAGUAGUGGCGUGGUAGGGGAGUGUUGGAGUGAUUUUAGGAGAAAAAUAUAGGAUUAUGGAGUUAUCCCGAUUUAGUAAACUAAUGAUUUCGACUUUCUCCUCUCUUUCUCCCAAUUUUAAUCAUUUUGGCAUUGUUUCUUUCUUCUUUUCCAAAAUUUUGCUGCCGCUCUCCCUUUCUGACGUUUUUUCUUCUUCCUUGCUGCCUUUUCUUCCUUUUACUUGUGCUGCCAAAUUGUCCCCUUAAAUUUUCUCAUUUCUGUGUAUCCUUUCCGUUCACUCAAUCAGGGAGUUGCGUUCCUUCUUUACUGAUUACAUGUUGGUAGGUAAGAGGUAAGUUAUGUGUGAGUUGGGGUAGUCAUUGCUUGGUGCAAAACCGUUUCUUUUCAUUUUCUUUUCUUUCCAUUAGUGAUUACGUGCUGUUGACAACAUCAAAUUGGGUGGAUCAAGACUUUUCUCAUACUACUUCGUGAGCAAACCGAGUUUGAAGCGUUAGGGGUAGGUCCCAAUUGCUCAUUAAUUAAGUAAGUUGUUGGGUUGGUUUUAAUUCGACCAUUAAAGUGAUUAAUCAAGUGUAUGUUGAUCAAUUUUAGGUUAUCUCUGCUGAGUUUUUUCUUUCUUAUUUACUUCUUACUCAGUUUUCUUUUCUUUUCUUUCCUCUACUACUGCUGAAAUUCCCUUGUUUCCCCUAAACCAUUCUUUCCUCUUGAUUUCGUAGCAUUAAGUAGCACUUGUGCAAAUUAAGUAAGUUGUUGGGUAUCAUUUCAAGAUAUUAUUUUGUGUUCAAUAGUCUAAUUUCGGGGUGUUGGCAGUAGCAUUUCGUAAGGAUUAAGGCUCUCCUCAUAAGUUUCGAAAACCUACCAAUUUAAAGUUUUACGGUAAGUGUUCUCGAUUUAUGGGUAAGUAUUUUGGUUUCGGGAUUUUGAUUAAUCGCGAGGUAAGACUGAUUAUGGUGUUAUUUGUUCAAUUAUAGGCUUUGGAGUGCUUGGGGACUGUUUUAACAUCAAACAAAACUAGGUGUGUACUCAAAACAUAAAAAUAAGAGAUUCAGCGAAAAGCCAAAAUUGCUUGCUAUUUGGACAGCAGUAGUAGGCUAAAUUUGAAAAAUCUCCAUCAAUUGUAGAAAUCAAAUUAGAGGAUGAACAAAAUAUAGGAUUAAAGCUUAUUGAGUCUUAUUUCUCAUAUAAGAAAUGGUGUAAGUAAUUGAUUUGUAAAUCGUGAGUUAUAAAAGACUAAGUGACACAAGGUUAGAAUGAAUUCAAGUUCCCCUAUUCUGACUUUGGAAAAUUAUCAAAAAUUGGAGAAAAAUAAUUAGAGGUUAAGAUUUACAUGUUUAAACUAUUAAUGAGUAUAUUUUCAAUAGAAAUAAAUGGAAAUGUCAUCCAAAUUUUGUACUAAGAGAUAACUAAUUUUUAGCAAAGAAGAGUCGAAGCUGUCAAACAGCAGAACAGGGGUAAGUUAAAGAUUUUACUGUACUUAUUGGCUUAACCAAAAGGUCUGGAAAUUUUAUGGUAGAAAGGUACUUGAGCCUAGUUUUAAAGACAUCAAGCGGAUCUUAAUUCGAAAUUCUGUAGCUCAAGAUAUAAAUAAUUUAGUAACAGUGACUCAAGUAGACAACUUUGAAGAAUCAUAUAAGUAAAUAGUGAAGACACAUAUGAAUAAUUAUCUAGCACGGGUUACGUUAAAAUGGAUCACGAGGCCAAGGCCAAUCCAUACAGGCAUGUGGGCCCAUAUAGGCAAACAUUAUGGGUUUGUAGGCCUAAGUUUACUAUUUUAUUGCUAAGAAUGUACGGGUCGCCCGAGUCGACUGUGGACCUACUGUAGGGUCGGUAAGCUUACCUAAACCCCUAAUUAACUAAAAUGACUGUAUGACUGAUAUGAUUAAGCCUGAUGAUGUCCCACUGAUUUGAUACUUUAUGCCUUGUUUACAUGCAUGAUAUUAUGUUAUAGCAUGUCAUAUCUAUAUAUUGUAUUGCAUUGGGUUGGGGGAUUAUAAUGUUCGAAGGAAGUGUACUGAAAGGCCUCGAGCCUAAUUUACUGGCACCUCAGCUGCAAACUACUUUCUAGUGACGCAUUCGGUACUACUUGAAGUGUAGGGAUAGGUGGGUUGAUUAUAUCCACACAUGGAGUGUAGGAUUGGACGAAGAUGGUGUGUAAAGGCUGGAUUGGUAGGAUUUUUGUAUAUCUAUUACUGCUACUAAUACUGUGAUGGGCUAAAGCUCUACUGCAUGACUGUUUUUGUAUUGAAAUGGGCUAAGGCCGAAACUGGACUGAUACUGAUACUGAAAAGGGCUUAAGCCCAGACUGUGAUUAUCUAUUUCUGUUUCUGUUUAUUGUCUGUUCAUUUGUAUGGGGAUUACACACUGAGUUUACGUAAACUUACCCCUUCUAUUUAAUCUGUACAGGCAAUCCCCAGAUAUAGGUGGAUCAGCGCGGUGGAGGACUCAGUGGUGGCCACACGACUUCUUUUACACUGGUUAUCACCUAUUUAUGAUUUUAGUUUUAUUUGGGAGUAUUUUGCUAUACUUAUGGCCUUUACGAAUUUUGGUUUAAAUUUGGAUUUUAUAUGGUUUUAUGAUUUAAAUCUGCCAGUGUUAGGUAAAACUCGGGUUUUCAAAUGAAAUUAAUGUUUUAUCAAAAAUAUCACGAAUACGCAAACUGUUUAAAAGCUUCUGUAAUAAUAAAAAAUAUUUUGAAAUUGAAUAACAAUUUGUAAAUGAAUAAUGUUUUGGAAACAAACGACACGAUUUGAAAUUAACAUAAGAUAAUGAAAAAAUGGUUAAAUAGAAAAGGGAAUUUAGCAACGACAUAUUUUUCGAAAAUCACUACCAUGUGACAUCAUCAGAUUUGACCAUAAUGUCUAGGCCGGGUUUGGGGUGUUAUAGCAAGCGAACCAAGUGUGUAAAUACAACUCUAAAAACGAAAAAUGGUGAAAAGCCAAAAAAUGUGCUUGACAACACCAGACUGGCGUGCAGCAGCCCGUGUGGUAGGCCGUGUGAUCGAACAUGGGCGUGUAAUCGACGAGGAUGGCCAUGUGCGAUUCAUGGGCCGGGACGAACUGGGCCGUGUGGGCCACACGAGCAUGUAGGCCCCACACAGAUGAACCACACAUACGUGUGGGAAUAUUGGCCAGGUCGUGUGGGCCACACGAGCGUGUGGGCCUACAUGGGCAUGUAGGCCCAUUUUCACUAUUUGGCUGCUAAGGUUGCACGGGUCACCCAAGUCGACUGUGAACCUACUGUAGGGUUGGUAAGUUUAUCUAAACCCCUAAUUGACUGAAAUGAUUGAAAGAAUGUUAUAUGCCUAUAUGAGAUAGAUAUGUAUGUCUGUAUGUUGAGCAUGCUAUAUGCACUAUACUGAUUAUACAUGAUACCAUGACAUGUCUGUAUGAUGCAUUGCAUUGGGUUGGGGAUUGAUAUUGAUUAGAGGAAGUGUACUGAAAGGCUUCAAGCCUAACUUACUGGCAGCUCAGCUGCAACUACUGUCUAGUGUCGCAUUCGAUACUAUUUGAAGUGUAGGGAUAGAUGGGUUGAUUAUAUCCCCACAUGGAAUGCAGGGUUGGACGGAGAUGGAGUGUAGAGGCUGGUUGGGUAGGAUUUUAUAACUGCAUAACUGUUACUGUUACUGUACUGUGAUAGGGUAAGGCUUUAAUUCUUAUUGAUACUGAAAAAGGCUUAGGCCUAAACUGAGAUUUUCUGUUAUUGUCAGUUUGAUUGCAUGGGGAUUACACACUGAGUUUACGUGAGCUCACCCCUUCUGCUUAAUCUGUACAAGUAAUCCCCAAGCAUAGGUGGAUCGGUGCGGCGAAGGACUUAAUGGUGGUCACACGUCUCCUUUUUACUAUUUGACACUUAUUUAUGAUUUUUAAAUUUUAUUUUGGGGUAUUUUUCUGUAAUAAUGACCUCUAUGGAUUUUUUCCUAAAAAUUGGAUUUGGUAUUGUUUUCUGUUUAUAUCUGCUAGAAGUAGGUAAAACUCAGGUUUCUAAAAGAGAUAAAUGUUUUAUGAAAAUGCCAUGCACACGCAAACUAUUUUUAAAAGCUUUCGCAAAGCAUAGCAUUUUGGAAAUGAAUCACGAUUUGAGAAUUAAUAGAAGAUAAUGAUAAGUUCUAAAUGGAAACGGUUUUAGAAAUGAUACAAUUUUGAAACGCACUUCCAUGUGACAUCACCAAAUUCAACCAUAACAUCCAAACCGGGUUUGGGGUGUUACAUUGUAAAACUUAAAAGGCAAUCGGACCAUUUAUGAAGUUUAUCAGCAUUUUUCUAAACAAUGGGCUUGUAGUCAGCAAUGGAGAGCUUCUUAAAGACCAAAGGGAUUCCCAAAUAUUGAACAGGAAUAUGCCCAGCCUUAAACCCAAUAACUUCUAACAUAUAGGAAAAUUCAGAAGCUAGAACCCCUGCUAUGAAGACUUCACUCUUGGAAGAUGAUGUGACUCACGUGACUAACUAAAAAUACAACAAAGGCAAAUGCACCUAUCAAUAAAUAGUAUAGCUAUGGUGAGUAGAGGUAUCGUAUCUAUGAGGACUAAAAGCAUUAGUAAUUACCAUUUUUCUAUUAUUUAGCCGACAAUUUGGAGUGUUAGGUUUUAAACAAAAAUUACUAGACUAAUCUAACUAAGAACUCAACAGAGAAUGAAUUCAAAAAAUAAUUGAAAGAUAACCAAUGAAAGAGACAAUAACCAGGAAAGAAUCCACCUACACUUCAUCUAUUAUUAUGAAUCUGAUUUAAACGAUUUAUUCACUUCGUGUCUUUAUCCGUAGAAAUCCCUAUAUUAUACUAAUAUAUCUUUCGAGAGUAAGAGUAACUGAUUUUAGGUUGAUUAAUUGAAAUCUCUUUCUAAUCAAAACCCCUAUCGUCACACUAACUCGAUCUAUGAAUUUCCUUAUUAGAUUUGACUCUAAUCUAGCAGAUUUAUGUCAUUUAAUUUUUAGCAUUGCAUGCAACUCUACUCAAUUAUGUUAGAUCUACUCCUAAAUAGGGACAUUUCCUCUACUGAAUUAAGCACAUUAAACAUGAAUUAAUAUCCCAAAAAUAUUAAAACAAGAAAUAAGCACACAAUUUAGGACAGGAAUCAAGUAUUUAUCACGUAAAAAAGAAAUUAAAUAAUAGAAUUCAUCAUAGGUUUCAUCUUCCCUAAGUAUCAAGGGAACUAGUUCAUAAUCUGGAAUAAAAACAUCUCAAAGUCAGAAAAACCACAAGAAACAAAGAAGCUCAUAAAAACUGUAGAAGAAAUUAAAAGGAGGCCUUCGAACUUGAUGGAAAUCUGCUAUAGAGUUGGCUCCAAUGGUGUUCUUCAGUUGUUUCUUCAAUAUUCUCUUAUGGGUCUCAUAUCUCUUCUUCUAUUUGGUAUUUAUAGACUUUAGAAUGCUAAAAAAGUAUAAAAUUGUGUUUUUCUAUGUUUUUGGGAAGCAAGUUGCGAAAUUGACAUGGCUUAGCGCAUGGCCGUGUGUCUAACUCAUGUGGCUCAGAUGACCGUGUCUCUGACCCAUAUGGGAUGGCCCAGCCCGUAUGGCUCCUAAAAUUUACUUUUUUUUUAUCAAUUUUUGCUCGUUUCUCACUCUUUUUGCUCCCAAAUGCUAACCUAAGUAUAGAAACAUGAAUUCAAAGGAUUAGGAGUAUCAAAUUCACCAAUUUGCAUAACUCAUCAUCCAAAAACGUAUAAAGAACGAGAUUAAGAAAAUGUUAAUUUUAUCAGUUAUCAAAUAUUCCUACACUUAAGCGUUUGUUUGUCCUCAAGCAAAAUCCUCAAUUCACAUUAAAGUUAAUCUUUCUCAACUUUUAAUUCUCAUUAAUAAUGUCUCAAAAUACACAAAUAAUCAUGCAUUGGCAAUUCAACUAAAAGGGCACUAAAGAUUCAAACAAUCAAAACCAAAAAAUUUUUAAUGUACGAAAACAUAGGUGUCUCCUCCUUAUUUAAGUAAUUACCCUUAAUUCGAAAUCAACAAGACUUGACAUCCUCACUAAAGAUUCACUCAAAUCACUCAAAGUGUUAAGGUUCAAGAUAUAUGCAACCAAUCAAUCGAACAAGAAAUGUCAUUACCAUAAGCUUGCUUGAAAAUCAAAUCUCCACCACUAUAAAAUGAUAUGACACACUAAUUAAAAGGUCUUAAAGAGGUUGUAAUGGGGCUUAGGUUAAGGGUGUGGAAACAAACUAUAAAAGUUGGUUAUAAUCGAGAUCGAGUUGAUAAAUAACCAAACUAGAAAAAAUAAACAAAUGCUGAGUUAAAAGAAAGUGAAUCAAUCAAAACUAUUCAAGAAUAAAAAAAAUAAGUUGCUUCUUAAAAUAUGAAUUUAACUGUUGAAGCUCAAUCAACAAAUAACUAAUUAAUAAUAAAUAUUUUUUUCAACUUUUUUUCCAUCUAUAACAAUAAGAAAUAAUUCAGCAAAUCAAACAAAAGAGCACAGUUGAGAAAUUAACCAUAUCAAAUCUCAUAAAAAAGGGAGAUAAUAAAAUGAGAAAGAGUCACAAUGAAAAAAAAAGGGUUAUGGAUUAAAAUUCAUAGGUUAAUCAAGAAAAGGUGUGUUAGACUGAACGAGGUUCACUAAGGGUUAAUUAAUUUAAAAGGUAGGCUUUUAUUGGAUAAGUGGGUUAAAAUUUAAGUGUUUUUAUCAUCUUAGUAUAUCAAAUCAAAGGUAUGGUCUCAACAUGCAUAAUCGAACAAAGUUUUAGAAUAACAAAUCAAGUUGACAUACUUAUAACCAAUAAUAGAAUGAACAUGAAAAAUGUAUGCUCUAUAGACUCCAAAUCUCGCAAAAAAUUAUAGUUUUGAUGUCAAACUUGUAAAUUUCAAACUUCAAGAUAAUACCUCGAUUCAGUGAAACAAUCCUAAAACAAAUUUAUUUCUGAAAAAUAACUUAUCAUGCUUGAUUAUCUCAUGUCUUAAAUUGUAAAUCAGCCAAUGCACUGAUAUCUACAAAUUAAUCUAAAACACAUCAAUAAAAAUCCCAAAUCGACAAAAAAUCAUUCUAAUGGAAGUAUGAGAAAAUUACUUAAACACAAGAAAUAAUUCAAGGAUUUUCUAAUAAUUAUAUGAAUAAUAUGCCCACACUUAAGAUGUACAUUAACCACAGUAUAAGCAGAAUAUCAUAACAGAGGGAGAAAGCUGAAACUGCCCUGAAUAUGGAUGAAUUUGUCAGAAUGGUGAAAACUGGAAUUGUAGGCAAAGCUAAAUGUAGUGCAUAGUCUCGAGCAAACUAAUAAGAAAAUAAACACAAAUAAUAAAGAAGAUUAAGAGGUUACAAACUCAAUUAUAAACAACCAUAAAAAUAAAAACAUACUUCAAAAGAUAAUAAACAAAAUAAGUUUAAAAAAUAAAAAUUAAACAACUAAAAUAAAAAAUAAAAAUAAAAUCAGUGAUCUUUAUUGUAGGAGGCAUUGGGAUUGUGAGGCGCUGGUGCUGAAGAAGAUAAGUGGAAGUGCUGACAGAUCUGUUGCAAAGUCACAACAAUACUGUUGAACCACUCAAAAUAGUGUCGCUCAAUGAGUAAACCGCUUGAAGAGGUCCGUUAAGGUGGCAGGAGAAGUAGCAAAAUGAUGACUCUGAGACGGAUGAUGAGGUGGAUCCUCGAGGUGGAAGGGGACAUCACCAGUGAAGUCCUCAUGCUCAUCCUGAGGGCCAGAAUAAGUUAAACAGCAUCAAGGAGGAUCCACGUCAUGCAGUCGCUAAAUCAUUCUCAUGUGACUCAUACAUGAUAACCCCUGCGGGGUCAUCUGUCCAAGAAGUGUGAAAGAUAAGGACUACUCUGGAGUAUCGAGGAGGCUAAAGUGUCGUGCGAGGUGAGUCAUGAAAGGGCCUAAGCAAAUAUAACCAUUCUUGCUACACUAUGUCUUAUGGUGGCAAGCUAAGGCGAUGAAAUAGGCAAGAUCAAAUGUGUGCCCCACGACCAUGCUCCACAAUAAUUACGUGUCAAAUGUACUGAUGACUCCACUGCUCUCUCUACGACUAAUCUAAGUGUGAGCCAAGAUGGCAUGGAUAAAACGCAAGGUCUGAGAUAGGGAAGUCGCCUUUGACCGACUCAGAUCAUAGGGCAUCGUACUCACGAUAAGGUUUGCCGAGGGCAAAAAAGAUGAGUAGUGGAUGUGCUGGUAUAAACUGAAAAAGCCUUCGGCACUUAUGAACUUUGUAAUAUAAAGUUCUAACGUAGCUCCGAACUUAAUGACACUCAUGCGACAUGUCGUGCCACAGAGUUAGAAAGUAAUGGUGCCCAACUCAUCAUGGGUCAAUAUCACGUGUUGUAAGAGGAAUGUCAAACAAAACUUUAGAGUAAGCUCUGAGUAGGUGGGCUCGAUGAAGGAGAAGAAUUAGUCCCAAGGAGUUGUAGCAAUCAGUGCGCGGACUCGAUCAGCUAACUGGACCUACUCUAAAGCCACCCAAUCAAUACAUUGGCCUGAUCUGAAUCAUCUCUGUCAAAGAUGCUGAUAGAGGUCCUCUUGAAGACCCUGUGGAAAUAUUAAAAAUGGAUGGUGGGCAUCAGCAGAAGGGCCCGACGAUGAGGUCGUGCCUAGAAUCUUCCACUUUUUUGAAGAGGGGAUGACAACCUUAGAUUUUUCACGUGUGUUCAUCAUGGUGUGCCUGAAAAAUACAAUAGCCCAAUAUUAAAAAAUAAUAAAAUAAGGAUCACCAAUUAUGUAAGCAAAAAAAUAGACAGAUUGACAGACAAUUUAAAGUGCAUCGACAACGGAUAAUCACAGUGCGAAAACCAAAAUAAAAUACCAAUAUAUCAAAAUACUAUUCCUAAGAUAACAAGGGGAACAAAAACUAAGCAGAAGAAAACAAUAAUAAGACGAACAAAUUAUACUAAGCACAAUAACAAUAUUAAACCUAAAAAGGAUAAUAACAAUAAUAAUAAACUAGCAAUAAUAGUAAUAAUCAAAAUGGUAAAACAAAUAAUAAGAAAAAGAAUAAUAAGAUAAUGAUAAUCAAACUAAGAAAAUAAGAAAAAUAAGAAAAAUAAAUAAUAAAUAAUAAAAAUAACUAGAAAGAAAAAAUAAAUAAUUAAAUAAAAGGAGGGAAGGGCAAACAGUGAGUGGUGGUGGCGCACGUGGCGAUGGUCGACGGGGGAGGAACCAUGGCAAUGGUAGAAGGGCAUUUAGGGUCCAAAGAUAGUGGGGUGUCACACAGGGUGUGGUUGUGAUGAGGGAGAGGAGAGGGAUGCAGGAUUAGGGGCUGGUUGCGGAGGGAGGUGCAUCUGAAGAAGAAGGGGAAGGAGGGGGAAAGAAAGGGCUGUGCAGUGGUUAGAAGCUUGAGGCUGUGAGGGUGAAGAGAGAUAAAUCAUGAGGGAGCAGGGUAAUCGAGAACAGUGGUGUAGAAAUAGAGGAAUAAAGAAAGGAAGGGGAGGGGAAGAGGGGCUGUUGGCUUAGCAACGACGGAGUGGGGGCGACGGAGGUGGCAGGACUAGUAAAGAAGAUGGGAACGGAAGUAGGGGUGAAAAAUAAAGAAGAACACAAACUAAAUUUUUUUUAGGUUUUUUGGGUUAAAAAGGGGGCACAGUCGUGUAAAGGCUCGUGUGCACCUCCCUUAAGUCAUGUGUGAUUUAAAAAUUCAAGCUCAAUCUUUUGACGGCCUAAGACACGCCCGUAUGUCUAGCCCUUGUGGGACACACGGCCGUGUGCCAGGCCGUGCAUGCUAUUACUUCACUUCUCUCACACUCGUGUGAGAGGCCAUAUGAGACACACAGUCUCUCACACAGCUACGUGAUUGGCCGUGUGACCCUACACGACCAUGUCUUUACACCAUCUAACUCAUUGACUUGAAGUUAAAAUUAAAAAAUUAGCUCCAAUACUCACACGGCCUAGGAUACGCCCGUGUGUCCAGGCCGUGUAUGCUACAAAGCCGUGUCGCUAGGCCAUGUAGACUACCUGAAGCCGUGUAACCUUCAAAAUUUAGAAAAAUUAAGUCUUAGGAUUCACACAGCUAAGGACACACCUGUGUGUUCAGGCCGUGUGACUUAUACGACCAUGUCUGUACAGAGUGUAACUCAUUGUAGAACACUCUCUUAUGUACAUGGCCUAGGAUAUGCCUGUGUGUCCAGGCUGUAUGGCUCACUGUCGAAUAUCUCAUUUUGUACACGACCUGGGACACACCCGUGUGUCUAGGCCGUAUGACUCACUGUCGAAUAUCCUAUUUUGCGCACGGCCUGAGACAUCCCCAUGUGUUCAGGCCGUGUGGGUUAAAAACUCAUUUUUUAUUUAAUUUAAUUUUAAAUUAGCAUGCAGUAAAACUAAAAGAAUUAGCAAAAUUUAUGGUUAAAAACUCAUUUUUUAUUUAAUUUAAUUUUAAAUUAGCAUGCAGUAAAACUAAAAGAAUUAGCAAAAUUUAUGGUUAAAAACUCAUUUUUUUAAUUUAAUUCUAAAUUAACAUGCAGUAAAACUAAAAGAAUUAGCAAAAUUUAUACACCCGGGUUACCUCCUGAGAAGAACUUAUUUAGAGUCUAAGCUCGACUUACCUUGUAGGUGCACAGUCACGGUGGUUCACGAAGCCGAAGGUCCUCUUUCUCGUUAUCAAUUUUACUACCAAAAUAAGGUUUGAGUCGAAUACUAUUUACCUUAAAUGUGCUGAACUCAGAAUGAGUUACCUCGACUAUACCGUAUAAGAAGAAGUUCAGUAUUGUAAAUGGGUUUGAUUCGUUUGAUUUGAGCUCUGAAGGGGAGAUUCAUAGAUCCAUUUUGUCCAAUAGUACUUUGCACCCAACCUUAAAUUGGUUUUUUCCAUUCACAUGCUCAUUAUGGCGUCAUUUUGUGUCUUCAUCAUGUUUUUUCGAUUUCUCCUUAACAUGUGCUCGCCAUUCAUCUAGGUCAUCAAUUUGCACCAUUCACUCUUCAUAACUUGUUCUGUUUUUGUCACCUGGACUGAAAUCAGGCUUCAUCAUGUUUUCACGAGGUAUUUCCUAUAAAGAAGGUUGAGCCAUGUGGUUACUAACAUUUAUAGAACAUUUAAAAUCAUCUCGAUCCCUAGAGACUCUCACAGAAUCAUGUGCUUGGAGAAUAAUCUUUUCGUCACCUACACGAAGUACAAGUUCACCCGUACCAACAUCGAUAAUAGUCCUAGCAAUUGUUAAAAAAGGGCAAGCUAAAAUCAAAGGUACUUUAUUAUCCUCAUCCAUGUCUAACACAACAAAAUCAACGGGGAAUAUGAAUUUGUCAAUUUUUACAAGCACUUCCUCAAUAAUACCCCUAGGAUGUUUAACGGUUCUAUGCACUAGUUGAAUACUCAUCCUAGUUUGUUUGGGUUUCCCAAGAGCUAGUUGUUUAUACAUUUUAUAGGGCAUGACAUUAAUAUUAGCCCCCUAAAUUAGCCAAAGUAUUAUCGAUAUUUAAACUACCAAUGAGACAAGGAAUAGUAAAACUCCCUGGAUCUUUUAGUUUGUUGGGUAGUUUAUUUUGAAGAAUGGCUGAGCAAACUUCAUUAAGCUCUACGGUCGACGAGUCGUCUAUCUUCUUCUUGUUUGUUAGAAACUCUUUUAGGAAUUUGACAUGAUUUGGCAUCUACAAAAAGGCUUCAACAAACGGUAAGUUAAUGUAUAAUUUUUUAAGAGGUUUAGGAAUUUACCAUAUUGUUCGUUUGUGUGUUCUCUCUUUGACUUGUUAGGAUAUGGCACUCGAGGUUCAUAUUCUUUGACAAUCGGCUUUUGUUCUUUCUUAUCUUCCUUAAUCUUAUUUUUGUUUGCCAUAACUUCUUACCUAGGUUCUUGUUCAAGUUCAACUAAGCCUUCCACGUCUCAAACAGUAAUCACGUGAAGUUGCUCCCUAGGGUUAGGUUCAGUAUUGCUUGGCAAGCUAUCUUGUGGUCGUUCCAAAAUUAUCUUAGCAAGCUGCCCUAUUUGAUUCUCGAGCCCUUGAAUUGAUGGUUGUUGAUUUUUUAGUGCUACCUCAGUCUAUUGAAAAUGGGUUUCUAACACCGAGAUAAACUUUGUCAACAUCUCCUCAAGGAUUGACUUUUUCUCUUGUUCAUAAGGUUGUUAGAAGCCUGGAGGUGGUUGUGCUCUUUGAUUUCCUUUUGACCACCCUAAGAGAAAUUGGGAUGGUUCCUCCAACCUAUAUUAUAAUUAUUACUAUAAGGGUUAUUUUGAGGACUAGAAUUGUUACCCAUAUAAUUGACUUGCUCAUUCUCUAUGCUAGAACCCAAGGGUAAACAUUCUAGAUUAUUCAUUCCACCUCUAUUUGUAUCGCAUUGCAUCACCAGAUGUACCUGCGUAGAAAGCUAUAAACCAUAAAUUUUCUUAUUUAAUAAUUCUACCUGGUUUGAUAAUAUGGAGACUACAUCUAAAUUAAAAACAUCGACUACUUUCAUCGAUUUUGUCCUCAUGACGUGCAACUGGUAAUUAUUUAGUGUCAUCUCUUCAAUAAAUUCAUAAGUUGCUUCAGGUGUUUUAUUGUUUAGUGUUCCAUUGGCUGCUGCAUCAAUUAACUGCCUAGUUGAGGGAUUCCAAAAAUUCCUUGUAUCUCUCCCAUGCAUCAUAUAACAUCUCUACAUCGAUCUGAACAAAGGAAGAUAUGUCAUUCCUCAACUUGGAUGUCUUAGCCGGUGAGAAGUACUUCAGUUGGAAUUUUUUAGUUAUCUGAGCCCAUGUAGUGAUUGAACCUUAUUGUAAAAAGUUUAACCACUAUUUUUCCUUGUUCCUCAAUGAGAAUGGGAAUAACCGUAAAUGAAUGGCAUCAUCAGUGGUGCCAUUAGUCUUGAAAGUAUCGCAAAUUUCUAGAUAAUUAGCCAAAUGAGUAUUUGGGUCUUCAUCUUGUAAACCGUCAAACUGAAUAUACUAUUGUACCAUCUAAAUUUUGUUCAACUUCAAUUCAAAAUUAUUUGCAGCAAUUGUGGGUCGCACAAUACUCAAUUUAGCCCCAGUCAGAGUGGGCUCGGCAUAAUCAUACAUAGUACGAGAAACAGGAGUAGGAGCUACAGUAGGAGGUAGCUGAAUAUUCUGAUUAUCACCCAUCUCCUUAGUAAUAAUGUUGUCUUCUUGCUCGUCUACUAUAUUUUGUUGACUCUGCCUUCCUUCUCUACUAUUUUUGCAAGCAGUACUUUAAAUUUCAUUAUUAAAAAGUAAUAGUCUCGAUGGGUUUCUUCUAGUAAUAAACCAAAACAACCUACCAGAUGUAAAUGAAAAGAAAAAAUUAGAAUGUAAAAAUUAAAUUAAAACAAAAAUAUAAAAAUAAAAUAAAAUAAAUGGCUAAAUUAAUAAAAAUAAAGUGUUCCUAAUAUUUUAGUCCGCAGCAACUGCACCAAAAAAUUAAUGUGUUUCAUGUGACGAACUAAAAAUACGACAACGGCAAUUGCACCUAUUGAUAAAUAGUGUAGCUAUGGUGAGUAGAGAUAUCAUAUCCACAAGGACUAAAAGUAUUAGUAAUUAUUGUUUUUCUAUUAUUUAGUCGACAAUUUGGAGUGAUAGGUUUUAAACAAAAAUUACUAAAUUAAUCUAACUAAGAACUCAACAGAGAAUGAAUUCAGAAAAUAAUCGAAAGAUAACCAAUGAAACAGACAAUACCCAAGAAAGAAUCCACCUAGACUUCAUCUAUUAUUAUCAAUCUGAUUUAAACGAUUUAUUCACUUGGUGUCUUGAUCUAUAGAAUUUUCCUAAAUUAUACUAAUAUUUCUUUCGAGAGUAAGAGCAUCUGACUCAAGGUUGAUUAAUUGAAGUCUCUUUCUAAUUAAAACCCCUACUAUCGCAUUAACUCAAUCUAUGGAUUCCCUAAUUAGAUUUGACUUUAAUCCGGUAGAUUUAUGUCGUCCUAUUUCUAGGAUUACACGCAACUCCACUCAAUUAUGAUAGAUCUACUAUUAAACAGGGACUUUUCCUCCACUGAAUUAAGCACAUUAAACAUGAAUUAAUACCCUAAAAAUAUUAAAACAAGAAAUAAGCACACAUAAUUGAGAACAAGAAUAAAGUAUUUAUCGCAUAAAAUAUAAAGUAAAUAAUAGAAUUCAUCUUAGGUUUCAUCUUCCCUAAGUAUCUAGGGAAUUAGUUCAUAAUCUUGAAUAAAAAAAUCUCAAAGUCAGAAAAACCACAAGAAACAAAGAAACUCAUAAAAACUUUAGAAGGAAUUAAAAGGAUGUCAUCGAUCUUAAUGAACAUUUACUUUAGAGUUGGCUCCAAUGGUGUUCCUCGAGUUGUUUCUUCAAUAUUUUCUUAUAGGUUUCAUAUCAUUUCUUCUAUUUGGUAUUUAUAGACUUUAGAAUGCUCAGAAAGCCUAAAAAUUGUAUUUUUCUGCAUUUUUGGGAACUAGGUUGGGAAAUCAACACGACCUGGCGCAUGGCCGUGUGUCCAACGCGUAUGGCGCACAUGGCCAUGCCUCUGACUCGUGUGGGAAGGCCCAGACUGUGUGGUUCCUGAAAUCUGCUCUUUUUGACUAAUAUUCGCUUGUUUCUCGCUCGUUUUGCUCCCAAAUGCUCACCUAAGUAUGGAAACAUGAAUUCAAAGGAAUAGGAGCAUCAAAUUCACCAAUUUGCAUAACUAAUUAUCCAAAAACAUAUUAAGAAUGGGAUUAAAAAAUGUUACUUUUAUUGCUUAUCAGAAGCAUCAAGUUGGAGGCCUGACAAAGAAUAGAAUUCAUCUAGAAUACACCAAACACGAUAGAGUCUGUAGACCCCUUCACAAAAAUUAAAAGAUCAUCUGCAAAAGUCAAGCGAGUAAGAUUCACUCUUUUACAUUUUGAUGAAACUUUUUAACUCUAUGUCUAACAGUUGUAUCCAAAAGUCUAGAAAGAACCUCCAUAGCUAUAACAAAUAGAAGAGGAGAAAGUGGAUCCCCCUGUCUAAGCCCUUUCGUCCCUCUAAAAUACCCUACUAGACCACCAUUAAGGAAGAUGGAAAAUUGUGAAGAAGUGAUGCAUGCCUCAAUCCAACCCUUGAAGACAUCCAGAACCUUCACAGCGUUAAAACAACAAUAAUGAACCUCCAACUGACAGAAUCAAAUGCCUUUUGCAAGUCAAUUUUGAGGGCACAUCUAAGGGAAAUAUGCUUCCUACCAUACGCCCUCAUGGGCCAAGACAGAAUUAGCGGCAAUAUUUCUACCUUUAAUAAACAUAGAUUGACUAGGAGAGAUCAAUUCUGAGAAAUAAAAAGGAGAGAUUCGAUUAGCCAGAAUCUUUGAAAAACACUUGUAUAUUAUAUUGCAACAAGAAAUGGGUCUGAAUUACUUGAUGUGAGUGGGCUGAGCACACUUGGGCACGAAGACUAUAGUAGUUUCAUUGAAAGUAGGCAGUAACUUUGAAGUGAGAAAAAAUCUUGUUGUAUAUAAUUAUGUUUUCAAUUGUGUAAGUUACGAUUAAAUAUUUUCUUUGGAUGUAUUUUAUAGUUAGAUCAUUGUUUUGUUUAAGGACAAACAAAAGUUUUAAGUGUGGAGGUAUGAUGUGUCCUCAUCAUAUAUAUGUAAUUAUACUAUUUUCACGUAGAUUUAAGUUAGUUGUUAAGUAAAUAUUGCCUUUAGUUGCAUAAUUAGAAUAGAUUUCAUGCAUAAUAUCGUAUUUGCAUUUUAUGCUACUUUUACUUGUAUGUAGUUAAAUUUGAGUUAUUUUAAGUAAUAUAUUUUUUAAUAACUGCUUUAACUCAAUUUAAUAUGAGGAGCGAGUUUGAAUGAGAGAGAAAACAAGACGAACGUUAAAAGAGAAAAACGCAAAGUUGCUAGAACAAUGUGCGCGUAACGCCGCACUAUUCGUGCAAAAGACGAAGGUCAUGCCAUGCCAUUUUAUAAUAUUUUUGUGCUGGGUUUCUUUUCUUCACCCCCCAAGUCAAAUGAAGCCUUAAUUAAGUCAACACAAGACUGUAAAUAGUCUUCUUUUAAGUCUUAGAGAGAAACGAAAUGAAUAAGUUUUCUGCUUUAUUUAGUUUUUAUUUUAUUUUUCUCUCUUAGUUUUCUACUAAUUUGCUUUCAAAGUAACUCGUGCUAAUAUUCUUCAACGAACUAACUAUUGGAUUUAGAUUGGAAUUGCAAUUAAUCAUUUUUUUUUUCUCUUUGAAACUUUCAUUUUAUUAUUUUAGAAUUGCAAAUUUCACUAUAGAUUCCAUCCUCGUAAUACUUUCUUGAACGGAAUUAUUUCAUUAUAAUUUAUUAUUUAAAAACGAAAUCGUAUGCUUGUGUCACAAGGCUAGAACUCACUUUGGCCUGUGACAUUUGCAUAUAGUAAAAAAAAAAAGUGACUAUCUUUUUGAGCUUAAAAUUUUUUUAUUUUACUAUUAUUUUCACAUAUAAUUUUCUCCCGUAAACAAUUAAACAUCAAAGCAUAACCUCAAAAGAAAAACAUCACCACCAAGCUUUGAAAAGAGAUCUUCUCAACGCAUAGGUUUUGACAAAGGUAUAUGCCAUUCCGAUUGCUUCUCUAAAAAUAUUAACAAAAGCAAUAUUAUUGGUCUCAGCUAUUCGAAGGUCAAUAUCCAUGAAAGGUUCCUACAUGAUCUAUGGUUUCAUAUGUUCAUUAAGAACCCAAGAAACUGUCAAAACACAAUCAAAUUCAAUGGUUAAGCUUACCUCCCCCUCCCGUUCAUUUUUAAGAAAAUCUAGUCGUGCAAUCACCACACCAUAGACUCCUUUAAUGCUUGCAGGACCCGGUUUUCCUCUAGCGGCAUCGUCAACAUUGAAACGAAACCAGCUUCGGGUGGCAACCAAAAUGCCCCAAAUCUUGUAGUAGGAACCACCUUACUUGAAAAAACAAGGCCUUGGAUUGUCCCACCAUGUAAGCUCCAUGAUAGGAACCUUCUCAAAAGUAUCUUUAAUCCAAAUCAAUGACCUAAGCUUCACCAAGAAAAGAAUUUUCACUGCCCUUAUUAUUUUUGUUCAAACACCAAAUUAUUUCUUGCCAGCCACAAAGACCAUAUCACCACUGCACAAUUAAUGAGCCACUAGCUUUUGACAAUGCUUGAAGUGUAUCAAGAAAAAUAGUACUCAAAGAAUUCAACAAGUUAUAUGUAUUUUAUAGUUUUAAAGAUAAUUAAUUCUUGCUGGGAUCGACCUAUUAAGCAACAUGUAAAAAAAAUAGCGAAAUAAAUUGAAAAAUUGAACACACAAAUUUAACGUGGAAAACCCCCCCAAAGAGGAUAAAAAAUACUACGGGCAAAGAUAAUUUUAUUAUAAUGACAAAAGAACAAAGGGUACAAAAGAUGAAGAUAAAAACUAAACCCCGAAAACAAAGAACCCUUUAAACGUAAACACAAAAUUCUCUAAAUGUGUUAUGAGCUCUAAUCUCUAAUGGGUGUAUAUUUCUAAGGUUGUAAAAGAGCCUAUUUAUAGGCUAAAUUCAUAGGUCAAAUAAUAAUAAAAUAAUCUAAACUAAUCAGAGUUUAAUUGAAAGAUUUUUUUCUGAAAUUUGAGUGAAAUAGGAGUCAUACUCAACAAAUCUCUACCAUGACUUAUAUUCCACAAUGCCAUCUUUGCCAAAGCCCACCACAGGCCUAUCUUGAACUAUGCAGAGAAUUAAUUGAGUCGAAUCUAUACUUAAAAACUGGAAGACUUCUAGCCUUCGACUUAUACACUGCGAAUUAAAAUUAACCCGAGUUUGAUUUUAACGAACACAGUGCCCUAACUUGUCAAAACAUGCAUCCAAAAAAUAACCUCUCUUCAACGAAAUGGUCAUACAUUUUUCCCUCCUAUGACCAAGUUGCCUCCGCUCCAAACAAGUUGAAUUCGACUCUGUAACAGACGAGGGAUGUCUGAUUUCACCGGUCACCGUAUAACUUUCCAGAAUAUAAAGACUAUCGGUUCUUUUACCUUUUAACAAAACAAGAGCUCCACGAGAUACUUUAAUGUCGCUUGACUCGAUGUUGAUUAUGUAUCCUUUCAAGUCUAAAAUACUCAAGGAGAUGAGAUUCUUUCGUAAAUCAAGUACAUACCUAACAUCUGAGAAUGGCCUAAUCGUCCCAUCGUGUAUCCUAAUUUUAACAAUACCAAUACCAAUACCAAUUACCUUACUAGAUGAAUCAUUUCUCAUGCGCACAACUCCACCUUCAAAUGAACUAUAUGUUGAGAACCAUUCUCUAUUGGGACACAUGUGGAAAGAACAUCCCGAAUCUAGGAUCCACUCAGACGUGAGGUUGGAGUUAUCGCUUGUUGACACUAACAAGAAAUCAUCAUCGCUUACAUCGGCCAAAUUAGCAUCAGUUACAUCUUCCUCGUUACUCUUAGCAGGUCUUUUAUUUCACAGUUUAUAACAAUCAGGGUCUCCCUGAAAAACUAUUAUGAAUGGGGUAAAGAGCACAAUAACAGCAUAGCCUGAUCUUCAUCGUCAAUAUGGACCUCAAUAUUUUUUAAAUCAUUUAAAAGAGUAAAUGAAUUGACUAAUGUGAUCUCUAAGAAGCUCACCUUCAUUCAUGCAAAACGUAAAUAGACGUUGUUUCAACACUAAACAUUUAGCCAGAGACUUAGUCGCAUAAAGAGUUUCUAACUUCUUCCACAAGGUGGAUGAGGUCUUCUCCAUCAAUAUCUCCUGCAUUACCGUAUUCGUGAGGCAUAACUGGAUUGCAGACAAGGCAUUUUCAUCAAGUUCUUCUCAUUCUGUUUUAUUUAGAUUCUCAAGCUUUUCCCGGUAACAAUCUUUUUCAAGCCGGUUUGAACUAGAAUUACCAUCAUCCAAACUUGUCACAGAUUGAAAUUUGUCUCACCAUCGAACUUCUCAAUUUCAAACCUUAUUAAAAUUAAACAAGCUUUGAUACCACUUGUUCGGAUCGACCUGAUUAGGCAACAAGUAAAAAAAUAGCGAAAUAAAUUGAGAAAUUAAACACACAAAUUUAACGAGGAAAAACCCCUCCAAAGAGGAUAAAAAAACCACGGGCAAAGAUAAUUUUAUUAUAAUGGCAAAAUAACGAAGAGUACAAAAGAUGGAGAUAAAAACUAAACCCUGAAAACCCAAAAAUAAAGAACCCUCAAAAUGUAAACACAAAAUCUCUAAAUGCAUUAUGAGUUCUAAUUUCCAAUGGGCGUAUUUUCUAAGGUUUUAAAAGAGCCUAUUUAUAGGCUAAAUUCAUAGGUCAAAUAAUAAUAAAAUAAUUUAGACUAAUCAGAGUUUGAUUGAAACAAAUAAACAAAGUUUAACUGAAAUAUUAUUUCUCCAAUUUGACUGAAAUAGGAGUCGUACUCAACAAUUCUAAACAAUAACUCAUAUCAAUUGAAAACAUAUAUAUAAAUACUUAAUAAUUUAAAGUUUUAAUUCACAUUUUAGCCCCUAAAAUGUAUCCAUAUUCUCAUUGAUAUUUAAAUUUUUUUGUAGUUUUUAUCCAAAAUUUAAGUGACGGUUAAAAAACAAACUCUCCCAAUCAAAUCAUACUAUGUGCCUUUGACUAUUCAAUUAAAAAUAUUAAAAUUCUUUUUAUUAAAAAAAUAUUUUUACAAAAUAAAAUGAAAUAGAUAUUAAUAAUAAAAAAAACCUAACCUAAACCAUCCCUAACUCAUGUCUUGGCAUGCCUCACGCCAUAUCUCAUCUAAUCCCACAUCAUCGAAGAAAGAAUAAGAACAUCAAAAAGAUCUAGAAACUGUGAAGAGAUGAGUCUCUUUUUACUUUUGCUUUGGUUCUUUGAUUUUGCAAGGAAAAUUCCCUAACCCAACCCACCUCACUUUUGCUUUGGCUCUUUGGUUUCCUGGAGAAUGAUCUCUUUUUUUCUUAUUGAUCUCGUAAAGUUUUUUUUUCUCGUGAAUGAAGAAAAUGAUCCGAUAAACCUUGUUACGAAGCUAAUGGGGAAAAUCUUGGGGUUUUUGGUUUUGUCUAGGUUUGUUUGGGUAUAUCAUAAUAAUAAAUCUAAGUCUAAUUUAAAUACAAGAAUAGGAAAUACUAUGAAUAAUGUAAUAGCCCAAUUUACCCGGGCUUGUAUAAAUAACAAAAUAAUAAUAAUAAUAAUAAUUAAUAAAGUCCAAAAUCAAAUACAGUGGCCCAAAUGCUUAAGUGCUACCCACCAAGGCCCAUUAAAAUUUAAACCCAAUUUGCCUAGACCCUAACUCAAUUACAGAGUGGCCCAACGCAAAAUCAAAAGCUGAAACCCUAGCAGCUUCCAGCGUUGUUCUCCCCAGCCACGCGCGCCUUCGUACCGCCACCUCCGUACCGCCAUGUCGGUCUCCGUACGCCGUACCUGCAAGAGGGACAAGCAAACAAAAAAGAAGAAGCAAAAAUCGACAACAAAAAAGGAAAAUAACAAAAAGAGCGAAAUACACUUUCUUUUGUAAUUUUCAUUUUAGUUUCGGCUAUAUAAAGUCAUUUUUCAGCGUUUGUAAGGUUACACACACAAACACGCAGAGAAUCAAUACAAAAAAAAGAAGGUUUUCUUUUUCUUCCAUUCGGUUCUUUUUCCGAUUGCUUUCCUUUCUUUUUUGUUAUUGAUCAUAUAUAUAGGAUAUAUAUAAAAUAAAAGAAAAAAAGGGGGAGAUUAGAACCUAUACCUGGUUAAAGCCUCUGUUGAACCCCUCAUUGGUUUCGAUCGGAACCGUAUGGUUGGGGGUUCCGAUGUUGAAGCGGCGCUGGGGAGGGAAUAGAUGUUACUAGCUUUUUUUUAAAAAAAACUGUAGCUGCUGCUGAUUUUAGGGUUUUAAAGUUGGUAUUUAUAGUGUAAUAAACGGCACCGUAUUGACCAUUACCCAACAACCCGCGCGCGACCCGACCCGCUCCAUGGGGGAUUCGCGCGCUCCUAUUAAUUGGGUUAUUUGCACCUCCGGUCCUGCUGCCUUUUUAUUUGUUUUAAUUCAGUUGUUUUAAUUUUUUUAAUUGAUACUGUAAAUUUUAUUCGGUUUUGGAUUCGGUCCUGACGGAAUGGCGCGUUUCAGAGGGCAGGAAUAUUUCCCCAUUUAAUCCCUCUAAGUUGUUCGGGCCUUUCAAUCGGGCCCUUCAUUUUGUUUUGUUUUCGUUUCUUUCUCUUUAAUUUCGUUUUGAGUUUAAUUUAAUCCAUACUUAUUUAAUUUAACGUAUUUGAUUUUUAUUCUGUUUAAAAUCCUUUUUUGUUAUUUUCGGAUAUAUUUAAUUUUAAAUCUAACUUUCUUUUUAUGUUUAAGUUUAGUAUAUUUUUAAUUUUAUUAUCAAUGCUAUUUCAAUAUUAUAAUAUAUUACUCUUUUGAAUCAAUCGUUAAUAUUAUAUAAAUUCACCACGUAUUAUUAUUUACAAUUUAUUAUAUAUCAUUAUUUAAAUUUAUCACAUUUUUAUAUUUUUUUUAUGUAAAUUUGACAUGAUUUGUAUAUAUCUCUUGAUGUUUUUAUUUUACAAUAUAUUUAAAGAUUCAUUAUUAUAUUUCUAUAUUUUUUAAAAAAAAAAGGGAGCUAUACAAUAAUGCUAUUAUAUAAUACUAUUUCACAAACAUAGGUAUACACAAUUUAUAUUAAAUUAUUUUUAUUAUAUACAUACGCAAUAUAUUUGAUUCCAUAUUAUUAUACAUAUGUACAUGUAUUUUUUACCUAUUUUAUAUAAUAUGAAUUUCUUUCAAAAUACUCUAUUAUAUAUUUUGCUUAUUUCAACUCUUUUUUAUAUUGCUACAUAUACUAUUAUAUGAAGUUUUCCGUGCUAUUAUUUAUUUAAAUUAACUUAUAUACAUUAUUUUAUAUAUUUUUAUAAUAUUGACUUUAAAAUUCAUUCACAUAUUAUUUAUUUUUAUUGAUUUUUAUAUUUCAAACCUUUGUGUAUUUUAUUUAAAUUCUGUUAUGCAUACAAUUUUCAAUUCUUGUCUUUGUUAUGUUUUUGUUUUGGAUUGCAUGAUGUUUCAUUCGGGAUUAAUUUUCCAACUCAUUUAGCCUUUAAUUGUUAAUAUUGGUAUGGACAUAUUAUAUGGGACUAUUGCUUGUGUAUGUAUGUGUUGUGUUGCUCAUUUAUAUUUAAGGGUUGUACAAGCCCAAUUUUUGACCCAGGGCCCAAUAACAAAUUUUAACCUAAAAACUACCUAGGCCCAACUAGCCUAACCCAAUCAGCCCAAAACCUAAACACCUAGCAGAAACCCUAGCCCCCUGUUGUGCCGCACCUGCUCCUGGCCUCCUCACCUGCCCUCUGUUCACAGCCGUCACCACGCUCACUUGCCACAGACUCACCUGCUCCAACUGCUCCGCCAGUACCUGCAACAAACACCAACAAGCAACAGCAAAUACGGAUAGCAAAAGGAGAUUUUUUAUUUUGUAUUUUGGCUAUAUAAGGCCGAUUGAAAAAAUCAAAAAAGGGGGGCUUCUUUUUCUUUUUUUCGAUUUGUAACCAAGAAAACAAAUUUCAAUAGAAUAAUAAAAAAUACCAAGCUUCAAGGUGAUUUCCAGGGUUUUCGAUUGCAAUCUUUACUUUUUCUUUUUUUUCGUUGUAUUUAUUUUAUUUUAUUUUGAUUUUUUAAACGAAAUAAAAAAAAUAAAAUAACGAAAAAGGAGACUCACCGCGGGUCGCUGUUUCCUCCUCGUCGGAAACUCCUUCUCCGGUGAGGAAACCGACUGUAGAGAAGCCUAACAGCCUUUUCCCCUUCGUUUUUGGUCAUUUUGAGGCCGGAUUCGGGUUUAAGAGAUCGGCAUCUCUAAGGGCACGCCUUUCUCCACUCGUCGGCCACCGUGUACGGCGUCACUGGCGCCGGCGAUCCGACGGCCGACACGGUGGCCCUCGGCCGGACCCGAGAUCAAGAAAGGGGAAGAGGGAGAGAGAACUGAGAAGUUUUUAGUUUUUUUUUAAAAAAAGGGAAUGGGGCUGAAUGAUUUUUUUAACAAAAAUUGGUUUAAAUACCUAAAUGAAACGGCGUCGUUUUGGCCUGUUUCAUUCGGCCUCAAACGACGCCGUUUUGCGUCUAAACCGAGAUUCGACCCGCGACCAGACCCGUCCGAUCUAGGGAUCCGCGUGUUUUUGACGGAAGGGCUAAUUGCACCUUUAGCCCUUCCGCUUUUUUUAAUGCUUUUUAAAUUAGGUUCUUUUGAUCUUUUAAAUUUACCCAAAAUUUUUUCGUAUUUUCAACUUCGUCCUUACUCGAACUACGCCGUUUUAAAGGAAGGGUAAUUUUCUUUGAUGGUCCCUCCAUGUUACAUGCGUGUUCAGAGCAAUCCCUCCCCUUUCGUUUAUUUGCGCUUUGAACCCCCCGAAUCUUGUUUAAUGUUUAAUCUAAUCCUUUAGUGAUUUUGUUUAUUUUCUUUACAAAUUUUAUAUUAUUAUUGUUAUUGCAUUAUUAUUAUAAUUGCUUUUAUAGAUAUAUACAUAUAUUUUUAUAUAUUUUUACAUAUACUUAUACACAUUUUUUUUGUAAUAUAUAUAUAUAUAUACAUAUAAACAUACCUAUUUUAUAAUUUAUUUAUACAUGCAUAUAUAUUUAUAAUACACGUACAUAUUUCUAACCUUUAUAAAUAUAUAUAUACAUAUUUUUACAUAUAUAUAUGUACAUAUUUUAUAUAUUUUAUAAUUCAUACAUGUACACAUUUUUCAUACUUCAUAGCUUAAAACCAUCUAUAUAUAUCUAUAUGCAUUUUUUAUAAAUACAUGUAUAUAAAAUAUAUUUUCAUACACCUUUAUUAUAUAUACAUAUUUAUAUACUUACAUACACUUCAUACAUAUUUAUUUUUUCUUUAUAUUUUAAAAUAUACUUUAUAUAUAUUUCAUAUAUUUUGUAACUUACGUAUACACACAUAUUUUAAUUUACAUUUCUAUACAUAUAUAUAUUCCUUUACGUUUUAUUUGUGUUCACUAUUUAUUUCAUUUUAUUAUUAUUUUGAAUGAAAGUUUUGAUUUAUUUGUUUAUAUACAUUGUUAUUUUAUAUGAUUGUAGGACUAACUUUUAUUUAUUAUUGUUGCUAUUGCUCAUAUCAUUUUAUACUUUUGUAUUCAUUAUGAUUUUGCCAUGAAUAACAACAAUGCAAUUUGCUUUCACAUUUUUUUACUACGAUUUUAGUGUUUUAUUUUACUCGACAUAACAUAAUUUGUUUUGAAUAAAUAAUAUUUCGUCUUUAGAUUCGAGAGGAUCGUAUCUUAACUUACUGGGUUUCGAUUUUCACGAUAAAUCUAAAUGACGAAUCUUUUUAAACUCAAAUUUUAAAUGAUCUCGGGAUUAAAAAAUUGCGUCCUAACUUACUGGUCGUGAUCUCAUUUUUAAAUCCGAGAUGGCUAAAAUAUCUUUUAAAUAAGCAUUUUUCAUUUGCGUGUUGGGAAUUUGAGACAUUGUGUCCUAACUUACUGGAUAUGAUUCUCUUUCUCGAUUAACGUGAAAUAUGCUACUUUUCCCAAAAAUUUUCAUUUUAAUAUAAGGAUCGUAUUUUUAAAGUUCUUCAAAGUUUUCGACAUUAAGACAUUAAGUAAUCAAUUAGGUACCAAUUUUGGGCGUAUCGAGGGUGCCAAUCCUUCCUCGUGCGUAACCGACUCCCGAACCCGUUUUUCUGAAUUUUGUGGACCAAAAUCGUUGUUUUAAUAAAACUAAAUCGUUUAUUAAAAACAACCACUUUUCAAGGUGAUCCAAUCACACCUCAUAAAAAAAGGAUUGGUGGUGACUCCCGUUUCAUUUUUCAAAACCCAAGUCGACCCCGUUUUUCAUCCAAAAAAUGGUGUCAACAAGGGUUAUUUGUGUUCAUUAGUGUACACUUUGACCCACGGAUUAUCACUUCGCAUUGUACAUUCCAUCGCGCUUUAUUCGCUUAGAAAAUUAUGUUCGAUAUGGUUUAAGCUUCGAAAUCAUUUUAUUCAAAAGCUUUCAAAAUAACACAAUAUUUGGCAUUUGGGAUCUUUGAAAAGAAUGUGAAACUUACUGGAUUCCAAUCUUCCUCGUUGAAUCUAAGAAACCGUGUACCCUUUUUUAAACAUAAAUAAAAAAUCAUUCUCGGGAAUUCGAUACGUUGUGUCCUAACUCAUUGGACAUGAUAUAUUAUUUUCUCGAGACUAGGAUUCUCCUAACAAGUAAUAAUAAAGGCAAUAUUUGAUAUUUAGGAAUUUUGUAAAAUUGAACCCAAACUUACUGGGUUUUGAUUUUCUCAUUUGACGCAAAUAAUCAGAUAUCCUUCUCAAAAUGCAUUAGUUUUAAAAGUCAAGAGAUAAACUUAAUUUCGCGGAUUUAAAAUGUUACACUCUAACUUACUGAGUGUGACAAUCUAUUUCUUCGAAAUAAAUGAGUUUCAUCUUCCGAUUCGUUUCAUUCAAAUUUUCUUUUCAAAGGAUCGUAUUUUAAAAUCUUAUCAAAUCAUCGACACUAAGACAUUAAACAAUCAAUUCGGUACCAAUUUUGGGCGUUACGAGGGUGCUAACCCUUCCUCGAGUGUAACCGACUCCCGAACCUAUUUUCUCGAAAUUCGUAGACCAAAAAUCAUUUUUAAUGGUGAACUGGUCACACCUUAAUAAAAGAUCGGUGGCGACUCCAAUUCUCAUUUUUAGUCGACAAACUAAAUUUUUGUUUUUCAAAAAAGCGGUUUCAACAAAUAAAAUAAUAACAAUUGACAUGUAUCGUACAAAAAAUUGAUAAUAAAAGAUUUAUUUUAUAAUUAUAAUUUUAAAAAUUUAUAUAAUUUAUUAAUAGAAUAAAAUUAUAUAUUUUUAUAUAAAUUAUCAAUUUUAUAGUCAUUUGUAGUAACGAGUCUUUUAUGUAUAUGGUGUUUCAUGUUUGCAUACGUUGUUUGUUAAUGUUUAAGAAUUGAAGAAUUUCGAACUAGUGAUAUAAUUUUUCUCAAAUUUUUAAAUAAAAAAAUAAACAUAUUUCAAUGUUUUAAUCUACAUUUUCUUUUACUGACAAUAAAAUUAAUAGCGAGUGAACUUGAAAAUUUAAAUUUGAUUAAAUAAAUAAAUUAAUUCAUGAAUACUCUCCCAUUUGUUGCAACAUUGAAGAGUGAGAAGGUUGUAUGGCCGCAAAGAAUAAGAAAAAAACCAAAUUCGUACCCACAAUAUUUAUGGUAAUGUUUCAAUAUUUCUUGGUCGGAUUAGUAAUUAGGAGUUAUGAAAAUGGCUAACACGUGUAUAGUUUUACGGUGGGAAAAAACUCACAAACAUUUCAACUUUCUUUCUUUUUAACAACAAUAUAGAAAACAAAACCUAGUUCGUCAUCAAUGCAUUUCCACUUGUUUUUUAAUCUACUCUUUAGCUUUUAGAGACCAACCCAAAAAAGAAAAGAAAAGAGUAAUUGUUACUUUCACUAGUCUAAUUAAACACAACCCAAAAAUAGAGAUUUCGACAAAAAUACAAUCUUCGAAAAAUAAACCUAGGUAAAAUUAAUGUUGAUUUUCUAUAUGGAUUAGGUUUUGGACAAUAUUCUUUGACCCGAUCCUGACUCAAUUCGAAUAUAUUGUGUUAUACAAAUUCUUAUAUUAAUUAGACAUGUUAAAAAAUAAUUAUAUAUUUGUAUUUAUAUUAAAGCAUUGACCCAAUAACAAUUAAACUCUUUACCCAAAAUCUAAAAAAAAAAUUACCCAAUUAAAUAACCCAACCCAAAAUAUAAAAUUUUAAAAAUUAUAUUUAAUAUAAUAAAAGAUUUAUUCUGAAUUAGAUUUCUUAUUCAGUGGAUGUCCAUUAAAAUCAAGAUGAGUUUUGAUGUAUUUUAAAUUCUAAUAGCCAUUAGAAUUAGAUUUCUACUUCAUUUCUACUUCUUAUGUCUAUAAAUAGAAAUUUUGGAGAAGUUUUGUAAAUAUUCUCAUUGAUCAAUAAAUACGCUAUCUCUUUGUUCUUUAUUCUUUAUUCUUUAUUCUUCUAUUUUAUAACACGUUAUCAGUACGAUUCUUUUUUAAUUUUUUUUCUCUAUAAGUCAAAAAAAAUAUCCCAAAAUUUACUGUUGUCGAUUGCCUCCUAGAGCUAUGGCUAUUUCAAUUGAGGUAUGCGCACUAUGGGUAAUCAUUAGAGCCUUUAACCACUUAGUCAGAGUGAUAACGAUGACGCUAAAGAAUCUCAUGUAUAUUUUAUUAUGUUUAUAUCAUGUUUAUUAUAAUUGGAGACUAAUCAUGACAACAUGAAUAGAUAGAUUUUGAUUUGACAUCCAUGCAUGUCUGCGAUGGUGAUUAUGGAAUAAAAAAUCUAUUAGGACGUUUAUAAGUUCGUCCUAGUAAAUCUAUUGCAUUCCCUGAAGUGAAUGCAAGCAUAAAGGAAAAUAAAAACCAAUAUUAUUAUAGUAUUUAGUAGUACAAAAUUAGUUGAAAGCUUCAGAAGAGCUAAUAUAUUAAUACAUUAUUAAUCCAUCAAUUUUAAAAGAUAUUCAUUAUAAUGGAUAUCAUAUUCAGAUUUCGAAUGAAGAAAAGAUUAUAUUUCAUAUGAAUCACUAUUGCUAUAAAUAUCUAUUUUGAAAGGAUGAAAAAAAAGGAGGAUUGAUUUAUUAAUUACUCUUAUUAUUAAAUUGAAUUGACUGUGAAUAUCUUUCUGAUCUUCUUUUGAAAUCAUCCCCAUUAAGGGGUUGAAAGCGAAACAUUUGACUAUGCAAGAUCUACUUAUGAGCAAUAGAAUAUGGUAAUUUUAUCUAAAGCUCAUUAUGGUUUGAUGCACCUAAAGUUGCAAUUUUUGUUUUAAACUGUGAGUAUAACUCUACAGUAUUUAGAAUAAGUUCUCAAUUAAAAUUACGUGGAAAAAUAUUACUGAUGAGAACUUGCAAGAAAGAAAACUUAUGUAUGAAAAGUCAUUGGCUAUGUACCUGUUGUACACUUGGAAAAUAAGAUUGACCCCCAAAGUUUGCUAUUAAUAGGUUUUGAUUGGAUUCAAAGUCUACUACUGGAGUUCAAUUUGCUUACUCCUUGAUAAAAUCGUCAAGGCUCAACAUAGAAAAAAAGAUUUAGUCAUAUUCCCUGAAGUGAAUAUUGAUUUAGUGCCAUUAUAAACUUCACAUUGAUUUAGACAUUUCCAAUAGUAAAUGUCACAAUAGUACUUAUAUGUGGAUACAAAGUAAAAUGAAUGACACUAAAAUUAUCAAUUUGUCACAAUUUAUAUUGAUAUUAUUAGUACAAUUGAAAUGCAUGUUAAAGUAAUCUAAAAGUUUCCUAAUACAAAUGCAUUUACUACUUGGCGUGACUAGUUAGACCAUCCUGGAUCAUAUAUGAUGCAAAAAUUAAUUGAGAAUUCAUACAAACAUUCAUAAAAAAACUAGAAGAUUCUUUAAUUUAAAGAAUUCUCAUUUGUUGCUUAUUCUCAAUGAAAAUUGCUUAUUGGAAACUCACUAGCUAAAGUUGAGAUUUAAUGUCUUACAUUUCUAAAAUGAAUAUAGGUCUAUUCAUCCACCAUGUAGAUGAUUUUGAUAUUAUAUGAUUCCUGGUAGAUGCAUCUACAAGAUAAUCACAUGUGUUAUCAAUUUGCAACCUAUCAGUUGCAAGAUUUCUUGUUUAAAUAAUUAAAUUUAGAUUAUGCAAUUAAGAUAAUUCAUUUUGCUAAAGCUGAUGAGUUUAUAUCUCAGUCUUUUAUUGAUUGAGUUUGAAAAACUUUGUAAAAGCUUGUUAUUUAUGCACAUAAUAGUUUAGAGAAAUUAUUCAUUGAAAGCAUCUAAUUAAUAUCUAAACCAUUACUCAUGAGAACUAAACUUCCUAUUUCAACAUAAGAUUAUGUUUAUUUACAUGUUGUACGCAUUAAGUCAAUAAGUUAUAAAUACUCCCAUUACAAUUGGUUUUUGAUAAAGAUUUAAAUAUUUCCCAUCUUUGAACUUUUGUGUAUGUAUAUAUUCCAAUUGAUCCACCAUAGCGCACAAAGAUGAGUGAAUCCUCAAAGAAAGUUAGGAAUAUUUAUUAAUUACGAGUCUCCUUGUAUUAUUAGAUGUUUUGAAUGUUUUGAAGAUUUAAUUAUGACAUGAUUUGUGAUUACUAUUUUGAUUCGAUAGUUUUCCCAACAUUAGGGAGAGAGAAAAAAUAACUUGUAAUGAGUUAGUGUGAGAGUAAUUUGAACUAGAAGUUCAACAAAGAUAACUCAUUAUAUGUUCCACAUAUAAAAAAUUCUUAUAAAAGAAAAUAAUAAAUCUAAAUGAUCAUAUAGUGACGGCGGGUGCUCUAGAAGAGACUAAAGACAUAACUAAUAAGUAAUGUAACGGGCCUAUUUUACCCGAGCCCAAAUCAGACAAAAAACAAACACAAAAAAUAAAUAAAAAUGCCAAAUAUUAACAGUCCAUCAGACCCAAAUUACAAGCCCAAAAAAUAAAAAACCCUAAGGCCCAACAAGCCCACAACCUAAACAGAAAAAGAAACCUUAGCCCUUUUAGCCCAGGAGUCGUACGUCCCUACGCCGCACCUUAUUGCCGCCACCGCCUCUGCCACCACCAACUAUGCCAACCUACAAAAACAGCGAACAACACGCAAGAACAGUGUAUUAAACAAUGAAAAUUGGCUAUAAAAAGCCAUAAUACUCCGAAUGUAAUGUUUUUUUUAAGGAGAAAUAAAAAAAUCAAUCAAAAAAUUUAAAAGGUGAUCUUUUUUUAUUCUUUCUACUAUUAUCUAUAUAUAAAAAAAUAAAAAGAAAUAAAAAACUUACCGCUGUUGCGCGAUGGAGAAGGGCAAAACCGAAAGGUUUUUUCAUUUCUUUUUAGAUUUUGGGGUUUGUUUUGGGCAUUUUUGGCUUAGAUCUAGGUUUUUUUUGAAGAAAAAACAAAAGGUGGGCUUUUUUUUGCAUCUUAGACCACCGUGGAUCGUGGCACCGUCGCUGGUGACCAACGGCCGCCACGGUGACCCGAUGACAGGCCUGAGGAUGGCUCGGAGAGAGAGGGGAGAGGUUUUCUAUUUUUUUUUAGAAAUGGGGUUAAAAUGAGUUGUUUUUGAAGGUUAUUUGGCUUAUAUAGGUACCAAUACGGCACCGUUUUUGCGCCUUUGGUCCUCGUUCAUUUUUGCCCCUUUCAUUUUAGUCUUUUGUUUAUUUAUUUUAUCUUAGUUUAUCCUUUUAAUUUAAUUUAGGUGACAAUUAGGUCCUUUAUUUAUUUUAAUUCUUCUAUUUAUUUAUUUAUUUGUUUAUUUAGUAUUUUUUUACUUUUUUAUAUUCAAAUCUUUGUUUUAUUUUUUUCAUCGGGCAUCUAUUUAUUUAUUUAUUUUAUUUAUUUAUCUAUUAUUAUUUAUUUAUGUAUUUUAUUACAAAUUGCACCCCUAAUUUCAUUUACAUUUUAAUUUGGUCCUUUAUUUUCAACAUUUUAUAAACUAUUUUCCUCUAUAUUCAUUUAUUUAUUUAUGCAUUUAUUUAUUUCCUCAUCCUUAUUAUAUUUAAAACUCGUAUUGCCUUUUUUAUGUGCAUAUUUUGUCACCAUUAUUAUUAUUGUUGUUAUUAUUUAUUCUAUUUUCUUUGAUUAUUCAUAUUAGUAUUAGAGUAGUAUAUAUUAUGUGAUUAUCGCCAUUAUAUUUAUUAUGAAUUGUCUUUAUUAGUAUAUUCAUAUUAUAGUCAUUUACUAUCUCGACAUUUUAUUCAUAUAUCAUCGUUCCAUUUUCUACAUUACCAUUUUAUCUUAUUUCGUUAAAAUCACGUCAUGAAUCACAUUUAGACAUAUUUAUCCAUUGUUGUAUUAUGACAAAAUAAGAUAGAUACAUGUCAUUUUAUAUACUACAUUUGUCGUUACUCGAUGAAUGGAAUUUUAAAAUUAAGGGAAUGUUCAGUAUUUGGAGAUUCGAGAAGUCGUGCCGUAACUUACGGGGUUCGACUUUCUCUUUGAAUCUAGAUAAUCGAACAUACAUUUUAAAACUAAAAUACAUGAGAUUUAAACAAUAAAUAUAUGAUGAGCAAUUUUAUUUGUGAGAAUACGAGAUGUCAUGUCCUAACUUACGGGACAUGACCUUUUUGUUAACUUUAAAUAAGAAAGCUUCUUAUAUAAGUUUGGAUUUAACUAAAUGAUUUCAAAUAAAAAUAUCAUUAUGCAAAAAGGGAUCGCGUUUUAAACUUCCUUCAAAUUUUCAAAUUUCGACACUAAAGACAUCAAGUAAUCAAUUUGGUACCAAUUUUGGGCGUAACGAGGGUGCUAAUCCUUUCUCGUGCGUAAUCGACUCCUGAACCCAUUUUCUAGAUUUUUGUAGACCAAAAAACAUUGUUUUGUAAAUCAAACCUUUUAUUAAAAUGAUUGAAUUACGAGGUGAUCUUAUCACACCUCAUAAAAAAGAUUGGUGGAGACUCCUAUUUUUUGUUUUAAAUAAAAAAGUCAAUUUCAAAAAAAUUGGUUUCGACAAGUAAAACUUCAGAAGAUAUUUAGAUACCUGAAACUAAAACUUAAAAUAGUGAAAAUAAAUAAAUCUUGAUAAGUUAUGUCAAUUCGAGAGAAUGUCGAACCAAUAAUAAAGCUAAUCGAUAAUAGUUUUGCAUGCAAUAUUAUUGUUGAAAUGACAAGAGAAUCUAGAAUAAAUCUAUUAAGAAAUAUAGAUAUGGAAUAUAUUGUUCAAAAUAGAAAGAUGCAACUCAAGUACAAUUAAAUUCGUGAAUUUUUUAGACCAAUAGCCCAAAUAUCUAAAGGUAUAAAGUCAAUGAGGGUAUAAAUGAAGUAGUUUUGCAAAAACUGAAUAAAAUAUGAAGUUUUCGCUAAGUCCUAGCAUUGAUUAUGAAAACAUAUAAUAUUCUUUUAUGGUGGAUGCAAUAGCCUUUAGAUAUAUUAUUAAACUGACAAUUCAUAAAAGAUUUAACUUGCGUCUAAUGGUUGUUGCUACAACCUUUUAUGAAUCACCAUACAGUAAAGUUUAUAUUAAAUUUAUUGAAGGAUUUAGAAUGCCAGGAGUAUAUUAAAAUUCUCGUGAAAUUGUUCAUUUAUAUGAAUUGAAAUAAUUUGAACAUAUGUUGUAACACCCCAAACCCGGCCUAGGCGUUAAAACCAAGUUCGAAGAGUUACAUUGAUGUUACUGAAAACCCACAUUUAUAAGCGCAAUAAAAGAAAACCAUUCAACACGUUAUAACAAUCAUAGUAUCAACUAAUCAUUCAACCAUUCUAAACUAUCAUAUUUCUAGAGAAAGUUGAAUUUUACUAAUAGUAUAGUUAAAGGUCGAUAAAGUGGGUUGACCGAGCUUCCACAACGCCAACCCGUUCAAGUUUGUGAACCACCUGAAAUUCAGUCCACAAAAAAACGAUUAUAAAAAUAGUUCUCGAAUCUCAAGUUCCAAUCAAAAUCAGAAAACACUAGGUACAUAUUUAACGUAUCAAUUAUAUGGAAGAAUAAUUCUAGUUAAGAUACAGAAUAGAUCAGAAACAGAUGCAGUUAUUCCUACCCUUAUCCGCUACAUAUCAUCUCAAGCCAUCCCAACACACUAUUUAGGGUAUUGAAUACCCAUCCAGCCCUACACACUGCUAAAUGUAGGUACGACACCUUUCAGAAUAUUCACAGCUUAACUGCCAGAUUAAUAGGCGAAUAAACGCCAAAUUCAUAUAUAAGUCGUGGCCUAGCCACUGAUUCAGAAUAGAUCACUUCCUUCUUCACAUGAUUCCCACCCAAUGCAAAUGUAGAUUACAUAUGUCAAAAUGAACUCACAGUGAUUCAGUUUCAAUAAACAUUUGUAUAAUUAGAACCUCAAUCUCAGAUUAUCAGAUAGCAAUCAUACGAUCUAAUUCAAAUCAUACAUAUACACUACGGAAGACCUACAUUUGCAUUAACAACACUUACAGUGUAACACCCCUUACCCGUAUUCAACAUCGGAAUAGGGUAUGAGGCAUUACUAGAACACAUACACUUGUAAACGUAUUGAACUGAGUUAUAAAAUUUCAUUUAAAUUAAAACUUUCAAAUUAUUAACAUGUUUUUCUAAUUCUUCACAAUAUAUCCUCAAAAUAUUAUAUUCAUAAUAAAUAGGACCUACGAGACCCAAUACAUACUCAUGCAAUUCAAUGCUUCAUUUCCUUUUCAUUUAAUUCACAAUUCAAUAUCAUUAAGAUCAAUACUAAUACAUAUUUACCAUUUAACUCAGUGUUUAUCAAUUAUACUAUUCAAUAACACAUUUAUGAAAUUCUCAAUUUUAUCGGAUGUGAAAAUAUUGCUUUAGCUUAAAUAACAACAUCAAUUCAACUCAUCAUCCCAUUCUUCGUCAUUUUACACUUCAAGUAUGAACUUAUUAUUUCAUUACCUUUCCACACCCGUUUCCUAUGCUUAUCACACAAGACAUAAACAUGUCAUUCAACCAUAGUCGCAAGCUAGUACAUUGAAACAUAAUUCUUUUUGGAACUAACCACAUGAUAAACCAUUUCACUAGAGAUUACAUAAUUUAAACCUUACCUCCCCUUUCAUGAUCACAAGCAUAUUUCCAUUUAGGCACUUACUAUUUCAAUGCAUAACUUAUAGGUUUAAUGUGGCAUAAUCCAACCACAACUUGGCCAAAGCCUAAGCAUGUAUACCAAAUAUGCCAGCCAAAUAAACAUAUAGCAUAAGCAUUAUAAGCAUGGAUGAGCACAAUAUUUAUUUAUGUAUCAAAGUUACUAACAUGAGUUAACUCAAUGCCCAUUCAUGACAUUACUUCAAGCCAAAUCAUUUACCAAAUAUACCAUACCCACAUACUAUGAAACUUUAUUUUCCCAUAUGAGUUUAAACCAUGACCAAUAAUGCACAAAUAUAUGCUUCAUUUCUAUUUCAUCGUUUAUCAAUUAUAAUCGAGCAUAUUACCAAUUAUACACAAAUCAUUCAUAUAUUUUCCAAUUUUCCUUCACCUCUUCUCCAUUCCUUAUCCUUAAUGUGUAUAACACACUUAAACAACAUUAUCCAUACUUUCACUAUUUUCCUGUAUGUAAAUUCAAGCUGAUUGUCUAAGUUAGAGUCACUAAUUUUUUUUAUAUAUCGAGCUCCAGAGCUCUAAAUUAAGAUCUGUUAUUUUUCCUUAAAACUAGACUUACUUUGGUUUAGCCAAAUAGUACAGUUUAUUCUUUAAAAUUUCUUCUAUUUCACUAUUCAAUAGUUCUGACCCCACUUCACUAAAAAUUAAAUAUCUCAUUGUACAGAAUUCUGAUGAUGUUCUUGUUUAUUUCUCUUGAAAAUAGACUCAUUGAGUUUACAAAUCAUAAUUAUUUUUGCACAAUUUUUAAUGAUUUUCCAAAUUCGGAAUUGGGGAUUCUAAAAUCAUUCUGACCUUGUCUCACUAAAAUUCAAAUAUCUCAAAAUAUAUAACUCUUUUGCUUACUCUGUUUCCUUUAUAUGAAAACAGACUCAUUGAACUUCUAAUUCAAUUUCAAUCAUUUUUAGUGAUUUUUUCAAACUCACAUAACUAUUGUUAUCCUAAACUAUUUUGUUGUUAAAUUUACUCUUUCAUAAUUUCAUUACUUCAUUUCAUCGUACCAAAGGGUCGAUUAAAUAUCGAGUACAUUGUUCAUCACAUAGUCUUAUUAGAUUACACUUAAUCAUUACGUGAUCACAUGUAUUUUCAAUUAGUUAGUUUCCUGAUGAACACUUCAGAGUAAUAACAGUUACACGGUGGAUCAGCACACAGCACCACACUUAUAGUCAAUGAUACUCGGUGGAAUCAGCACAUAGCAACCACCUUUAUAAUCAAUGAUACCCGGUGGAAUCAGCACAUAGUAACCACCUUUAUAAUCAAUGGUACACGGUGGAAUUAGCACAUAGCAACCACUUUUAUAAUCAAUGAUACCCGGUAAACAUAGUAGCCUGCACAUAGUACUACACAUGUGACCAUUACUCUCACUUUCACAUAGUGGCCUGCACACAGUUCGUGCCACACAUGUGAUCAUUACUAUCACUUCAUUCGUAUCUUUUCUAUUUCGGAGGUUCAACCGGGAAAUUUCUCACUUUUUCUCACUUUUCUUUUUCACUAAUCAAAGUUAAUUUCUCAUCUUUCUUGAUUUAUAAUUACACAUUAAACUUAUAAACACUCACAUUAUUCAAUUUGGUCCAAAAAUCACACUGUGGUUAAAAUUACAAAUUUUCCCCUAAAGUUUCACAAAAUUACGAUUUUGCCCCUAAGCUCGUAAAAUAAUUUUAUUCAAUUUCCUCGCAUUUUAGGCCAAGACAAACCAUUUUUGUAACUAUAAUAGUCCAUAAUUUUCACUUAUUCACACACUUACACGCAUUUUACAACUUUUUACAAACUAGUCUUUUUAUGCAUUUUCAUCAAAAAUCACUUAAUAAAACUUGUUUAUCACACUCCAUACAUUCAUAUUCUUCCAUAAAACAUCAAAAUACAUGCAUGUCAUCCACCGUUAAAUUUUGAAACACAAACCCUAGCUUAAAAUAACGGUAGAAAUAGGUAAAUCGAGCUACGAGGAUCUAAAAAAUGUAAAGAACAUUAAAAACAGGGCAAAGACGAGCGUACUGUAAAGCUUGAAAGCUUGAACAAAACCCUAGCCAUGGCUUCCAUGACAUGUCCGGCCAGCACCCAUGGAGAAGAUGAUACAAUUUUGGCCUAUUUUGUCUUUUUAAUUCAAUUUAAUUACCAAAUUACCAAAAUGCCCCUAACUUAAAAAAAUCCUAUUUCACUUACCUCAUGUCCAUUUUUGUCCACAAUUUAAUCACUGGUCUAAUUACGAUUUAAGGACCUCCAAUUUAAUAUUUCAUAAUAAUUGGACAAUUCUAACAUAUAGAACUCAACUUUUGCACUUUUUAUAAUUUAGUCCUUUUGAUAAAUUAAGUGCCCAAACGUCGAAAUUUUCGAACUAAAUUUUCAAAAAAUCAUUUCGUGAAAGUUUAGAUCAUAAAAAUAUGAUAAAAAUAAUUUUUUUCUCGUCAGAUUUGUGGUCCCGAAACCAUUGUUCUGACUAGGCCCAAAAUUGGGUUGUUACAUACAGCCCUAGAUAUGAAUUCCAAACCUGACCCAUACACCCAUAUGGUCCCACACGGCCUAAUACACGCUCGUGUUGUCUGCCUGUGAGGUCCUAAAUCACAAACAGUAAGUCACAUGGCUUGAGCACACACUCGUGUCUCUUACCCGUGUGAUCUUUGAAUCACAAAAAGUGAGUCAUACGUCUGUGUCUCUUGACCGUGUGAUCUCUAAAUAAAAAACAGUGAGUCACACGGCCUAGACACACGCCCAUGUCUCUGGCCUAUGUGAACCCUGCAUUAACAUGCCCACAAACAGCCUAAGUACAAGUCUGUGCCUCUUGCCUGCAUGGCUCAAAUUUGGUAAAUAGUGUGUUACACGACCUAACACAUGAUCGUGUGGCGCACACGGACGACCACACGACCGUGUGGUGCCAAUAGACACAUUUUUUGGCAUCUAAAAUUCGCAAAAAACUCAGUUAACCAAAGUGAUAUUUCAACAUCGAUCGGUUAACCAGAGUGAUGGGCAUCAGAAGUAACUAAUAUAAAUUCCUACAACAAAAUAACACUAAAUAGCAGUAUAGAGUAGUAGGGUCAAAUCCAUAGAGGUUGGUUAUCUAAUUUAGACUUUUCUUUGGACCAAAAUUAUUGUCGCGGCAACAGUCGUGCCCAUGACCUAUGCAUUGCAAAGUUGAAAAUUAAAUAAAAAAUGGGGGUUUAGUUGAUAAAGAUAAUAAAAAAUAUAAAAAAAGUAAAAAAAAUUGUGCUUGCAAAAUAAAUUAAGUGAAUUAAAAUAAACUAGUGAAUUAAAUUUAUUAAAGCUUAUCCUCAGCCUCAGUACACUCUGAACUUGAACCGAUCCUUAAAAAAUGGAUUUUCCCUUCCAAGCGAUAAGUUGGUUAUAGCGAUUAAGGACACCUCAACCGCUAACUUUUCCUUCUAUAGUCGGUUUAGAUAUGACUUGUAAACCACUCGUUGCCAAAUUUCUAACAACGUAACUCAUGCCCAUAAAUUAAGAUAUCAACAACCUUGGGAUCUAAAAAACCUAACUUGAAUCAACAGCAUCUAUCGCAUGGGUCAUUUAAAUUUGAUCAUUCUCUCCCUUAACGGAAUCCAACUGGCUUUUUCCAAUUGAACACACCAGUUUGUUCCCAACUGGACGCCAAACAACUCUAACCCAACGCGCGCUUAUUGAAUUGAAAUUGAAUUAACUUUAGGGGACAAAUUUGUACUAUCCUAUAUAUCUGCAAGAUAGCGAUUACCAUAUUGAAAAGUUUUUAGUGUGGGUGCAUAUCUCACAAUUAUUUUGUCGAAGCGAUAAUUGGGCUAAAGCUAAAAUGAAAUUAAUUGAGCUUGAAAUUAAUCAUGCUGGUUGGUAUAUGGAAAUGAUUUUUAAUGGAAAUGGUGGAAAGUGGAAAGGGAAAAGGACUUGGGAAGCAAUUUAACCAAAGUAUUGAAAUGGAAAAAGAAUGACAGAAUGCAACUUAGUUUUGACGCAAGAAAGAAGAAAAGAAAUGAAUUGAUUUUAUUUCACAAUCCCAGUGUGUCUUUUAAAGGCCACCAACAAUAAAUAUUUAUACACAUUCUCCAUGUUAAAUUUAGCAAGAUUUUUCCUAAAAAAUAUCAACUAAAAAUCAUAUUUAAACUAUUUAUAGAAUUUUGACAAUUUCAAAAAUCUAAUUUUAACUAGUCAACCUCUAAUUCUUUAAUUUCUUCAAUUUGGCCCUCAUCUUUGCUUUUCAUUCCAAUUUAGCCCUUUUUUUAUUUUAAAUUUCAGCACUCCAAUUUCAUCCUUAAUAAGAAAACAAAGUUUAGUAACAUUUUAUUCAAAACUUAGCUAAAAAUAAAUACUUAAAAAGCACAAAAUUAACUUGCUAUCACAGAGACUUUGUCACAUAGAGAAUUUCUAACCUUUUUCAUAAGAUGAAUGUCAUUUUCUCCAUCAAAGUUUCCUUCUCAAGAUCGGUCUAAAUCAAAAUUGUCAUCAUCCAAAAUUUCCACUGAUUGAAUUUUGUGAUGCCAUCGAACUUAUCAAUAUCAAACUUUGUUGCUAUCAAUAUCAAACCAUCUGAAUGGGUUGAUUGCAAAAAUCAAAAUAGCUUUGAUACCAGUUUGUUGGGGAUAAACCCAGUUAAACAACGAACAAGUAAAAUAACAAAAAAAUUAAAAAUAUCAAACACAAAUAUUUUGUGAGAAAAAACCCCUCCGAAGAGGAUAAAAAAUCACAGACAGAUAAUUUCACUAAAACAACAAAAAUAAAGAGUACAAAAUAUGGAGAUAAAACAAUAAGAACCCUCAACAUGUAAACAAAAAUUCUCUAAAAGCUUGUAAAAGCUAAUACCUAAAUGUGCAAUGAGUUAUUUUUCUAGGGUGGAAAAACAACCUAUUUAUAGGCUAAAUUCGCAGGUCAUAAUAUUAAAAUAACCUACACUAAUAAGAGUUUAAGUGGGAAACUAAAAACAAUGUUUAACUAGAAAAGAAAAGCCAAAAAAUACGAGGCAUAACUCCACAUAUAUUAACUUACUAUAAAAAAUAUUUUUUUUCAUAAAAUUAGCACAACUUUUGUUUAUGUCAAAGGUUUUUUAACUAAUAAUUGUAAAUCGUAAUUAUAUAAUUAUCACAACUUUUUUCUCUAUAUUUAUGCUUAUAUUUAUGCUUAGAGUUCUAUUUAAGUAAUAACUCAAUUAUGAAAUUAGCACAACCUUUUUUAACUAAUAAUUGUAAUUUAAAUUAUAAUUAUUUUUUAAAUGUGUAGUUAUCACAACUUCUCUUAAAUUAUAAUUACUUGUAAAUGUAUAAUUAUCACAACUAUUUUAUUUCAGUUUGUUACUAAUAAUUCAAUGUUUAAAUGUAUUGUAACGCCCCAAAAAUUUAAAUGUUUGACUGUCGUAUUCUAUCAUAAUUAAUUUUCUAUAUUGGUGGCUAUGUGCUUUGUGUUUAUGUUUAAGGUUAGAGGUUCGAGCUGAGUUUUAAGGAAGUUUUACUCUUUUGUUUAAAAUAAACCUCUACUCUUGAGCCUUUGAUUCAAAUCUUUUUCCUUGCUAAUUUAUGUUAAGAAUGAGCUUGUUUGUUCACUGGUUAAGAAUCUAUCUACUCUUUAGUGUUGAUGUUGGGAGUUACAAAACUUUUACUCAAUGUUAGAAAUCUAUUGGAAGUUAAAUUAGAUUCUACAACUUUAUUUUUUUUUCUUUUCUUUUCCUUCUCCCAUUUCCUUUCCUUUUACCACUCUUUUAUUUUUUUUUACGUUUUUCUUCUUUCUUUUGAUUUUUCCUUCUGAUUGUGUUUGGCGAGUGGUUGUCGAAAAUAAUUGAGGGUGCUAAGUUGUUCGAUGCGUUGUUAGAAGAUCUCUGUGUAAGUUUUGCCAUUAUGUCUUAUGUUUCUGCGAAGUUCUGUUGGUUUUCGCUUGUGUAUUUAAAUUGAGAUUGCUCUAACUAUUUCACUCAAAUUCUCUAUUAAAUUAUUGUUGGUCUUUUCCCUUUAGGCCUGAAUACCGAGGAAAGUGGUCAUUUACAUGCUGUUUUGAGUUAGUUCUGUCAAUUUGCCGAUAAGCAUUCAUUUUUUUGAAGUUUCACAUCGAGCUUCUUGACAUUAAUGUAUGUGAUUUUCAUCGAUUUAGUUGUUUGAUUGGUUGCUGGAUGAAAAUUAGGUUUCGGGAGUUCUCUGCGCUCUUCCUACGUCAACACAUUAUCAGGUGUGUACCGAAAACCUGACUUUAGUGAAUUUUAGAUGUCGAAAAAAAUAUGGCUAUCAACGCCACAUGACCGUGUGCAGGCCAUAUGAACCACACAACCGUAUGAUAGGUUGUGUGGCAAACCGUGUCACCCACUGUUCUUGAAUUAGAGACACACAGGCUAAGGACACGGACGUGUUUUUCGGCCGUGUGUACGAAUGUUUAGCACAGGGUUUACAUGGAAUAAGGACAUUGGUGUGCCCAGGCCAUUGAUGAUCACUAAACUAACUAUAAAUAUGACUAAGGUAAGCACACCUAUCAAACAAUAGUAUAGUUAUGGUGUGUAGGGAAUAUCAUAUCCACGACGACUAAAAAAACUAGUAAUUAUCAUUUUUCUAUUAUUUAGCCGACAAGUUGGGGUGAUUAUUUUUAAUCUAAAAUUACUAAACUAAUCUAACUAAGAACAUAACAGAGAAUGAAAUAAGAAAAUAAUCAAAGAUAACCAAUGAGAUAGACAAUACCUAGGAAAGAAUCCACCUAGAGUUCACCUAUUAUUAUGAAUCUAAAUUAAACGAUUUAUUCACUUGUGUCUUGAUUCGUAGAAAUCCCUAAAUUAUGUUAAUCUCUCUUUCGAGAGUAAGAACAACUGACUCUAGUUGAUUAAUUGAAAUCUCUUCCUAAUUAAAACCCUUAUUGUCGCAUUAACUGAAUCUAUGGAUUCCCUUAUUAGAUUUGACUCUAAUCUUGUAGAUUUAUGUCGUCCUAUUUCUAGGAUUGCAUGCAACUCCACUCAAUUAUGCUAGAUCUACUCUUAAAUAGGGACUUUUGCUCCACUGAAAUAAGUACAUUAAACAUAAAUUAAUAUCCUGAAAAUAUUAAAACACAAAAUAAGCAUACAUAAUUGAGAACAAGAAUCAAGUAUUUAUCAUGUAAAUUAAAAAUCAAAUAAUAAGAUUCAUCAUAGGUUUCAUCUUCCCUAGGUAUCUAAGGAAUUUAGUUCAUAAUCCUGAAUAGAAACCUUUCAAAGUUAGGAUAACAACAAGAGACAAAGAAACUUAAUAAAACUUCGAAGGAAAUUAAAUGGAGGUCUUCAAUCUUGAAGGAGAUCCACUUCUUAGGUGAUUCUAAUGGCGUUCUUCGAGUCUUUUCUUCGAUGUUCUCUAUGUGUCCCCUUAGGUCUUCUUCUAACUGGUAUUUAUAGACUUUAGAAUGCUCAAAAAGCAUAAAAAUUGGGUUUUUCCACGUAUUUGGGAAGCAAGGUGCAAUAUCGACACGGGCUGGCACAUGAGGGUAUGGCUAGCCCCUAUGGCUCACACGGGCAUGUGGCCAACCCGUGUGGAAAUGCCCAGGUUGUAUGGAUCCUGGAAACAACUCCAUUUGAUCAAUUUUGGCUCGUUUUUUGCUCCUUUCACUCCCAAAUGCUCUCAUAAGUAUAAAAACAUGAAUUUAAAUGAUUAAGAGCAUCAAAUUCACUAGUUUACAUAAUUAAUCAUCCAAGAACUCAUUAAGAAUGAGAAUAAAAUAUGUUACUUUUAUAGCUUAUCAAAUAUCCCCACGGUUAAGCAUUUGCUUGUCCUCAAGCAAAACCUUAACUUACAAUUAAAAUUAAUUUUUCCCAACUCAUAAUUCUCAUUAAUAAUGUUUCGUCAUAAUUCACAAAUAAUCAUACAUUGAUAAUCAACUAAAAGAGUACUAAAGAUUCAAACAAUCCAAGUCAAACAUUUUUAAAGCAUGAAAACAUAAGUAUUUCCCGUUAUCCAAGUAAUUACAUUAAAUUCAAAAUCGACAAGGCUUGACAUCCUCACUAAAGAUUCACUCAAAUCACUCAAAGUGGUUAAGGUUCAAUAAUAAGCACUCAAUAGUCAAACAUGAAAAGUCAUUACCAUAGGCUUGCAUGAAAAUUAAAUCUCCACCACUAUAAAAUGAUAUGAUACACAAAUCAAAAGGUCUUUAAGAGGUUGUAAUGGGGCUUAGGUUGAGGUUCUGGCAGAAGGCUGAAAAAGUUUGUUAAAAUCGAGAUCGAAUUGAUAAAUUACCAAACUAGAAAAGUAACAAAUGUUGAAUUAAAAACAAGUACAUAACUCAGGAACUAUUCAAGAAUAAGAAAACGAGCUUCUUCUCAAAAUAUGAAUUUAACUGUUCAAGCUCAAUUAUAGAACUAAGUAAUAAUCAAUAUAUAUUUUUGAUUUUUUCUAUUUUUUAAUUAUUUUUUGUAUUUUUUUGUAUAUAUAUUUUUUACAAUAAGAAAUAAUUCAACAAAUUAAACAAAAUAGCAUAGUUAGGCAACUAACGAAAUCAAAUCUUGACAAAAAGGGAGUGAAUAAAACGGGAAAAAAUUUCAACGAAAAGAAAAAAAAGAGUUAUGGGUUAACAUUGAUGAAUAAAUCAAGAAAUUGUGUGUUAGGCUCAACGGGUUUCAUUAAGGGUUAAUUAUGUAGGUAGGCUUUUUAUGGGGUAAGUGGGUUAAAACCUAAGUGCCUUUUUAAUCUCAAUAUAUCAAAUCAAAUGUGUGGUUUCGACAUGUAUAAUCGACGCAAGUUCUAGAAUAACAAAUCAAAAUUGACAUGCUUAUAACCAAUAAUAAAAUGAGCAAGAAAAAUGUAUACUCUAAACGCUCAAAAUCUCACAAAAAAUUAUGGUUUUUGAUGCCAAUCUUGCAAAUUUAAAAAUUCAAGAUAAUACCUCAAUUCAGAGAAACAACCUAAAAUUUUUAAUUCUGAAAAUAAACUUAUCAUGCUUGAUUCUUUCAUGUCUUAAAGUUUAAAACAACCAAUGCACAAACAUCUAUGAAUUUAAUCUAAAACACAUUAAUAAAAUCACAAAUUGAUAAAAAUUGAUUCUAAUAGAAGUAUGAGAAAAUUACAUAAACACAAGACAUAAUUCAGGGAUUUUCUAAUAAUUUUAUUUACCUCUCCACACUUAAGAUGUACAUUGUCCUCAAUGUACAAACACAGAUAAUCACUGUAUAGAAAAUAUCAUAAGAGAGGGAGAAAACUGAAACUGCCAUUAAUAUUGGAUGAAAUUGCCAAAAUGGUGAAAAGCGGAAUUGUAGACAAAUCUAGAUGUAGUGUAUGAUUCCGAGCAAACUAAUAAGAAAAUAAACACAAAAUAGUGAAGAUUAAGGGGUUAUAACUUGAUUAGAAACAACCAUAAAAAUAUAUUUAAAAAAUAAUAAUUAAAAUAAGUUUAAGAAAAUAAAUAAAAAAUAAAGCAACUAAAACAAAAUUAAAAUGAAAAAUGAAAAAAAUAAAAUGAAAUAAUAAUAAUAAUAAUAAUAAUAAUAAUAAUAAUAAUAAUAAUAAACUCAAUGAUACCAAUAAACUUAAAGGUAAUUGUAAUAAUAAUAAUAAACUAAAAAUAAUAAAAAUAGAAAAAAAAUUAAAAUAAAUUUAAAAUCUAAGUAUAAGAAUAAUAAAUAAAUAAAAUAAAAAAUAGGAAAAUAAAAAUAAAUAAUAUAACAAAUAACAAUAAAUAAUUAAAUUAAAUUAAAUUAAAAUAAAAGGGGUAGCUUGGUUGGGGAAGAAGAAAAAGACAAAUUAAGAAAGGAAUUCUAGGGUUUGGGCCACAAGGCCGUGUGACACGGCCGUGUGGAGUAUUUUCAGCCCGUGUGCAAUUAAAAAUUAACCCAGUUUUCGCAUGGCCAUGGACAUGCCUGUGUGUCCAGCUCGUAUGGUACACACAGCCAUGUGCCAGGCCAUGUGUGUUUUCCUUCGCUUCUCCCACGUCCAUGUGAGAUCCCACACGCCCGUGUGGCUUGGCCGUGUCUCUCACACAGCCGUAUCUCCUACCCAUGUAACUCUCUGACUUUGAAAAAAAUUAGCUCCAAGUUUCACACAGCCUAGGAAAUGCUCUUGUGUCCAGGCUGUGUGUGUCAUUUUAAGCCGUCUAAUCGUCAAAUUUUUGAAAAUUUAAGUCCCAGUAUCCAAACGGCCAAGAACACGACCAUGUGUCUAGGCUGUGUGGGUCACACGGUCAUGUUGCCAGGCCAUGUAACUCACUGUUGAACCCUUUAUAGUGCAUACGGCCUGGGACACGCCCGUGUGUUUAGGUUGUGUAGGUCAAAAACUUUUUUUUUAUUUUUUAAAAAUUUUGAAAAUUAAUUAGUUUUAAAAAUAACAUGAAAUAAAAUUAAAAGAAUUAGCAGUGUUAACACUCGGGUUGCCUCUCGGGAAGCGCUUAUUUAAAGUCUAAGCUUGACUUACCUCGCAUUCGCACUGCCACAGUGGUUUGUGGAGUCGAAACUCCUCUUUCUCAUUAUCAAUUCUAUUACCAACAUAAGGUUUAAGUUGAGUACUAUUUACCUUAAAUGUGCCAAAUUUAGAAUGAGUUACCUCGAUUGUACCGUAUGGGAAGACAUUCAGUAGCAUAAAAGGAUUUGAUCCUUAUGCAUUAAGCUCCAAACUGGCAAUUCGAGGAUUCGUUUUAUCUAGAAGUACCUUGUCUCCAAAGAAAUUUGAUCCACAUGGUUACUCAUAUUAACAGAACUUGUAAAAUCAUCUCGAUCAUUAGAUGUCUUAACAGAAUCAUUGGAGAGUAAUCGUUUCAUUACUUACAUGAAGUACUAAUUCACUUGUACCAACAUUAAUAAUAGUUCUAGCAGUUGCUAAAAAGGGUCUUUCUAAAAUUAAAGGUACUUCAUUACCCUCAUCCAUGUCUAAAACAACAAAAUCAACUGGGAAUAUGAAUUUAUCAAUUUUUACAAGAACAUCUUCAAUAAUGCCCCUAAGAAAUCUAAUGGUUCUAUCUGCUAAUUGAAUACUCAUCCUAGUUUGUUUGGGUUUCCCAAGACCUAAUUGUUCAAACAUUUUAUAGGGUAUGGCAUUAAUACUUGCCCCUAAAUCAGCCAAAGCAUUAUUAAUAUUCAAACUACUAAUUAAACAAAGAAUAGUAAAUAUCACUGGAUCUUUCAAUUUUUUAGGUAGUUUAUUUUGCAAAAUGGUUGAGCAAACUGCAUUUAGCUCCACAUGCUACGAAUCAUCUAACUUCCUCUUAUUCGCCAAAAGCUCCUUUAAAAAUUUAACAGAAUUGUGUAUCUACGAAAGAGCUUCAAUAAACGAUAAGUUAAUAUGUAAUCUUUUUAGAAGUUUAAGAAAUUUAACAAAUUGUUCGUUCGUGUGGUCUUUCUUCAUCGCGUUAGGAUAUGGCACUCAAGGUUUAUAUUCCUUACUGACCAGUUUUUGUUUGUUCUGGCUUACCUCGACCUUACUAUUACUUACCACACUUUCUUACUUUGGUUCUAGUUCAGAUUUAAUGAACCCUUCUUCUUCUCUCACAGUAAUUGCAUGAACCUGCUCCCUCGGGUUAGUUUCGAUAUUGCUAGGCAAACUACCUUGUGAUCAUUCUGAAAUUAACCUAGCAAGCUGGCUAUUUGAUUCUUGAGCCCUUGAAUUGACGCUUGUUGAUUUUUAAGUGCUGCUUCAAUGUUUUGAAAGUGGGUUUCUGAAACUGAGAUAAACUUCGUCAACAUCUCCUCAAGGUUCAACUUCUUAUCUUGCUGGUAAGGUUGUUGUUGGAAGCCUGGAGGGGGUUGCGCUCUUUGGUUUCCUUGACCACCUUAAGAGAAAUUGGGAUGGUUCCUCCAACCUACAUUAUAAAUGUUAUUGUAAGGAUUAUUUUGAGGCCUAGAAUUAUUAACCAUACAGUUGAUUUGUUCAUUCUCUGUGCUAGGACCGUAGGGUAAAUAUUCUAGAUUGUUCAUUCCUCCUCCAUUCAUAUCGCACUACAUCACGUGAUGUACCUACGUAGAAACACAUAAACCAUCAAUUUUUUUAUUUAAAAGUUCUAACUAAUUUGAUAACAUGGUAACCGUAUCUAAGUUAAAAACACUGACUGUUUACAUUGGUUUUGCCCUCAUGACUUGCCAUUGAUAAUUAUUCAGUGCCAUCUCCUCUAUAAAAUCAUAAGCCGCUUCAGGUGUUUUAUUGUUCAGAAUACCACCGGUUGUUGUAGCGAUCAACUGUCCAGUUGAGAGAUUCAAACCGUUGUAGAAGGUUUGAACUUGAAGCCAUAGAGAUAACCCAUAGUGAGGGCACCGUCUCAAUAAAUCCUUAUACCUCUCGCAAGCAUCAUAUAAUGUCUCUAAGUCAAUAUGAACGAAUGAAGAAAUAUCAUUCCUUAACUUGGCUAUCUUAAUCGGUGGGAAGUACUUCAAUAAGAAUUUCUCAAUCAUUUGUUCCCAAGUAGUGAUAGAACCUCGUGGUAAGGAAUUCAACCACUGUUUAGCUUUGUUCCUCAAUGAGAAAGGGAACAAUCGUUGGUGAAUCACGUCAUCAGAAACACCAUUAAUCUUGAAAGUGUCACAGACUUCUAGAAAAUUAGCCAAAUGAGUAUUUGGAUCUUCAUCUUGCAAACCAUCAAACUAAACAAAUUGUUGUACCAUCUAAAUAGUGUUCGGCUUUAGUUUGAAAUUGUUCACAGCAAUGGUGGGUCUCACAAUACUCUAUUCAGCCCUAGUUAGAGUGGGCUUGGCAUAAUCAUAUAUAGUACGAGGAGCAGGAUCUGGAUUUGCAGCAACUGCAGGAGGUAGCUAAUUAUUCUGAUUAUCACCCAUCUCCUCAAUAAUAAUAUCGUCCUCUUGCUCGUCUACUAUACUCUGUCGACUCUGCCUUGCUUCUCUAUAAUUUCUGCAAGCUGUACUUUCAAUCUCAUUGUCAAAUAAUACUAGCCCCGACAGGUUUCUUCUAUUCACAAACUAAAGGAACCUGCCAGAAGCAAAUAAAAGAAAAAUUAGAAAAACAAAAAAAUAAAAUAAAAAUAAAUGGCUAAAUUAAUAAAAAUCAAGUGUUCCUAAUAUUUUAGUCCCCAGCAAUGGCGCCAAAAACUUGAUGGUCACUAAACUAACAAUAAAUAUGACUAAGGCAAGCGCACCUAUCGAACAAUAGUAUAGUUAUGGUGAGUAGGGAAUAUAGUAUCCACGAGGACUAACAAUACUAGUAAUUACCAUUUUUCUAUUAUUUAGCUGACAAAUUGGAAUGAUUGUUUUAAAUCUAAAAUUACUAAACUAAUCUAACUAAGAACACAACAGAGAAUGACAUAAGAAAAUAAUCGAAGAUAACCAAUGAGAUGGACAAUACUCAGGAAAGAAUCCACCUAGAGUUCACCUAUUAUUAUGAAUCUGAAAUUAACAAUUUAUUCACUUGUGUCUUGAUCCAUAGAAAUCCCUAUGUUAUGUUAAUAUCUCUUUCGAGGUAAGAGCAACUGACUCUAGGUUGAUUAAUUGAAAUAUCUUCCUAAUUAAAACCCCUAUUGUCACAUUAACUCAAUCUAUGGAUUCCUCUAUUAGAUUUGACUCUAAUUCGGUAGAUUUAUGUCGUCCUAUUUCUAGGAUUGCAUGCAACUCCACUCAAUUAUGCUAGAUCUACUCUUAAAUAGGGACUUUUUCUCUACUGAAAUAAGCAUAUUAAACAUCAAUUAAUAUCUUGAAAAUAUUAAAACACGAAAUAAGCAUACAUAAUUGACAAUAAGAAUCAAGUAUUUAUCAUGUAAACCAUAAAUCAAAUAAUAAGAUUCAUCAUAGGUUUCAUCUUCCCUAGGUAUCUAGGGAAUUUAGUUCAUAAUCCUAAAUAGAAACAUCUCAAAGUUAGGAUAACAACAAGACAUAAAGAAACUCAAUAAAAAUUCAAAGGAAAUUAAAUGGAGAUCUUCAAUCUUGAAGGAGAUCCGCUUCUGAGUUGAUUCUGAUGGCGUUCUUCGAGUCUUUGUUCGAUCUUCUCUGCAUGUCCCCUUAGAUCUUCUUCUAAUUGGUAUCUAUAGACUUUAGAAUGCUCGAAAAGCCUAAAAAUUGGGUUGUUUCGCAUAUUUGGAAAGUAGGGUCUGAUAUCGACACGGGCUGGUACAUGGGCCACACGGGCGUGUAGCCAGCUCGUGUGGCUUACACGGGCAUGUGGCUAGCCCAUGUGGAUCCUAGAAACAACUCUAUUUGUAUGAUUUUGGCUCGUUUUUCGCUCAUUUCGCUCCCAAAUGCUCUCCUAAGUAUAGAAACAUGAAUUUAAAAGAUUAGGAGCAUUAAAUUCACUAAUUUACAUAAUUAAUCAUCCAAAAAUGCAUUAAGAAUGGGAUUAAAAUAUGUUACUUUUAUAGCUCAUCAGGCAUGUAACUCACUAAUUCACAAUUUAGAGAUGCACCAGGGACACGGGCGUGUGCCCAGGUUGUGUAACUCACUGAUUCCCAAAUUAGAGACAUACAAUCUAGGGACACGGGUGUGUUCCUAGGCCGUGUGACUCACUGAGUACGCAAAAAGGACCACACAGCCAGAGGACAUGGGUGUGUUCCAGGCCGUAUGAAACACACGGGUGUGUUCCAAGCCAUGUGGAUCCGUGCAAGCCUUGUAUAGUGUUCGUAUGAUUUGAUUUGAAUCGUAUAAGUUGCUAUCUAAUGAUCCAAGACUUAAUAGUUGAGUACCUAAAUGUAUAUUGAAUGCUAUAAUUGUAAUGGUAUUAACCUGUACUAUCUAAAUAUAAAUUGCAUCUAAGCACCAUAUGUACGUUCUUGAUGUCUGACGUCUAUAAUUUGCAUCUACAUGGUAUAGGAAAUGUGUAAAGGAGGAAGUGAUCUAUUCUGGUUCAAUGGCCAAGCUAAAGACUAUACCUGAAUCUAACAUUUUAUCACAACUUGACCUAGCAGCUAGUCUGCAAUCAUAUCAAACGUGUCUACCGAAACUACGUGGUGUGUAGGGCUGGAUGGGUAUUAAAACCCUUUAAUGGUGUGUUGGGUUGGUUGAAGAUGGUGUGUAGCAGAUGGGGUAGGAAAACUGCAUUUGUAUCUAUUAUGUAUUGUUCUGAUCCUGAAUUGUUCUGUCUUCAUCUGAUUUGUUAAUACUGUAUUGAAUAUCCCUUGGUUCGGAAUUUGAAAACGGGAUUGGGAAAUCAUUGUUAUAUUGAUGACUCUAUUUGACUUUAUGUUUGUUUUGUACAUGGAGUUAUCAACUGAUCCUUGUUUGUUGUCUGAAUUUUAGGUAACUCACAGUCUUGAUCAAGUUCGCGUAAUGGAAGCUCGGUCAUUAUGCUAUAUCACCCUUUUUAUAUUAUCAGUAAUUUCGAUAUUUUCUUCGUAUUAUGACAUUCUAAGAUUUUUGAAUUAUCGACUGGGUUUUAAUGAAUGCUUAUAAUCUAUUAGACGGUCUUUAGCUAUGUUCAUAAAAGUUGGUAUUCCUAAUAACAUUAAUGUAACCCUUCAGACUUGAUCUUAACGUCUAGGCCGAGUUUGAGGCGUUACAUGUAUAAUAUUUUUUAUUUGAAUUAUUAGAUAUAAUUAAAAUAUAUUAAAUUAUUAUAAAUAAUAUUUAUAUUUCAUAAAUUGUUUUUGUUAAUGUUAUACAAUUAUAUAUAUAUUAAAUUUUUUUCAAUUUUGUAUUAAGGUAUGCACUUUUAUUUGUUACCCAUUAUAAUAUAUAAUUUUAGGGAGGAUAAAAUUUUAAUUUACAACACUAAAACAUUUAUUAUCACCAUUCAUGUUGGAUUUUUCUAUUUCAGAGUACGAUUCUCAAAUGUUUUAAAUCUUUGCUUGGCUCUCCUUGAGCUUUCAAUUCUCGAGUUUUUUUUAUUUCCUAACUUGGCCUAUAAAUGGGAUUGGAUCGAAUUUUGCAUCCAUUGGAAAUUAAUUGUAGGUUCUAUAAAUGGAGCAAACUGCAACGAAUUAUAGCAGAUGUGGUUGAUGGAGCUUCUUUCAAGGUUAGUAACUUUCUUUCUUUGCUUUUGCCACUAAUGAUUCAUUUAUUUGAUGCAUUUUCUUCAGAUUGUGCACUACUAUGCUUAACUUAUACAUUUUUUGUUUUUACUUCUCUCGAUCAGCCUGGGUUCAUCCAUAUCAUUUAGUUUAAGUUCAACAUCCACAAGGAGCUGCUAAUGCAUACUUAAAACUCAAGGAGCUUUGUUAUCAGAAAAUUUGAUAAUUUUUUAUGGCAAGAGAAGAGACUAAGCUAGUUUGUUUAUUUGCAGGGAAAAUCUGAAGAAGAAUAUGAACAAUUAGAGGGAUUCCAACAGGAGUUGAAAUUGAAGGAUCGAAGUUGUUGACAGAGCAGCAAUGGCAAUAAGGGUUUGUUGGAUUCUGUUAAUAUCCCUUGCUUUCUUUAAUUGUUCUCACUCAAUAAAGGCUUCCUGUUACUACGAUAAGUUGAUCACCUCUUCUUAUUUCGUCUUCAGAUAUCAGAAGAAGAGGAAGGUCAACUAAAGAAGGGUUAAAAGAGCAAAAGGAGAUGUGGAUAAUUAGGGUUACCUUUCUUUUUUAUUAAUAAAUCCAUCGACUUAGCGAAAGAAAGAAAAAACAUUGAUUGAAACAAGUACGAAUUCUUGGGCAACCACAAGACUCCACCUGUGUGACAAACAGAGAAGCUAAAUGCUAUCAAUCAAGAGAAAUUGUUUCGGAGUGUUGGAAACUAGAAAGAUGAAUUUAAUGGAAAAGUUACACUGUCGGUUGUAAUUGUCCUAGACAUUGAACUACUAGGAUUGGUCUCCCAUAAAUGGAUCAUGUCAUCUAUUUCAGAUUCCUCAUCACCACGAUCUUCAAUAACAUUUCCACCUGAAGCUUUAAUCAACUCCAGCUCCAUUGCUACUUGUUUCAUGGUGGGUCUUUUCUUUCCGUUAAAAUGCAAGCAUCUUUUUGCUAGCAAAGCCACAACUAUAAUCUCCUUUUCUGAACCAUCCUUUACUACCAUUGGAUCGAGAAUGUUAAAUAAGGAAUUCUCCUGCAUUGAAUGCAAAAAAUAUGAUACCAAGCUUCUCACUGACUCUGAUUGUUGUACGGAUAUGGGCUUUUGUCCUGUUAAAAGCUCAGUAAGAACAACUCCAAAACUAUAAACAUCACUCUUCUCUGUAAAUUGACUUGACCGAAAAUAUUCCGGAUCCAUGUAUCCAAAAGUUCCUUGCACUCGAGUGGUUAGAUGUGUUUGUUCGAGUGCAACUGAUCUUGAAGUUCCAAAAUCUGAUACUUUUGCCCUAUAUUUCUCAUCCAAAAGUAUGUUACUAGAUUUGAUGUCUCGAUGAUAAAUAGGAGCAGAAGCAGCUGAAUGCAAAUAGAACAAGGCAUUGGCAAUUUCAAUCGCAAUUCCUAAACGCAUUUCCCAUGUCAAUGGUAACCCUUCAUUUUGAUUAUGAAUGAGAUCGUAUAAUGUACCAUUCGGGAUGAACUCAUACACCAAUAGAGGAACUUCAGCCUCUAAACAACGCCCUAAAAGCUUAACCACGUUCCUGUGAUUAAUUUGAGAUAAAAUUAUCACCUCGUUAAUGAACUGUUCAACCUUCUUUUCAUCAAAUUUCUUUCCUUCCACCAUUUUGGACUUCUUAAUAGCCACAAUGCUUCCAUCUAUUAGCAUUCCUUUAUAAACAGUCCCUUGACCUCCUUGACCAAGGAUUCGAUUCUUAUUAUAAUGAUCCGUCGCCUUUUCCAUCUCUUUUGAAGUAAAUAACGUAAGUUUUUCAACAUUUCCUUCAUUGCUAGGCAAAUGUUGUUGCAGUAGCUUUUUGAAGUAUUUCUUCUUCAGAAUGAUGUUUUGUUUUCUUUUGAGGACUUUGUACAUACUCCAUGUUGCGAGUAUUAGAAAUAGUGUCCCAAUACUAGUGCUGCAACCUAUACAGAUAUAAGAAACAUAGUUAAAAGGUAAAUUUGAAAAUUAAAAUACAUGUUAGUAAACCAUGAAAAUGUUUCGAUAAAAUUUUUUCUUUUUUCAUAUUUGAUAGCCCUUCAUUUUAAAUGAACAAUGAGAGAACUUUUACAAAUUGAACAAUAAAUAACUAUUACUGCAUCAUGUAUUCAAAAGUAAAUAUAUCAUUGAUUAAAUUGACAUAAUUCUAUAACCAUAAUGAAUCUACUUUAAAAAACAAAAGGUAUAAAUUUAACACGUACCUACAAUAAUGCUUUCCAGGCUACUAUUACUAGUCUUUUGAGCCUUUGUUUUGCGCUCGCAACGAAAUCUUGUACUAUCGUAUUCAUAACUAGGAGGACAAGACUCCGACGAGCAAUAGUUGCUAGGGGUAUUGAAACAAAGCAUGCGGCAAUUCUGAUAAUACCCACAGUUCUCAUCUGUCAUUUUUGAAAUGAAUAAAAAAGGUUAUAGUCAUAUUAUUGGGUUAAAAUAUCUAAGAGGUCCUUAUACUAUAUGGAUCGGAUCAAAUUAGUCCUUCUAUUAUAAAAUGGAUCAAUUUAAUACUUAUACUAUUAAAAAGAAUCAAAUAAGUUUAAAUUAUUAAAGCAUUAACAUUUACAGUAUAAAAAAUGUCUUGAAUUUUUUCAAAAUCUAUUCUAUUUCAAACAAAAUGUUUCAUUUAUAGAACCAUAAAAACUUUAAAUAUAAUUAACUCUAUUAAACAGUAAGUGUUAAUUAUAUUUCAAUUUGGUCUUCUUUAAUUCUUUCUAAUAAUUCAGGGAUUAGAUUAAUUCAUUUACUAGUAGAGGGAUUAAUUUAAUAAAAUUCCUAUCACAGAAGGACUCUUAGAUACAUUCACCCAUAUAAUCCAAUAGAUAUUAAUUAAUUAAUGCAUGCCAAAAUAGAAGUUAUUUUGGUAUCUAGUUUCAUUUUCGUUUUGUUCGUUCAAAUUAUUCUAGCAAUAUGCAUGGAGAACCUUUGAAAAUAAAAAUUAAAACAUAGAAAAUAAAAGUAAUUCAAUUGGUAUUACUUUUAUUAUAACAAUUAACACCACAUAAGUUAAAAUGUAAUUAAGUGUGUUUUCCAUCAAAUUUAAAAAUUAGAAAAAGUCUUGAAUAGAAGUAGGUAUUAUAUUAAAAUCGAAAAAAAAAAAUAAGUAUGGUAGUUUUGUUUAAGAGGGAUGGAUAAAUUAUAUAUAUAAAAAUUAAAUGUGUAAAAAUCCUUAUAUUUAAUUUUUUUUUUAAAGAAAUCCAAUAAUUGAAUUCCUACGAUUUAUUCGCCACAUCAAAAUUAAUAGCUAUAUACAUUUAGAGCACUAUGGAUGUUUAAGAAUUUUGGGAGGGAUGCAAAACUAAAGUUCUUUCACUCCGUUUUGUAUCUUUUUGUAUCAUUAAUAUUUUGAUAAUUUAACUGUUGCAUUUAAUAUUUUAUUUAUGUAAAUCAUGCAUGUCAAAUUUGACAUAAAUUAAAAAUUUUUAAUUUUUUUAUGAAACGUUGAAUAUAUAUAUGUUAAUAUAUUGAGCAUUGUAGAUCAAUAUGAUAGAGAUGUCAAAUUAGUUCGAAAAUUUACGUGUAUGAUAAAUACAAUUAUAUUAAUAAAUUCAACAAUUGGAUUGUUAAAAUAUUAAUAGUAUAAAGAGAUAUAAAAGGGUGUAAAAUAAAUUUAAUUUUACACCGGUAUAAAUGGAUUACUCCCCAUAUUUUUUAUACAAUUAUUUUUGUAUAUAUAUAUCCAAAAUUUACAUGCUUUAUUAAAUAUGUUUUUUUAAUAAGAUUUUGAAUGUCGAAUCUUCAAUUGAUUAGUAUAUUUUAGUCAUGAUAUACCUCAACCAAUAAUAACUAGAUUAUGGCACACUAACUAUGUGAGUGAAAAAAAAAUUAUGUAACAAUUUAUUUAUUAAAAAAUUGAUAUAAAAAUUAAGAGUUUGAUUGAAAUGGUAAAGUUAAGAUAUUAUCUAUCAUUAUGUCUUUGUUCAAAUUUCAUUAUACUUAUUUUUCUAGAUUUUACAUAAAAUAUAAGAUGAGAAAAAUACUCUCAUGAUAAUAUUUGUUAUUUUAUAAAAGUAUUGGAUUUUCAUAAUUUUUCAAUCGAGUCAAGACUCAGUUGAUGUGUGACACCAACUCAAUUAACCUUUUUAAAAAAUAAUGCUAAUUUAAGGUACACCUAUAAUGUGAGUGGAAAAAAUUAUGUAAUAAACAUACUUAUUAAAAGCUUUUAUAAGAAUUAAAUGAAUCAUUGGUUGAAAUUAUAAAUUUAAAAUUUAUUGUGUGAAAGGGUCAAAUCUCACCAUGUUAGAUUUAUUAUGGAUUUUAUAUAAAAAUGUAAAAAGAUGGGAAUACCCCUAAAAUACUAUAACUUAAUUUGUAGGCAUUUUAAUACUAAUUUUUCAAUUGAGGUAUAUUAUAAGUAAAGAUCAUAUAGAUAUAUUAAAAAAAGUUCCCUAAUAAAACAUUAAUUCGUACCUUUGCAUGACCUCAGUUCAGUAAUACCUAUGUUGCAUGCACAUAGAUGAAUAGAGCUCAACCUCGACCAACAAUAUUCACCAUCGAAUGUACAAGAAAUGUCCGAACUAUCAUUUAACUGGCACACUCCAGAUAUUGGUGUGCCCCAUUGCAGUCUUGUUGGGAUAUGCGUCCUAUUACUUAUAUCAAAAUCUUUGAACUCGGAGGUCAGAUCAUAGUCAGAAGAAAUCAUGGAAGCAAAUCCGCAUGAUCUUUUCUUCUUAUAAUCACUAGAAUCAACCCUACUACUCAUGUUUACGUAGAAUGAACUAAGACCUUGAGGAACAUUAACACGACAACCAACAAUAGAAGAAGCCUUGUUAUUAAUCCUACAACUUGGUUGCAAACAUCCGCUUAUAAAAUUAUCCAUUUCAUUACCGAAAACAGUAACCAAAUUACCGCAACCUGAAGACCAGAAGAUGUUGCCGGAAUCUGAAUAGUAAAAGCGGGUGCCAAUUAGGUUGAGACUCAUCCCAUUGUAAUGAUUUUUUCGACAAUUGAAGUAAGUUAUUGGAUGAUUGACCAUGACGGUGCCUUUGAAAAAAUCAAAGUCUAGUAUUUGCAAAUCCGUGCCAUUUAUGUUUAAGAAAGGCACUUUUUGCCCAUUGACAGUUUUGUUGCAAAUUACGUUAAACCAGUGAUUGGAAUUAUCUUGGUGCUUCAUGCCAAAAGGGUAGAAAAAAGAAACAUUCCCACAGGACUCUACCUUAUAGGUGUUGAAUUCGAUAGGUCCUAGCGCUGGUCUUCCGCAUCCUGCGGGCUUAGCAAAAAGGAAGUAUAUUGCAAAAUCUAUUAAAUGUAUGUUCAUCCAAAGUUUAUAGGAAAUAAAAGCAAUGCAUUAUUCAAAUAUAUACAUAUAAUAAUCCUAAAAGAAGGUACCUAUGAAAAGUGCUAUUCUUAACUAAAAGUUUUAAUUAAAUUUACGUAUUAUUUAUGACAUUAAGUUCAACAUAAAUUUUAUGGUUGAAUUUGAUAUCAUACAAUAUUUCUAAUUAAAAACACUUGCCUUUUAAAAAAAAUCCAAUUCCACUUAAAAGGAAAAUAUCUAUUGAAGGUUUUUUUUUCACACCCAUCCUCUCUUUACAUAAUACCCUGUAAAUUUCAUUCUAAAUAUUAAAUUCUUAAUUGACUAAUAAUUUCAAAAUUUUUUAAUGAACUAAUGAUUCAAUUUUCAAACCAAAUCAAACUUAGAUUUAAAAUAGAAUCAUUAUAACCAAAAUUAUGUAAACUAUGAAAUGAACCGAAAGAUAAUACAAAAAUAAUUAAAUAAAAAUAUGUAUAAAACCAACAUGAACCCAACGGUGUCCUUAAUCUCCCUGAUUAAGUGAAAAAAUUAGUAAUUUAUUUUAAUUUAAUCUCAUUGAAGUAUUAAUUCAAGUUUUUGAAAUACAAAACUUUUAGGUGUAAUUUUUUGAAAAACAAAAAUAUCAAUAUACAAUAUCAAUAUUAUUCUAAACACUGAUUUUAAACAAUUAACAAAAUCUAUGUUUUGACUGAAUUAAAAGAAGAAAAAUAAAAGCCAAGCAAUUGAAGUGACAGCGCGUGACUGACCUGCGUCUCCGCAAUAGGUGGAAUUCCAGUUGAGCACGGAGGGAGCAUGCGUGGUUCCAAUAUUGAUGCCAGUGGGUAAUGGGUAACCACUACGGAAAAAGUCCCUGCUAUAGAUGAAAGCAGAUGCGCAUCUGUUGCUGUCAGGAUACAUGGCUUUCAUGCUUACAGUAUAGGAAGUGAGAUUUGCAGUCAUUUCAGUAAAGCAGCCAGAUUUAGAAGCACCAUCGUCACACCUUGGUUGAACGCAGCCGCCAAGUGAAUCAGCUUCGUCACUUAAAAUAGCAGCCAAAUUUCCGCAACCUACUGACCCGAAAUUAUUCCUCUCACUUGAGAAGAAAAAGGGAGUGCCUGAGAGAUUCACACUCACACUAGCCUCGCUUGUAUGAUCACAAUUAAUGUAAGCAACUGGAUUACUGAUGAGAAUGGCAUCUGCAGAUGUGAAAUCAAGUACCUCCAGAUCGAUGCCAUUUACGUUUAUGAAUGGCUUUUGCCCAUCACGGGUUGCUUUGCAAGUCACUCUAAACCAAGGAAUAGUAUAGCAGCUGCUGUGGAUUCCAAAUGGGGAUGAAAUUGUAAUAUUUCCACAAACUUCUUGUCCACAGGCAGGUUCUUCAAAUUCUGCAGCUUGUAAAAUUGGGCAUAACAGGAACAGGAAGAGGAAGAGGAGUAGGAGGAUGAAGUAAAGCGCUAAGUGAAAACCCAUUUCCGUUGUUUGAGGGCAAUGAAUGAAGAUUUAGAUAGGGUUACUGAAGAAGUCAGGUUUUAAAGAAACAGAAGCAGAGUUAAGUAGCAUUUUCUUUUCUUUUUAAAAUUAGCAGCACUAAGAUCUGAAAAUAAAUUAUAAUUUUUUUUAGAUGUAAAUUUAAUAAUAUGAUAAAAAAAAUAUCUUUAUGUAUUUAAAAAUUUUCUUAAACUCGUAUAUAUUAAUUUUUUAUAUGAUGUAGGUUCAAAAGUAAAGAAAUAAUUUCCAACACUGCUAUCAAAUAAUUGUCCAUACAUUUUAAAGUAGGUAUACAAUUUCAUUUUAAGAUAUCCUAUACUUUAUAAUUCAAUAAACAAAUGAAACUCCGAAUAUUAAAUAAUAUACUGCACAGAUAUUACCAUCUAAAUGCACAUGAUUCAAGAAUAUUAAAUAUUUAAUAACAUACUGCACAUGUUACAAUGCCACCAUUAAAUAUUAAUCCGAUAGUACAAACAAAGGUACACAUACUUCAUAGCUCAUCAUAAUUUUUAAUGUUCGAGCCGUUUUUAUGGACUGUAGUUGGCCAUCACCAUUUGGUCCGCAACAUGUGAAUAUAUUAUCGAUAAAGUAUUGCAGAGGUUAUUAAAUUAUUUUUUCUUAGUAAUUUAAUUAUGAAAAGUUAUAAAAUAGUCAUUUCAUUAUUUGUAAUUAUUUUUGUAUAGUCAUUCAACUAUUUAAUUUAUUUUUUUAUCACCAACCGACUAACGUAAAAUUAGACACAUCAAAAAAUUUAAGAUAGUUGGGUGACCAAACAAAAAUAAAAUUGAAUAGUUGAGUGACCAUUUUGUAUAUUUUCAAAGUUGGGUGAAUAAAAAAAAUUCAUAGUUGGGUGACAACAAAUGUACUUUACUCAUAUAUUAUAUUAUAUUAUAUUAUAUUAUAUUAUACAUGUAAAAGAACCUUAUUUGCUAAGAGUCAAUUUUUUUGACCUCGGUCCCCUCUAUUAGGGGUGUAAAUGAGAUACUAAUACUUGCAAGAUUACUCGAGUUUGAAUCGAAAAAAAUUCGAACUCGAUUCAGUAAUUAUUGAGCUGAGCUUGUGAGUCCUAACAUGUUUUUCAUAUUUUUGUAUUAUUAAGUUACAUUAUUGCCCUUAAUUAUCGAGUUGUAUUCGAGUACAAAAAUUGAUAAAUGAACUUAAUCGAGUUCGAAUUCGAGUUCAAGUAGCUCAAUUAUAUCUCAAGUGAGCUCGAACUUAAUAACAGGUAUUCGAUUGAACUCAAACCGAGUAUCGAGUUCCGAAUUUUAAGUUGAGCUUAACAAUAUUCAAGUUUGACUCAAUUACACCCCUACCCUCUACAUGCUGAUCAAUAUAGCAAUUAUAUCCCCCAUAAAUUGUGCAAUGCACCUCAUUCGCUCUCGUGACAUCUUUUCUAGUUCAGUAUACAUUAGAAAUUUCCAAGAAAGAUUUGCAGAGGAGGACGAUAAAAUGAAAUCUGAAGUUUAUUGACAAUUUCCUCACAAUCAACCUAAAGUUUUCCAAUUCAAAAUCUCAUCACAUACAAUCUUUAUCAUAUGUAAGUUUUUUUUUUCUCGAUUUCAAUAUAUUUUGAAAAACCAGCAAGAAAAAUAAACAAUAUCAAAAUUGUUCCCACAAUAUUUGUGGACCUGCUGCUGUAAUUUCAUCUUAAAUGACUAACUUUAUGUGUGGGGUUUUAUGAUGGGAAACAACUCAGAAACCUUCUUUCAACUUAGUUUUUUUUAGUAAUAAUAAUGCACUUUAGCUAGCAAAACCUUUUCCAUGAUGAAUGCUUUUUCACUUGUUUGCCAACUUACUUUUUUAGCUUUUUGAGACAAACAAAACAUGAUUAAUUGUUUGUUAGACUCGUCUAGUAAAACACGGUUUACGUGAUAUCUCAUAUAUUAUAAUAAAGAAAUUCUGCAAUUUGAUCUGCGUUUGUGCUUUCUUUCUGUUAAAGUAUAACUAAGCUGAAAGUAGCUAAGCUGAAGGUUAAGCAGCUGAAAGUCAAGCAGUUAGUGUGUGCAGUUAGUUUGUUCUAAGUUGUUAGCAUUUCUGUAAACAGCAGUUGAGGAAUAAUGUAUUAUUAUAAAUAUGUAGUUUUAGCAGAGAAUCAAACUAAGUGACUCAUUCAUAAAAUUCAAAGAAUUUUAUUUCUUCAAAUUUAGAUUUGUUCCCGUCAGUUUAUUUUACCUUUCUUUUAGUAUUUCUUUUAUGGUAUCAAUCGCUUCGGUUUAGAUCCUGGAGUCUUGCUCGUGUUGUGCAUUCAUGGCCACCUCCACUGGAUCUGCUUCUGCUAACAACAAUAAUCCACUGCCAGUUCCUAUCAAUUCUGAAUCGGGUAAGAAUCGAUUAAUACAGUGUUUUCCUAGACAUGAUAUUGUGAAACUUGAUGAGGGAAAUUUUAUUCUCUGGCAACAACAUAUCAAGCUAAUCGUUGAAGGUUAUGAACUCACCGGUUAUCUCGAUGGCACUUUACCUACUUCUUCUCGGUUUGUGCUGAACUCGGAGGGUCAACUGGUGUUGAAUCUUGAGGCGUCCUUGUAUCAUCAACAGGACAGGCUUCUUGCAUCGUGGUUGUUGUCCACCACCGGUGCUUCUCUCAUUUCUUGCUUCACGAAUGCCAAAACAGCUUGCGAUGUGUGGACUACUGCAAACUGAUUGUUUGCAGCCAUAACUGGAGCAAAUUUGUCUAGCCUGAAAAACGAGUUACACUUGAUCAAGAAAGGUACGUUGACAGUUAGAGAAUUCUUUUCGAAAAUCCAAAAUACCUGUGAAUUGAUUGUAGCCUCAGGUUACCAGAUCCAGACUCCGAGAAAGUUAAGAUCAUUCUUGCAGGGUUGUCAUCGAAAUAUGAUGCGGUUAUCACUUUGGCAUGUUUUUCUUCUGAGCCUUUGCUGAUGCCGAAACUCUCAAAUAUUUUACUUGAGUUUGGGAGUCGCCAACAACGGUUGGUGUUGGAGUCCUCGUACCAGGAGCAUCUAACCGAGAAGGAUGCUUUCCAUAUCUGACAUCAUCCGAGCCUGUACGUGGUAGUCGUCUUCUAACUGGUGGCCACAGAAGAGGCUUCAAAGGUUUUGUCCAGUGCCAAAUUUGUGGCCGUUUUAGGCACUUGGCAUAGAGGUGUUACUACCGCUUUAAUCGACAGUAUGAUGGACCUCCAGCACCAAUGGCUUGAUCCUCUUAAGAGUAGGCUGCAACAAAGAGACAUGGAUUGCGCUCUAUCGAUGACUAUGGCUCUGUGCGCGAUGACGCGACACGUGAUGGUUUCUUUUCCCACUCGUGGCAUGUUAGAUAGUAUGGUGGGCCUCUGCCGGCACCGAUUUCAUCAUAGGUUUCAUCAUACAGAGGAUGGGGUGUUGACGAUAGGUGGUAUACGGCUAAUGAUUCUAGCAAUAUGAGGGUUUACCCUAGUUCAAAUGGUUAUGAGGAUUUUGGACCAAAUGGGGCUCAUAUGGGUGUUGGUUCGAUUGGUAAUGUUGGGUCUCAUAGAGGUGGUUUGGGUACUCCUAGGUAUUUUGGCACUAAUGGUUGUUCAAGUGGGCCGAAUGCUCAACAAGGAGCCCAUGACUUUGGUGUUAGCCCAAGUGCCAAGCUUGUUAGCAAUAGUAGGCCGUCGUUUGGGCCAUAUCAUGGGCCACGUGUUCCAUGUCUCACAAAACCUCAAUCCCCGUAUUUGUUAUGAGCUGAAUGAAAUUUUAAACACUCCAACAUGUGUUGGGCAUCCUCGGGUUCCUGAUGUACCCAGGUCGAACUUUUCAAGUGGAACUGGGUCGAAUGCUAAUACGUCCCAAUAUGGGUCUGGUUCUGAUAGUAUGACUUCGUAUGUUCCUCUGCCUAUGGGUAAUAUGUCAUAGUAUCCUGACUCGAGGGCUACGCAUCAUGUCUAUAAAGAUGGUUCCACUCUGACUGGGUCUACACACAUUCAGGUACUACUCCUAUUUUAAUGGGUGAUGAGACUUGUGUCCCUAUUAAGAGCAUUGGGUUUUCUACUUUGGCAACGAAAAAUAGGUUACUUCAUCUCUCUCUCUCUAAUUUCUCUCAACUCCUUCUUCUUCCUCUUGCUAUCCUAUCUUCGUCUGGCCUAAAGAUCCUCUGGUGAUAAAACUGUGUAUUUCAACCCUUCAUUGAUCAAUUUGUUGUGGUAUUCAUUGAUGACAUCUUAGUCUAUUCCAAAACCAAACCUGAACAUGAUGAACACCUUAGAAAAGUCCUAUAAAUCCUCUAUGAAAAGAAACUCUAUGCCAAGUUGAGUAAAUGUGAAUUCUGGCUUACAUAAGUUAUGUUUUUGGAACAUGUGGUAUCCGUAGAUGGCAUCUGAGUAGAUCCUAAGAAAGUGGAAGCAAUUCUCAACCCAAAAAUGUUUCCAAAAUCUGCAGUUUUUUGGCUUAGCAGAGUAUUAUUGUAGAUUUGUUGAAGGAUUCUCCUUAAUAGCAGCUCCUCUCACUAAGUUACUUGGAACCAAUGUUUCUAUUAACUGGACAGAAUAGCAACAAACCAGUUUCAAAAAGCUUAAAAUUGUUCUAACUGAAGCACCUGUGUUAAUUCAACUUGAAUCUGGGAAAAUUUUUGUGGUAUCCAGUAAUACUUCCUAUUGGCCUUAGUUGUGUGUUAAUCCAAGAUGGUAAAGUGGUAGCCUAUGCGUCAAGACAGUGGAAAACUCAUGAAAGCAAUUAUCCAACUUAUGAUCUAGAAUUGGCUACAAUAACCUUUGCCCUAAAAAUCUAGAGACAUUACUUGUAUGGGGAGAAAUGUUACAUCUAUACUGAUCAUAAAAACCUUAAAUACCUUAUUACCCCCCGAAAAAAAUUGAACCUUAGACAAAAAAAUGGUUAGAAUUGUUGGAAGAUUAUAAUUGUGUGAUUGAUUAUCAUUUAGGAAAGCUAAUGUUGUGGCAGAUGCCCUAAGCCGAUAGUCGAUGACUAAAUUAAGAGCAAUGUUUGCAAGGUUAAGUUUGCUUGAUAAUGGAAGCUUAUUAGCUGAAUUGCAAGUGAAACCUACUCUUACUGAUGAGAUCAAAGCUAAACAACCUUUAGACAUAACCUUGUUACCCCACAUAAAGUAGAUAGAAGAGGGUAAAAUCAAAGAUUACAUGUUGAAUGAUAAUGAAGUAUUGUGUUUUUGAGGAAGGUUUUAUGUGUCGAAUGAUGAAGAAUUAAGAUAAACCAUACUUCGGGAAAUGUAUGCUAGCCCUUAUGACAUCCAUAUCGGACGAACAAGGAUCUAUCAAGACAUGAAGGAGUUAUGUUGGUGGCUAGGUAUGAAAUGAGAUAUAAUAGAUUUUGCGGCUAAGUGUUUGACUUGCCAGCAAGUGAAAGCAUCAGUUUCCUUUAGGGUUAUUACAAGCUAUUAAAAUUCUACAAUGGAAGUGGGAGAGCAUAACGAUUGACUUUGAUAGUGGGUUACCCUUAACACCCACUAAGAAAGAUUUAAUUUGGGUGAUAAUGGAUCGGUUAACUAAGUUAGCUCACUUCUUACCAGUUCACAAAUAUUAUUCCUACAAAAGUUGGCAAAGUUGUACAUCUUUGAGAUAGUAAGAUUGUAUGAACACCUUUGUCUAUUAUUUCAGAUCGAGAUCCUCGUUUACAUCUUGAUUCUAAAAGAAGCUACAAGAAUUGUUGGGAACUCGCUUAGAUUUUAGCACUGCUUUUCAUUCGUAGUCUGACGAUAAAUCCGAGUGAGUAAUCCAAAUUCUAGAAGAUAUGUUGAAAGGAUGUAUUAUUGGUUUUUGAGGCGAUUGGGAAGAUCAUUUACCUUUAGCCGAAUUUUCUUACAAUAAUAGUUUUCAAGCAAGCAUCCAAAUGGCUCCUUAUGAAGCUUUCUAUGAAUGAAAGUGUCAAACUCCUUUAUGUUGGACAGAAUUGGGAGAAAGAAAAAUUCUAGGUCCUGAAUUAGUUCAAGAGUUCGAAGGAAGAAUAAAGUUGAUACGUGAGAAAUUGAAAGUAGUUUUGAUAGACAAAAAUCUUAUGUAGAUCUUAAAAGAAAAUUUAUCGAAUAUAAUUUAGGAGAUCAAGUCUUUCUAAAAGUAUCUCCAUAGAGAAAGGUGGUAAGGUUUGGUUGAAAAGGGAAACUCAGUCCUUGCUUCGUAGGAGCGCACUGAAUCCUUAAACGAAUUGUUUCUAUGGCUUAUCAACUUGAGUUGCCACUCGAAUUGGAUCAUAUCCAAGAUGUCUUUCAUGUAUCCAUGCUAAGACAUUACCAUUUUGAUCCAUUGCAUAUUAUGCCUAUCGAAGAAAUUAAGGUACGACCUAAUUUGUUCUUCAAAAAAGAAAUCAUUCGAAUUCUUGAAAGAGAUGUGAAAGUUCUAAGAAGGAAGCAAAUCCCUUUAGUAAAGGUAUUGUGGCAAAACAAUGGAGUUGAGGAAGCUACAUGGGAAACGGAGGACUCAUUCCGUCAACAAUAUCCUCACUUAUUGGUAACAUGUAAAAGUUUGAGGACAAAAUUUCUUUAAGGAGGGGAGAGUUGUAACAUCCCAAACAUUAUAGGGUUAGAUUUUUAGAAAUUACUAAGAAUUUAAUCCUAGCUUAGUGGUUAAGAGCUUGGUAGAGAGUAUAGAGAACCAAGGUUCAAGUCUCCUAAACUAUAUCUUUUUCCCACCAACCAGGUUCAAUCCACGUCAAGCACCCUUAUAUUUUUUUUAUUUCAACCCAAAUGGGCCAAUUACUCCUAGGUCUCUAAGUUUUGACCUAAUAACUCUAUCCUACCCUUUCCUAUUUUAACUAGAAAAUCCUAUGAGAAAUUUUACCAUAUCAAAGCCCUACCUUUAUAAAAUACCUUCCAAUACUCUAAAAAACUCUAUGUUACAAAUUUAUUCUCAAACCCUUGCUGCCGUAAUUUUCUUUUGAAGUUAUUGAAUCUUUACAAACAAGUCUCAGCUCUUUGUCUUUGCCAAAACCAUCGAAUCCUAUAUUGUUCACCUAUCGGAAAGUCAUCAAGAUCAGUAAGUAUCUCGUUCUCUGUUAAAUAAAAGCUUUCAAUUUUGGAUUACAAUGAGCCUUAAUGAAUCAUUCCAACCGUAAUUUAAUCUUUAGCAUUCUUUUUCAAAACCCUCUCAAAUCUUGAAAACCCUUCAUUGAUCAUCCCAUUUUGUCAAUUGAAAAGCCAUUGUAGGUGUUUGGGUCGAGCUUGAACGUGAGGUAGUCACUUAAGAUUACGAGAAAGUAAGAUGGGUGACAUUUUAUGAAAAAUUGAGUCAAAAUUUGAAACAGCCCAGGUACACACUGUCUACCACACGAGUGUGUAGCCGCCUAUGUGGGUCACACGGUCCCUCACAUGGACAUGUUCCUAGUUUUCCCUUGCAUCCGUGUUUUUCACACGACCUAAAACUUCGUACACAGCCUUGUCACAUGGCUGUGUGGCUUCUGCACCUUCACCCCUACGUAUCACACAAGGCCUGGGGCUUCAAACAUGACCGUGUGGCCCUUGAAACUUAAAAAUUAUAGUUUUACCUUAUCCUUAAUUAUAUUAUAUAAUUCAGUCCCAGAUUAGGGUUUUAAUGGCAUCUAGAGAACUAUAUUUUACAAUUAGGUCCUAGAUUAGGAUUAGAAUGAAUAAAUGCAUGAUUGAACAAAUUUAUGAUUUAAUUACUUAUGAAUGAUGGCAUAAAUCUGUGAAUGAUUGUAUGGUUACUAAUGUGAUAUAAUGUCUUAUGAAUGAUUGUUUAAAUCCGUGAAUGAUUAUAUAUAUUUACUAAUGUUAUUCAUGCCGAAUAAUGUUUCACAUGUUUUAGUGAAUGAUUUAUUAAUUGCCCCAAUUUUUGCAAUGAGAUAGAAUGUUGAAUGAAUUAUUAAAUGAACAAACUAAAAAGAUCGAAUUACAUUGCAUAUGCAUGGGGGGAGGAUAUGAAAGGUGGAAGAACGACAGUUCAUAUUAACUGCAAAAACGAAUUCACAAGCAUAGCAAAUUCCAACUACGACGGUCUUACUGUGAAUAGACCUGCUCAUGGGCCGGGUGCUCAUGGGCCAGGCCACCCAGCCCAAAGGCUCGCCCGAAAAGUGGGAUGGUUUAGGUAAAAAUAUAGGCCCGAAAAUUGGGCUUAGGCAAAAAAAAAGGCUCGUUUAGAAAAUAGAUCUGGCCUCGAGUAAGGCUUUUAUAGCAAGGGCCCGACCUAAAUAUGCAAACAAAAAAAUUGUAGUUUUUUUUUUUGCUAUUUUUAUUAUUUUAUUAUUGUUUUUCACUAUUUUGCUACCAUUUAACUAUCAUGUUGCUACUAUUUUUUUUUUUGCUAUUGUAUAACUCUUGUUUUAUUGUUAAUUUUGUUUCUAUUUUAGAGGCAUUUGCUUGUGAAGUUACACCUAUCUUAGUGUUAUUUAAGUAUACAUAUUUUUAAAAUUUAUUUUAAUUUGUUGAGAAACACUUUUUAAUGUUUUUAGUAUUUUUGAUGUAUUGUAUUUUUUAAAAAAUUAAUAUGGGUCGGGCUGGGCUUGGGUUUUAACAUUUUUAUGGGUUGGGCAAAAUUUUAGGCCAAUUAUUCAGGCCAAGCUGGGCCUGAGCCUAACAAACGGGCCUAAAAUUUUGGUUGGGCCCAACCCAUGAGCACCUCUAACUGUGAACCCAAAGAAUGGUAGAUUAAAACUGCAAUUGUAUUUUACUGGCCAUCCACGAUCCUUCUAACAGCUUUUAUCUACGAGCAGUUAUGGAUCCUCAGCCAAAUGGUAGCUUUUAUCUGCAUCCAUUGAAUGUAAUGAUACUAAGUCCACGAGAUGUAGUGCUUUUAAGUCCAUGAGAUGGAGCAAAAAGGUAGAGGGAGUUUUGGGGAACUCCCUAUUUGGAGCGCUAGUGGUCAGGGGUAGGAUUAACAAAUACUAAAUGAAACGUCAAAAUAAAUGUUGCAUGACAUAUUAUGCAUACUCAUUGAAUAGUACAUGAUGAAACGACUAAACUGAUAAAGGUACAUAUAUCUAAUGUGAAUGAUAUUAUGAAUUUAUAGUUGAUUUGUUCAAUUACCUUCGAAUGACUAUUAGUGUUUUGCUUUUCUAAAGUGACAAAACUGAAUUAUCGUAUUGAUUUGAUUAUUAUGUGAAUGUGAUUAUUAUGAUUAACAUGCAUGUUCGAAUAUUGAUUUGAUUUAUUGUAAAGGGACUCCCACUAAGCUUGCAUAGCUCACUCCUCUUAUUUUCCAUCUUCUUAGAUAACCCAACAGACUAGAACGCAGACUCAACAUGCGGAAGGUCUAAGCUUGUUUUCACCAAUGAUUUAUUAUUAUUUAUUAUUACGAUUAUCAUUUUAUUUUAUUAUAAACCAUGGUAUGAGACAAGUAUUUUUAAUUAUAUCAAUUAGGAUGCAUGCUAUUAAUAGGUAUUUAUGUAGAUGGAAUAAUUUAUAAUUAAUAUUUCUUAUUGAUAAUGAUUUUAGAAUGUUGUUUUAUUAAGUGUUUUUUAACAGGUUAAUUUAUUAUACAAACAUUAUUGAUUUAUUUUUCGUUGCUAAAUUAAUGUUAGUUUUUAAUUGAUUACUAUAAGAUAUUCACUAUUAUAAAACAAGUUUAGAAUUAAGAAUGAAUUAAAAAAAAGGACAAAUUCACCUCGGUGAUUAAUUUAGUCUCUUCAACUCGGGUCUACCAUCUAGGUCGAGUUGAGGUGAUUACAUAUAAUCUUCCAAGCAGGGUUCUUAAAACAUAACAGACCCUAUCACCAAGAAGUAAGCUUACAUAACAUUUCGAUGUACACAUAAUUUAGCAAAGAAUUCUGCAACAACAUUGAUUUCCCUUUUUUGAAACCAUAUCUCUUUAUUAACUUGAAAGUUGAAAGUCUUUGCUAUUGGAAAUGCAAGUAAUCUCAUGUUGGUUGAGAAAAAACUAUUAAGAUGAGUUAAAUAUAGUCUUGUCUUUUACUUUCAUUGAAUACUUGAAGUUAAAGGCUCAACACACAUGCACCGCUUCUCGGUUUGUGUUUGUGGUGGUUUUUUUUUUUCAAUAAAAUUUCUACUUUUUUAUAAAUUAUUUUCAAAAAUUGCAAAAAAUCUUCAGAUUGUUGCAGAAACGUCCGGUUAGUUUCUGGCCAUUGCACUUUUUAUGGAAAUUGACACUACAUAUUAGAAAAUAGUAUAAAUAGCAGACCUUUCUCCUCUUUAGUAUAACAAGAAAAACCACAAUCUCAUCAUUAUUUUUCUCAACUUGUCAAUUUUCUUUUCCAGUCAAAUUUUCCGACCAAAUCUUCAAUUUUUUUUUCAACAAAGGGGUUCAAGUUUCAAGAUUUGUUUUGUCGUCGAAGGAUCUGAUGAUCACUUCUUUGCAUCCGGUGUACCGGACUUGGAGGACGAUCAUGCCUUUACGGUAAGAGAUACAUUUUGAAAUAAAUUUGAAAAAAUAUCUUAUUAUAUUUGCUUCGGGUGAGUGAAGAAGAAGAUGAUAUGUUCAUUCCUUCCCCCACUAACUUAAUAAUAAUAAUAAUAUAAAAUUUUAUGUUUUCCUUUUCUUUUACUUAAUUUAAACCAUAUUUUAUAUUAAUCAAUUUAAUAAACCAUGCUACCGUUCACUAAUAAGUAUAAUGACAUGGUCUAAUUGCUGUUUUAGUCCUUUGGUUCAUUUCCUAAUUAAAAACAUGUAGUAAUUGAUUUUUACUAUUCUUAUAAUUUAGUCUCUAUACCUUAAUUAAUCAGAAAUUUGAUAAAAUUGUCUAUCCAGAAUUCAAUUCACUUACAAUAUAACUUCGUAAAUAUUUAAUAAAAAUAUUUACAAUCUCGGUUUAUGGAAACGGAAUCUCGAAACCGAAUUUUUUCGACAUCACUGGUUUUCGGAUUGUUACAUAUUUUGAAUUUAAAUUUAAAUUUAAUAUUGAUGUAUAUUCUAUAAAAAAAUUUAUGUAAAUGAUAUUCUGUUUUGAUAACAACGAUUUAACAGUAGAUGAAUUUAGAAAAAUUAUAAGUGGAAAAUAUUAAAUUAUAGAACAAUUAAAUUUCCAUUUUCUAUUCGUAUUUAAUUAUUUUUUAGAUUAUUAUAUUUAUAUUUGAAUCAUAUUUUAUCUUUAUGCAAUUAUUAGUUUAAUAUAUUUAUAUUUUAAACUUAAAUUUUAAAGUCUCUUAAAUAAAUAAUUAUUUAUAUUUUGAAUUCAACUUUAAAAAUGUCAUAAAAUUAAUUUCUUUACUAAAAUUUGUAUAUAAAGUAUUAAAUUAAUUUAUUAUAUUAAAAUGUAAGGAGAAUCACAUGUGUAGCACGUAACGCUAAAACUAGUUUAACAAAUAACACCCUUGAAAUAAAAUUGAAAGUGAUAAAUGAGAAAAGGUAAUUAAUUCAAGAUUCAGUCGUGGAAAGUAAAUUCAUGAGAUAGCAAUUGGUGAUUGUGUAUAGGAAAAUUCUCGAGACAUUAAUUAUAAUGUUGGACAAGACUUGAGUUUGGGCGUAAGAUAUAACAAUGGAGGAGCUCAAUGAGAAUAACGAGCAAACUUCUUGGCUGUUCUCGUGGCGGAAUCCUUGUGGAUAACCUUGGUGGGGUACUUCUUUAUCGCUGCAACCAAACAGUGGUCAUAGAGGCGGUCACGAGUUUCGUUGUCGAAGGAUCUGAUGAUCACUUCUUUGCGUCCGGUGUACCGGCCUUGGAGGACGAUCAUGGCCUUAUUGGCUUAUCAUUGUAAAAUUUUGACCAGCUACUGACAGAUAGAUAAAUUAAGUUCAAUUACUUAAUUGGUAAUCCUAUAAAAAAUAUACACAAAAUACCAAACGUGUUGGCUUCUCAAAAUGAAGUAUAGAAGGGUAAAUACACUGUGGAGAACGUAAUAUAUUGACUUCAGCAUUUUUGGGGUGAUUUUUGCGUAGAAAUUGUAAACGAAGACAUUAGUGAUUUUUGCGUGGGUCAGGCUUCUGAUGGCAAUCCGUAAUGACUGGGCAAAAACCAAAUAACAGGUGCAAGACUUUGACUUCCAAACUAAUAAACUUGUUUAAUUUGUUUUCUUUUAUCAGACGAAUAUUAAAAAUUUACCUUUAGUUAGUAUAAUAAUAAUUUUUGUUUUCAAAUUUUAUGUUUUUUUAUCAAUUUAACUAUGAUUCGGUAUUAAAAUUAUAAAAAUAAAAUUUUGAAUAUGUUAUUGUUAAAGAACUAAUAUGUACGAGAAAUAGUUAUCAUUGAAAUAAAAAAACAGGAUAAAAUAAAAAAAAAUUAAAUCAUUACAUGCUUCGUCAAUGUUUCUCGAAAUCAAAUUAGUAGUAUUUUUAAGUCAAAUUUCAUGCUCUUGAACAACAUAUAAAACUAAUAUUACAAAGGCUUGUGAAAUCUUCUGUGAUGUCUUUUUUAGCAAAAAUACAAAAUAUACAACAAGAUUUUCUUUUUCAGACUUAAUUCAAAUUUUCAGUUCAUUUAAAUUAUUUUCAAGCACAAAUUGUAAUAAUCAAUUAUAUUCUUAAUUUUUUUCUUUUCUUAUAACGAAAAAGCCAUGUAAAAAAAAAAGAGGUAAAAAAUAGAGAACCAAUAAUUUUGCUCAAUGUUUUUAUUUUUUUCUAUGUUAUUUAAAAGAAUGAGUAUUGCAUACUUCUAUACAUAUAAUACAAAUAUAAAUUUUGGAAGGUUUAUCGAUUGAGUAUUAACUCGAUUAGCAUGGUCAUUGUUGACAAUGCAAGAGCACGUCUUAUUUAUGGGUUGGGGAGGGGCUAUGGGUAAUCCUAGGCAUUGUGUCUAAUGAGAUUAAUGUUCAAAAAGAAUUUGUUGGAGGGUUUAUAAACAACUUUCCCUCGUUUUCUCACUUUAUUUGUUUUUUAUUUUUAUUUACUUUUAUAUAAUUUUUAUUUUUAGAAAUUUCUAAUUUUUUAAAAGAAUUUGAAAUAUUUAUCAUUUUAAAUAUAAUCUCGAUUAGUUCCUCAUGAAUCUAGUAAACAAUAUAAACUUAAAUGAAAGAAUGAGUGUAAAGAACAAUUUCAAGAAUAGAGUUUAGAAGAAGCCUGAUUGUAUUGAAUUUAAGUGCUGAAUCCUUACAGAGUUUGAGAAUAAUUUCAGCAUCUGAUUUCUCCCCAAAAGUGGAAAACAAGUGCAGGAAUAAAAAUCUAAGACCUAAGAAAAAGGAAAAACUAAAGACUGAAUUAAAGAGAAAAUUAUACAAUAGAAAAAAUGUGUCCUCCACAUGUGUUAAUUGAGCCUAUUUAUAGACUUAGAGUCGUCAUCGUCCUUAACCCUAGGUUAGUUGACGUUCCCGAGCUUAAAGUUGGAUUAUGCGAACCAAAACGCCCUUGACUCAUAUUAGUUUCUUGUACAGAGUUGAUGUCACGACACAACAGGUCAUGUGUUGCAACAUCGAGGCCAACAUACUUUUCUUCAGGGUAUCUUUAAGGGCAUGUCACGACAUCCUCAAGCUAUGUCGCGACAUCGAAGGUAGUCUUGGACUUCUUCAGUUCUUCUCCAUAUGUUGCGACAUCAAAUGCUCCGUGUUGCAACUUAGUGACCAGUAUCGAGUUAAUACGCCUUCUAAUGGUCUCCUACACAUUUACAAAGUAUAUUAGCUUACCCUAGGCCUCGUUCGACCCCUAAGGUUAAUAAAAGACUCAAAUACCACAAUUUAUUGAAUUUAAAUAAAUGUAUGAAAACUUAAGUAAAUUCCAACUAAAAUGCUCAUAUUCAAGCUCGUCAAAUGCGAAAAAUAGUUUAAUCUGCUACACCGAAUUAUGACAGAUUAAACUCCUCCACACUUAAGUCAUUACUUAUCCUCAAGCAACACAAAUAAAAAUAAUAAAUGAAAAGAUGACCCUUAAGGAAGUAUGGUACAAAUGUUAGCUUUGGAGCAUAUGAAUAGGUGUUUCGUAUUCGCAUAUAAUCUUGGCAUGAGAUAUAACUAACUUACCACUUUUGAUAUCAAACACCUAAGUUCAGCAUAUUACAAAGCAUACAAGCAUCAAGUGGUGUGUCAUUGGAAGCACAAAAAACAACCUAUCCCUAUGAAAUAACGAAAAGAAUAGUAUAAGGGAAGUAGGGUCAAAUCCUCAAGGACCAGAUUGCUACAACUUCUUGUUCCACGAAAUCUUGGGCACAGUUGUGCCCAAGAAAAACGACAUACCUGGAAAAAAUAAAAAAAUAAAAAAUAUGGAUGAAUUGAAAUUGUAUGAAUUGAAAUUGAAAUUGUAAAAAGAAACAGAAUUGAGGAAAGGGAUUCUUCGAUUUCAGGGAUUCCAACCUUCGGUUGUCUCGAUCCUUAUUGGAUUCCAUCUUAGGCUUUUAGGUGAUCCUUCUCAUAACAGAAUAAGCAGUUAUAGUGGAAGAGGAUGCCUAUGACCAUAAACUCCAUUUAGAUUUUAAACUUACGAUUUAGAGGAACCUGACUCUAGCCAACCGUCACUUUUAUGGGACCGUCUUACACUAGAUCAUCAUUUCUCAAUGGCGAAUGCCACACCAUUUCGUCUCUUGGGCUUGACAACCACUGACGUAGAAAGUUAGCGAACCGAUUGUGCAACAUUGCCAAAACAUACAAAGCGAUCAUUCUUUGCACAAGAUGAAAAUAUCACUUUUGGAAGGACAUGGAUGGAAGCGUUAGUCCCGUAAUGCUGAGAAACAAUGAAUACUCAUUAAGAAGGCUAAGUGCGGGUUCUAAGCCUCAUGAACAUUUUUUGGGGAAUCUCGACAACCUUUGGCUAGAUGAGUUUAGUGGCUCAUGUUUUUCCAGAAAAAAAAGUAAUAACUUUAAUGGGAUGAAAUUUUAUUGAAAAAUAAAAGGAAAGGAACAAAAAGCUAAGAGCUUUAGAGGGAAGGAGUGUUUUACAGAAAAGAUGAGUGAAUAUUUAUGUCACUACAUCCCCUAUUUAUAGUACAUAGAAAACCUAGUUUGUUCCUAUUUAAACUCUAAAAAUAAAUAAAAAAUAUAAUCUCAAAUUAAAUCUAAAUAAUAUCAUAAUAAUCCAAACAAUAAUCCUAAAAAUAAAAUUUGAAUUUAAAUAGAGUAUUCUCUUCAUAAAUCUCUUCUUUGAAUUUUUGCCCCAAGUCUUUUUCACUUUGUAUUUUUGGUGCCACUUCUUCCCUAUUUCGCUUGCUGACCCAUUUUGUCUUUAAAUUCACACUUUUUGCCCCCAAAUUUCCUUUUUCAUUCAAUUUAGUCCCUAUAAGAUGAAAACCUAUAAAAAGUCCAGAUUAGUAAGAUCAUAUUCAAAAUAUAUAUGCAAUUAAUACAUAAAAAUAUGUCAUUUCAAAGUAUUAUCAUAUUCCUCCCUACUUAGCCCAUGCUUGCCCCCAAGUAUGGUUCCUAGCCCACUGUGUAAUUUAGAUUUUACCAUGAAAGAAGUAUCACUCCAAAGUUUUAUAAAAAUUAGGUAUAAUGCAUAUGAAAAUAAGGAAAACAUUUAGCUUGCUUUAAGUAAAAUAGAAAAGUAUUCCAACUUAAACACACAAAAGGUUAAAUCGACUUGGAUUAUUUCAUGUAAAUUAGGUAAUUUACUAAACUUACCAAGACACCCUAUUUGUUCCACCGUUAGUCCCCAAAUGAAAUUCUUUUUUUUUCUCUUUUUUUUUAAAAUUUUUUUCUUAAGAAUGUAUUGGCCCUUUUGACAUGAAAAAGGAUGACAACCCAAGCACCCCACCUUGGUUACUCAGCCCAACACACUCUUAUUUUAUUAUUAUAUAUUUUUUUGUUAAGAAUGUAUUGACCCUUUUGACACGAAGAGGAAUGACAACCCAAGCACACCACCCUGGAGGACUAGGAAAAAAAUCAAGUGUCAAAAAUAAGUUUUGGUAUUUAUCUAUCAGUCACGAAAAUAAAUUUAGCAUACAUUCGUAUUAAGUGUCAUAUUUGCAUUUAGACUUUAAUUAAUUCUACUAUAAGCAAGAUAGGGUUAACUUUAUUAAUCAUAAUUAUUUUAGCCUAAUAGAAAUAAAAUAGUGGAGAUGAAAUCAAUAUAGAAAAAUCAUAACUAACUCAGUAGACAAUAAUCAUGCUCGCAGGUCCAACAGUUGGUAAUUCCUAGUAAAAAUCUUUGGCAUGAAAAGAGGCAAGAUAUACUAAAAAAACAAAUGUGGACAAAAAUAAGCAUAAGGCAGCAGCAACAGUAACACAAUAGAAAAAAGUAAAUAAAACAACAGAAAUAAUGAGGAAUGUCUCCCCCUACUUAAAACACAUUUUCCUCAAUGUGAAAAAAAACAAAUUGAGAAAAAAAAAGUUUUAGAAAAACUACCCAUGUAGUCACUGUCGUUCACGCAUAGCUACAAGGAGGGAAAGGUUUGGAGUUGCCAAGGUCGAUGUGUUGGGGUGCCAAGAAUUGGUGCCGACGAUUGUUAACGGUGAAGGAAGGUUUGACUGUGGCACAGCUCUUAGUCCUAGCCAUGGUGGUUUGAAAAUUGGUGGUGAGGGUGGGGGAGAGGGCUAACGACAGCUUGAGGGAAUUUUGGGUGCAUAUGGUGAAAAAUUAGGGUUUGAAAGUGUAGGAGGAAGGGUGUUUGGCUGUGGGGUGGGAGUUUGGGCGUCGGUUUGGGCGAGUUUAAAGUCGAGAUGCACUAAUCCUACCUAGAUUAGGGUAGAAUAUAAGGUUUUACUAAAACAUACCCAUUGCUUGAAGAUGCCGUUCCAAUUUUAAUUUUUUUUCUUGUCAAUUUUCCUGGAUAUAAGAAGAGAGAAUAAAAUUUAUUAAAAUGAAAUAAAAUAAAAAAAUAAAGUACCAAUAAAAUAUAUAUAAAAUAUAAAUAAAAAUAAAACUGGGUUGCCUCUCAACAAGCGCUUGUUUAACGUCGUUAGCUUGACGCCCCAACUAGUAUUGGGGUUGUUCCAACUAUAUUCUUUCGAUUGUAUGGGCUUGGAGAUUCUCAUUUUUUAUCACAUCCAACAUAUUUAGGUUCAAUCAUCUUUACACCUCUUGCUUUGGUUUCGUAAUUUACUCCAAGAAAAUCUUAUGUGUGCAUGUCAAGGGGUUCAUCCAUUUUAAGUUGACAAUGGUCUCAUCAUUCUCCAAAAAUGCGCACUUGAAAUGCUGGAGAAGUGAUUUUAAUUCUAGGUCUGGUGCCUGCACAACAGAAGGUAGAACUUUAGUGUAUAUGGGAGCCGAUAAUCAUUAUCAGAUUCUCAAAUAGAUCUUGAAUUGAAAUUAUCAUCAAACAAUAUUUCAAGUUUAUCUUCAUAAUGUGACUCAAAACUUUAUUCUACUAACGAGUCAAUUAUGUCAACACGGUUUACGUUCAAGAUUUCACUCGAGUGGCUAAUAGCGUCAUAAAAGUUAAACUUCACGAUCUCCCCGUCAAACUCCAUCAUGAGGGUUCCGCUACACACGUCAAUCUUAGUAUUUGUAGUACUAAGGAAAGGUCACACCAACAAGAUGUUUGAAGACCUAGGAGCGUUAUUCUCUUCCAUUUUUAUCAUAUAAAAGUCUGCAGGAAAGAUAAGUCCGUUGACUUUCACUAAUAUGUCCUCAAAGACUCCUUCGGGAUGCACAAUAGACCUGUCUGCUAAUUGAAUGAUAACAUCUGUUUUCAUCAAAAAACCCACGUUAAAUGCUUCAUAAAUAGAAAAAGGCAUUAUAUGUAUGGAGGCCUCCAAAUCACACAUAGCUUUUUUAAUUCCUAAGUGACCUAUUAUGCAUGAUAUUGCAAAUAUGCCCCUAUCGUUACAUUUUACUAGCAUCCUCCGAUGCAACGCCGCAAAUACAUUUUCACCAAUAGUUACUCUUUAAUUUCUAGUCAAUUUUCACUUGUUGGUGCAAAGCUCCUUAAGGAACUUGGCAUAUCGUGGAAUUUGUUUGAUGGCAUCCAGCAAUGGUAUGUUGAUCUCAACAUUUCUGAAUGUUUCGAGGAUCUCCAUCCUAUGGCAUGCCAAUUAUAUCUAUAAACAACACACAUUACUUACCGAUUAUCUGUGUACUAUCACUUCAUAUUAGCAUCUUUUACAAAAGACUAGCAUAGUCAUAUAACAUAUAUAUUACAAGUUUGUUUCAUGUAUACAAUUGCACUUUACACAAUAAUCACAUACUCACUUACCACAUUUCAUGCACAAUACACAACCACAAAAUAAUGAUAGAUUCAAGAAAACUUACGCUCAGAACUUAGAGUAGGGGUUUAGGCUACAUCUAAAUUCCUAAGUAACACAUGACUCGUGUUUACGAGUAGCAAUUCCAUACAUCACCACUUUAUGCUUUAGUUAAAAAAUUAAAAGCUCAACUAACGCUUCCCUAGCUCGUAGCAAGCUCUAACAAAUCUAAAUCUUUACACACAUAAAUCAUACAAUAACCAUAGUCAAAUAUCAACCAAGAAUCCACUCAAAGCAACUAAAACACAAGCUUAAGCUAAGUUCCCACGUAACUUAAUUAAACUAUUAACAUAACAAACUUUAUAUACUAAUAUCGUGAUCUAUACUAAACCUCUUUGCUUAAAAUCAAUUAUGUUCAUCUACUUAAUCGUCUAUACCUAAUUCACAGCCUUCAAAGUAGACAAAUCUACUCAAUUCAUACUAUCGACAUUUUUUGACAUCUUUUAGGUAAUUUUCACAAAAAUUUAUUAAAACAUGAGAAAUCAUUAACGAAAAUUCAAGGUAAGUUUAAAUACCUUUUAAUCAUGCUAAAACAAGUUGAAAAUCACUUUGAAACCAAGUUUUGACUCAAAAUCCCAAAAUCCACCAUUAAUGGCUCGAUUUUUUACUUUUAUUUAAAACAUGCGAUUUGAGGGCUAAUAAUUCAAUUUUAGAGUCUAAGUAACAUUAAAAACCAAUGGAUACAUGAAUGAUUACCUUUGUUGAAAGAAUGAACAAGUUUCGAUGUAAAUCUGAAAAACUCAUGUUUGAAGAUGAUGAUGAAAUCUGUGGAGUUUUGGAUUUUUUUUUGGAGAUUAUGAUAAUAAAUAACUUAGGAGUGAUAGGUAAUCAAGGUAUUGUGAUUUGGGAAUAAAAAAUAAAUGAAAAUAGCUAGGGAUAUGGCAAGGGGGGCACAAGCUUGAAAGGGAAUGAAGAAAUCGCGAAAUUUGUAAGUGGGGGUGACUUUUAGAUUUAAUUUUAAAAAUUGGUUUAAAUGCCACAUAAAUUCUCACUACUUUGACUCUAUUACAAAUCAACCAUUUCUCUAAAAUUAAGGGUUUCUAGAACACUUUUUCAAAAAUUGAUUUAAUAGCAAAGAUACCAAAGUCAAAAACAUUAUCGAGUACAAACCAUACAAAUUUUCAAGCUCAUCUAAGCCACAAUCUCUAAAUUUCCCCUAAAACUCCUUGGCCCUAUUUUGGGGUGUUACAAUCAUAGAGUUUUCACCACCACUCUUUGACAACUGCAAGUUUAAAGGCAAUGGUGAGUUAACUCAUUUACAAAAUUCUAGCUUAAAUUUCCUUAGAACAUCUAAGGCAUACUUCUAUUGUGAAAUGAAGAUACCAGCCUUCCUUUGAUUAAUUUCCAUCCCAAGAAAGCAGCUUAUCAAGCCAAGAUCUGACAUAUCAAAUUCUUUUUGCAUAUUCAAUUUAAAUUAUGAGAAAUCUUCAUCAUUGCUUCCCGUCACCAAGAAAUCAUCAACAUAAAGAGAAACAACAAGAAAGUCAACAUUCAUACCUUUCUUAAUAUGCAAAGUAGCUUUAUUAAUGCUCCUUUAAAAACCCAACUUCUGCAAAUAAGAAUCAAUUCUGCAAUACCUGACCCUUGGUGCAUGUUUUAGGCUAUAAAGAGUCUUAUUAAGCUUGUUAACUUGAUGUUCCUUUCCAACAACCACAAAACCUUUAGGUUGACAAACAUAGAUAUCUUCUUCAAGCUCUCCAUUCAAGAGAGCUGGUUUUACAUCCAAAUGACACAGAUUCCAGCCCAAUUGACCUCUAAUAGAAAUAAGUAGUUUGAUGGUAUCGUGUCUAGCAACUGGUGCAAAAGUGUCACCGUAGUCAACUUCACAUAUUUGUGCAUACCCCUUUACAACCAACCUAGCCUUAUGCUUGAUCAUAAUGUCAUCAAGAUUGAACUUAGUCUUAUACACCCACUUCACACCUAUAACAUGUUUACCACUAGGCAGAAGUAGUAAACACUGAUGUUUACUUGCUAAAUAAGCUACUUACUAAAGUUUUUGAAGAGAAGACACCAUUCAAGGCAUGGUAUGGUUUUAAACCUUUUGUUUCACACUUAAGAGUAUUUGGUUGCACUUAUUUUAAUCAUGUUCUAGAAGAGAAAAGAAGCAAGCUAGACAGUAGAUUACAGCCAAUGAUAUUUGUUAGAUAUUAUAGUGUUAAAAAAGGAUAUAGAAUCUAUUAUCCGUCCACCAAGAAACCAAUUGUAAGUAGAUAUGUGAAGUUUGAUGAAAGAAAAAAUAUGGAAUUGGACUGCAAUAGAGGAAGAGAUGUGCGAACAGAGGGCUCCAAAACUUAAUCUGCAUGCCAUUGGAGACCAAACUGGAAAUGAUGUAGUCGAUGAACAACCAAUGCGAGGAACCAGGUCUAUCGCUAAAAUCUUUCAACGAUGUAAUUUGGCAAAAUUAGAACCAAUCACUUUUGAAGAAGCUGCUCAAGAAGCUGAAUGGUGAACAAUUAUGAAAGAUGAAAUCACCAUGAUCAACAAAAAUGAAACAUGAGAGAGCUUGUGGAUAGACUGAUUCGAAAGAAAGUGAUUAGAGUUAAAUGAGUGCUCAAAACCAAGAUGAAUCUUAAUGGAUCAGUCAACAGAUAUAAAGUGGGAGUGGUUGCAAAGGGGUUCAGCUAGCAAUACAGAGUGGACUUCACUGAAACCUUUGUCCCUGUUGUAGGGUGAGACACCAUAAGGCUACUAAUAACUCUUACAACUUAGAAGGGUUGUAGGUUACAUCAAAUGGAUGUAAAGUUAACCUUCCUAAAUGGUUUUUUUGAAGGAAGAAAUUUAUGUCAUGCAACCUCAAGGGUUCGCAAUACCUAGGUCUAAGGCCAACGUGUACAAAUGGAACAAAGCACUAUAUGGCUUGAAGCAAGCACCAAGGGUGUGGUAUGAGAGAAUUGAUAAUCAUCUAACAGAGAUAGGUUUUGAAAGAAGCAUCUAGUAAUGAAAUACUCCUCAUUAUUUUAUUAUAUGUUGAUGAUUUACUUGUGAUUGGUAGCAACAGUGAACUAGUGAUUGUAUUCAAGGACCAGAUGCAAGAGAAGUUUGAAAUGUCAGACAUAGGUGAAAUGACAUACUUCAUUGGUUUGGAGGUAAAUCAAGCUUGCGAUAUAAUUUUUGUAAACCAAAAGGGGAUCGCGAUGAAAAUCCUGUGAACAUAUAGCAUGGAGAAUUGUAAACCUAUGAGCACCCCUAUUGUUCAAGGUGAGAAGCUCUUCAACAAUGAAGAUGUUGAAAAGGUUGACAAAACAAAAUACAAAAGUUUGGUUGGAUGUCUGCUUCACGUGACAACAUCUAGACCUAACAUAAUAUUUGUUGUAAGUUUGUUGUCAAGAUACAUGCAUUGCUGCAAUGUGAACCACUACAUAAUAGCAAAAGGGUUCUACGAUGCAUAAAAGGAACUCUUAGCUAUGGAGUGAAGUUUUUAAAAACUAAAAAGGUUAAACUACUUGUGUAUUCAAACAGUAAUUGGGUUAGGUCUACAGAAGACAUGAAGAGUACCUUGAUCGCUUCCAGACAUACCAACGUCCAGAGUAGAAAUCAUGCACAAAUGGUAUGAAAAAGCAGUAUCCGCAAGUAUAUGGGUCAAGUUGUAAUAUAGUUAAAACGGAGUAGGUAAGUACUCCGAGGAUCGUACUUAGGGGAAGCGAGCACUAAAUUAAGUCUACUCUAAGCAUAAAUAGAUCUAAUUAAUAAUUUAAUUGAUUUAUAGUACGAAGAAUUAAAAUAAAGGUUUUGGAUAAUUAUAAUAAAAAUAAUAAGAAAAGAAAUUAAAUUAACAAAAAGCAAGAAAUAAAAUAAGAAAAUAUGCAUCAAAUCUAGGCAUGGGUGAUUAACUCGCUUUCGUAAUCGAAAUAAACUAUCGUCUCAGGUUUUCUCGUUUAAUCAACUAGUCAAUACCCCAGCAGGAUCUUUCGAUACGUUCACUGAAAUACUGAGUCGGUAAUAACUACUUAUCUUCCGACCUCACAGUCCAGACCGAUUCAGGAUUAAGGUGUUCACGAACAAGCCAUACAAUUUUGGGUUGAUUCCCACAUUGAUGACUUCCUAGGGUUGUCAAGCCUAGGGUUUAGAUUCUUCCUUUCUUGAACAGUUGAUCUGUUAAGAAAUCCUUACAAAACAAUUUCAAGAAUAGAGUUUAAUGACCAAAAUAAAAUAAAAAAAUUCUAUAGUUUAGUUACUAAUGGUAUAAUCUACCUAAAAAAGGUCUUCAAAAAUAAACCUGAAAGUUUGGCGAAAAUUUGGGGUAGUACUUUAAAAUUUUGUCUUGGACCACAACAAUACCACUUCCAAUCAUCAACUCACCAAAUUAAUUUCAAUUUUGAAUUUAAUCAAAAUAAAACAAAAUUGAUUCAAUCCCACCUUAAUUUGGUGUUCAAAUUUGCAAAUUAAAAAAAUAACCAAAAUAUAAAAAUAAAAAUAAAAAUCAACUUUUCACCUUAUGGUUUAAAAUUUUGUUCUAACCCCAAAAAUCUAGAUGAGAUUUAAUUUAGCCCCUAAUUUAAAACCAAACUUUUAAUUUUAAUUCUUAAAUCAAAUUAAGAUUUACUUGGGCUUGUUUGAUAAUCAACUGAAAAAAAAAACUAAAUCAUCUAAUACAUAAUAUUUUUAAUCACUUAAUUUUCGAUAAUCUAUAAUAAAAAAACAGUAAAAUAUAGAAUUUCUUUUAAUAAUGAAGUAUGAAAAAUGAUAAGUAGACAAAAGAGUUACUUAUCACCUAACGUAGAAUCUUUUAUCUUAUUUUAUUUCUUUUAACAUUACCUUUUAAAUGUUUUACCUUUAAAUUUUCAAAAAAUUCAUUUAUCUCACAAAUUCUACAUGUCUGUUUUACAGCCCAUAUUCGGAGUUCAUGAACACCCUUUCAACAAUGUUGUCUCUAAGAUUGAACAUGUAUUCUCUAUUGAGAGUAAAAAGUAUCUUACAAUUGCACUCAAUACUUUUUAACAUAUAGCAAACAUAUUUUAUAACUUAAAUUCAAUACUUAAUUUUGUAAUGCUUAAUUAUAUAACACUUUUUUUGGUAUAUGUGAAACUCAUUCUUUUACUAAGUAAAUAAAUGAGAGUAAUCAAAUAAAUUGAUUUUUAUGUAGAUUGAAGCACAAAGUCACAAGACUUAAAUUCCAUCAAGGGCUCCAUGUUAGAAGUGCGAGCAUAAUAUGCAUGCUUAAACCAACAUUAACUUACUCGGUCGAGAGUGUAAUAUGUUGAGUUUACUUUGGAGAAAUUCUGAAUAUGGUUAGUAGUUUGGAGGAAUGCUGCUUGUGAAGACAAUAAUGGUUUCCGCGUGGGUCAUAGGCUUCUCAUGGCUCAAACCAAAAUAUACAAGGAAGACCUUGACUUCCAAAGCAAUAUACAUGCUUAAAUUGACUUCCAUCUUCAUCUUUAUUCAAACACCAAUUUCUUUAAAAACAAAAACUAUUUUCAUUAAAAUUAAAAAGAAAAAUUCAUUAAUUCAUUCCAUGAAUGGGAUCAUAUAAUUCUGGAAACAGAAAAAGAAUCAACAAACACUUGUCGGCGGUGAAGAACAAGCUCCAACAACACGAGAAAAGCUUUAGUCUCAGAAUCAAUAAAAUAUUAUGACACACUGAUAAUCAACUUUAUCACAACUCAACAUCAAUAAAAAUAAAUAAUUUUUCUAUUUUUUAAAUAAUUAUAUUAAAAUGUGGAUUCUGUUUAAAGAGGUGAUUUAAACCAUAUUCAAUAAAAUUAAAACCUAACAACCUCGAAAUUGAAAUGCACGAAAACAAUGGAAAUUAAAUAAAUUUUUUAUUUAAUGUAAUUUUAGAUAGUUGAUAUGGGAAUUAAAUUUGUGUUUAUAAUGUAACUCAUUUUGUGAUUUGAUUAUUUGAAUCAAAUAAGUACUCUGUUGUGAAGAAGCUAAUUAAUUAAAUUAAGUUUUUACUUCAAGAUUCACAACUGGGCUAAGUUUAUUAUAUUUAAUUUUAAAAAAUAUUUCUAUUGAUAUUUAUAUAUAUGUUAUUUAUUAGAUUGUGUAAAUUUUAACUAAAAUUAAAAAUUCAUCUUGAUUAUUAAAACAUAGUUCUAAUUAUUAAAAGCCAUGUCUUUAAACCAAAAAUGUUAAAUAUUUAAUAGGAAAAAAAAAGAAAGCAACUAUGAAUAACAAUGUCGUGCACUGAUGAAGAUUUAUUCUACUUAUCACUUUCCACUGGUUCCUAUAUCAUUACAUCAACUUCAAAUCAUUUAUUUAUUUGUGAUUUUCAUCACUCAUAAACAUCUCAUGAUUCUUAAGCUCGAUCAAUGAUAUUUCAUGAAGAGGCAUUGCAAUUGGAGACUUGAUGUGUAGGAAUUCUUGAGACACUAAUUUCAUUGUUGGUCGAGCUUUGGGUCUAAGUCGUAAGCAUGCAAAAGCAAUGACAGCAAUAAAAGCGAUCUCUCCUGCCAUUUUUCGACUUCUCGGGGUUGAUAAUCGAGGGUCCAAAAUUUCAUUUAGCAUGAAAUUUUGGACACGAGACGAUGAUGAUGAUAGUGUUGACAAUAAUUCACCGGGAUGCUUUCCCAUCAAUAUUUCCAAUGCCAACACUCCAAAACUAUAAACAUCACAUUUUUCGGUCACGACCAACGAAUAAGCAAGUUCUGUAAUUAAAACAAAAAAGAAAAGCUAAAUAGAUGUUAAUUUAUAUUCUGUAUUCAUCUUAGUUGCAUGUAUGUUUGCAUUUGAAUCCUCCAACCUCGAAUUAAUUUUUGUAAUUUAUAUUUGAUAUUUCUUACUUUUGUCUUUUCUACUUAUUUCCCUCAUUAUUCUAAUAUGUAAUUCGAAACAAAUAAGCAGCAGAAACUAAGAAUGGAUAGAACUAAAUAAAAAAGAUAAGAAGAGAGUGAAGGUGCAGAACCUGGGGCAAUAUAUCCAUACGUCCCAACAAUUACAGUUCGAUUAGAUGAAUCAGGAUCAAGAAGUCUUGCAGUCCCAAAGUCAGCAAUAAAAGCUUCCAAUUCAGAGUUCAACAAAAUGUUAUUGCUUGAGAUGUCUCGAUGAACAAUUGGAAGGUUGCAAUCAUGAUGCAUGUAAGAUAGAGCAUGUGCGACACCUUUGACAAUGUUCACUCUUUUGGUCCAAUCCAAUUCCAC